rnacentral:lncRNA from 1 species
GGAACUCAAACGAAGCAAAUAGCAAACCAAUUCACAUUUCUGAACGGAAAGGCAAAGAUGUAUACACUUCCAAAUGAGCAAAUAAUUGCCUUCUUCUUCAAACAUUCUAUCUCGUUACUUCUUUGUUUCCUCUUCACUAUCUUUGUUGUCAAAUGGCGAAAUUCCACCUCAAACCCCUCACAAAACCUUCCACCUUCCCCUCCAAAGCUACCCAUAAUCGGAAACCUUCAUCAACUCGGUUCAAUCCCUCAACGCUCUCUGAAAUCAUUAGCUCAAAUAUACGGUUCCCAAUGCUGCUUCAUCUAGGCAGCAAGCCGGUGUUAAUUAUCUCCUCCCCUGAUGCAGCUGAAGAAGUCAUGAAAACACAUGAUUUAAUCUUUGCCAAUAGGCCUAAAGCAGGCUUUGCUGGAAGGCUUCUGUACAAUUUCAAGGACAUAGCGUUUGCUUCCUAUGGUGAGUAUUGGAGGCAGGUAAAAUGCAUAUGUGUACUACAGCUUCUAAGUCACAAGAGGGUUCAGUCAUUUCGAAGCAUAAGGGAAGAAGAGAUUGCACUAUUGUUGGAAACAAUUAGAGAAUCUUGUGCUUCGUCUUCAGUAAUACGUAUAAAUAAAAUUUUGGCAACACUUACUAACAAUAUAGUUUCGAGAGUUGCCACUGGAAAAGGUAUUCGGGAGAGGAAAGUGGGAGCAGGUUUCAGGAACUCUUUGGGGAAUUUACCAUGUUGUUGGGUGUUUUCAACGUUGGAGAUUACAUCCCAUGGCUUGCAUGGAUAAAUAAUAUCAAUGGCUUGGAAGCAAAGGUGAAAAAAGUGGCCAAAGAUUUCGAUGAAUAUCUGGAAAAACUUCUUGAAGAGGGAGUAAAGAAGCAGGACAAAAGAGGAAACAAGAAUGGUGGUGAUGAGAAACAGCAGCAGAAUCUUGUGGAUGUUUUGCUUGAAAUCCAGGGAAACAGAUGCCACCAAUUUUGCUUUUGAGCGAGAUUCCCUUAAAGCCAUCAUCAUGGUAAAGAAAAUUAACUUUCUUCUGAUUAUCUUCCCAGUUACAGUUUUACAGUUCUUUUGUUAAUACUUAAGUUUGCAGUGUUUGGUCUGUCAAUGGUGAAUUGCAUAAGUUAUUUUUUUUGUAUAAAAUGCAAAGCUGAUCGGAAUGGGAUUUGAGCUUUGGUUUUCUGAGAAUUGAUUUUCAAAAACUCACACAAAUCACCUGGGAAAAAUAACAAAUUCAGAUAAAGAAGUAUAGCAUCGCCUUGUUGAAGUAGUCCAAAACAUUUUGUUGUCCGCUGAUUAGAUCGUGACACCAUCCGGAUAUUUCUAUGUCUCAUAAUGGGAUGAUGCUGGAAUAUUUUUCUAUUCAAACAUAAGUUAACUGGCUUUCACCAUAUUGCAAACAGUUUGAAACCACCCUAACCAUUAACUAUAAUUUUGACAUGCUAUGUGAGUCAGUUGAUGCACUCUUUUAUCUUGGUUGUGUGAUUUUGGUCCGUAUCGAAUGGUACAAGCAAUGAGUUAAGAAUUGAGGGAAAAGCAAAAAUUAGCAACGUAAUAUAAAGGUCCAAGGUUGAGUUAGUCUGUUCAUUAACUUCUUUGUCUUCUGAGUAGAUAUCUAUACUUUUGAAUAGGGAUAAUUACAGAAACCUCCCCUGAGAUUUAUGAUAAUUUCAUUGAGGUCCCUUAAGGUUUAAAAAUUACACAUACCCCCCUUAUCAUUUAAAAUGAUAAUUUACCCUUAAAUAUUUAAUGAAAUUCUCUUAUUUGAUAUGCUUAUUCUUAGAAUGAGUUUUAAAUUAUUUUUCAUUCUUUUUCCUUCUUACUCUUUUUUUUUUUAAUUUUUCGUCAAUAAAAUUGUAGAACUACCACUAUUGCCUCUAGGUUUCAAUUAUAACCAAAAGCCGAACUAGUGUUUUUUCAAUGAGUUAAUUUUAUAUGUAAUCCAAUGUUUUGCUGAUCUUUGUUUUCUAUUUUUGGUAUUAAACUUAACAAUAAAUCAAAAGGAAAUGGCCCAAAAGCACUGCUAAAUUAUGAUAAUCCUAUUACUUCAAAAAUUUAUAAAUUCUAAAUGAAUUAUUUUAACAUUUUCUUUUCUAUCUUAUAAAUCUAAAUUCAUAAUAAAAUACCAUCAAAAAUAUCAUAUCAUAGUAAUAAAAUUAUUAUUAUAUUUGUUUAACAAAUAGUAGAUAUGGACAUGAAAAUUUUGACACAUUUUCCUUAUAAUUAUACUAAAAAAUCUUGUAAUUGUAUAGGCAAAUAAAUUGAAACUCAUUCCACAGGAGCAUUUUUGUGUAUUCAUUUAAAAAAUUGUCUAAGUCAAUAUUAUUUCAAGAUUUUGUUACUAAAACUAUUAAAUCAAGGGAGAUAAAUGUAAUUUUUCAAAUCUUAAGGGAGCUUAGUGAAAUUGUCAGAAACCUCGGGGGAGGUUUCUGAAAUUAUCCCCUUUUGAAUAUUUUAUACAAUUCAAAAAUUUUAUCUGUAUAACCUAUUCUUAUUAUAAAGCAUAAAAUAACAUAGACAAGUAGAAUAGGAAUAUAGUCUUUAUGAGGUAGGUCCCUAUGACGUAUAACUGAAAGAACAAGCAAUUUUGAGUUUGCAACCAUGCAAACACCAAAUUUUUCUUCAGGGAAUCAAAAUAUAAGUUUUCAUGUAGCUUGUAUCGGAAAUUUGACAUAGAACUUUCUCUGUCCCGAUUUUAUUAUCAUUAUUUUUGUUUUUGCAGGACAUGUUUGUUGGUGGAACUGAUACAACAUCAUCGCUGCUGGAGUGGGCACUUUCAGAAUUAUUAAGAAACACAAAUGCCAUGCAACAAUUGCAAAAGAAGUGAGACAAUUCUUGGGAAGCAAAUCAUGCAUCCAGGAAGAUGAUUUAGAGAAUCUCCAUUACCUAAAAGCAGUAAUAAAAGAGGCUCUUCGUUUGCAUCCACCAGUUCCAUUACUUCUUCCUCGUGAAUCAAGCCAGGCAGUCAAAUUGAUGGGAUACGAUAUAGCUGCCGGCACUCAAGUGAUUAUCAAUGCUUGGGCGAUCGGAAGGGACCCAAAAUUGUGGGAAGCUGCUGAGGAAUUUCGGCCAGAGAGGUUCUUGAAUAGCUCUUUGGACAUUAAAGGGCAAAAUUUUGAGUACAUCCCAUUUGGUUCUGGGAGGAGGAGCUGCCCCGGUUCUGCGUUUUCUAUGGUUACAGCUGAACUUGCACUUGCAAAUUUGAUGUGCAACUUUGAUUUUCAGUUGGUUGGUGGAGCAAGACCAGAAGAUUUGGAUAUGACUGAAGCACAUGGGAUGGUUACACCAAGGAAAGUCCCACUUCUACUAGUUGCAAGUCUACCUAAUUAGGCCCUUCAAGAUCCAAGAUACCAUGUUGGUAGAUAUAUGUAUAUUAUUCUAUCUUGUCACAACUUUAAAUUUGAGAUGGAGUCUGAUGGGAAAAACUUUUAAAAUGGUGGAAUAUUGCAUUAUCGGUAGCAUUGUGUCCUUGUAUGUAAAAUAUGUGAUUUUGACACAGUAGCAUUGUGUCCUUGUAUGUAAAAUGUGUGAUUGUGUCCUUGUAUGUAAAAUGUAUGAUUUUGUCACCAGCUCAUUCUGGGAUUUUAGAUUUGUUCGGGAUCAUAAUGGUCUAUAGGGUGGACUAAAUGAUUUUUUCUUGGGUAAAUUACUCAUAACCUACUGUACUUUUUUAUGAUGCUAGAUGGCUAUUUUGUGAUUUCAAAAUAUCUACAUAACUCUCCUCUAUUGUUUUAUAUAAAGUGAAAAUUUAAUCAAAAUGAUCUCUAUAACAUCAUUAGUUGAAAUACUAAUACUACCCUUAUUUAAGUACUAAAUUGAAUAAGGGUCCAAAAAUUUUACAUAAAAUCGUGAAUUGAUGCAAAAUCAUAAGGGGUUAAGUGAAUAUUUAUGCAAAAUUAUAGGGUUUGAGUGAAAAUUUAUACAAAAUUUUAGGAGGUUAAGUGGAUAUCAUUAUUUUAUGGGAAAAGAGUUCCAAUGGCCCUCCAACUCUUUCCCAGGUAAAGUUUUAGUCCUCCAACAAUUAACGGUAAAGUUUUGACCCUCGCUCUAAUAAAAUAGCAUAUUUGUGAUCCUUCUGUUAAAUCCAGCAGUUAAAAUUGACGGAAAGUAUCAUCUCGUGAGAUGCGCGAUCAAAUAUGAAGGGCAUUAUAGUCUCUUUCCUAGGACAGAGUAAAAACAUUUUCACCACUGAUUUUCGCUCCAACAAUUUCCACUCCUUUCGCUCCAACAUUUUCCCCUCAAGUUCCAUCUGAUCAGAAUCAAAUUCUCAAAUGGCUGCCAAAUCCUUAGUACUGAAGUGAAAUCUCACUGAACAAGAUUCUGCCGUGGAACCUAGAAUACAAAAAUCAAUUAUGUGUAACGUUGAGCCUUUCUCAGCAGCAGGCCAAAUCGUCUUAUUGGAGAAGAAAUUAGAGAUCAGACUCAUUGUUGCUACGUUAAGUACCAGCGUUCCUUUUAGCCCCUUGUUAAGUACUAGGUUAGAGUGCGGGCAAGUGCUUCUGUGGUGAUUGUUUUGCUUUCUAUGCACUUGCUUGUUGUCAUAACGGAGGUGUUCAAACUUUGGAAGAGAAAGAGAGGAGAAACCUCAUAUGAUCCACCACCGGCAAGUGAGUUUGCACCACAGGCAGCUAAAGCAGAGACGCCUCUCGCUGAUCCACCGAAUCAAGAAGAACGCACGUUUCUUGCUUCGGCAAGGUGUUCAGGCCACCGGAAAGGGAAGAGGAUCACACAAUCCUGCAAGCGGUGUGCAGCAUCGAUAUGCUAAUUCUGUUCGCGGCUACAACAUUUGGGGUGGGCGGGACGUUAACGGCAAUUGAUAAUUUGGGCCAAAUUGGCAAAUCCUUGGGCUAUCCCAAGAAGAGCAUUGCCACAUUCGUGUCACUAGUAAGCAUAUGGUCCUAUUUAGGACGCGUGGCCUCCGGCUUUGCUUCUGAAAUCCUACUGGCCAAGUAUAAGUUUCCACGUCCCCUGAUGCUAACGCUGGUACUUCUCAUCUCCUACGGUGGCCAUCUCCAAAGGGUUAAGAGGGUUCUCAAAUCGACCACGGUGGGGUAGACGCAGAAAAAGAGACGCAGAUGAGAGGUGAAGGAGAGGAGGAGGAGGGGUGGAGUGAUUUUUCCUUGGAUUGGAUGAUUGCCGAGGAGAGGUUGGGCAAGAUACAUGCCAUCCCAGGAGUUCCCGAGUAAGUAGCAAUUUGGCAGAAUUUGUGUUCUUCUUUAAAGACUAUAAAACCCUUGAUAUUUGGUCGCGCGUCUCACGAGAUGAUGCUUCCUGUGAAUUUUAACUGCUGAAUUUGACGGAAGGGUCACAAAUAUGCUAUUUUAUUAUAUCGAGGGCCAAACCUUUGCCGUUAAUUGUUGGAGGACUAAAACUUUAUCUGGGAAACAAUUGGCGGGGCAUUGGGAUUCUUUUCCCUUAUUUUAUUACACGUAUUUUUGGAGUGCGUCUCAGUCAAUCGUGUUAACCAAAGAUGUUUUCCAUCUAUUUUUCACUUUAUAUAAAAUUAUAGGAAGUUAUACGAUUAUUUUGAAACUUUUGGGAGUCAUGUGAUAGUAUGCAAAAGUACAGAGAGGCCUAUGAGUAAUUUACCCUACUUUCUUCUGUGCUUCUAAUUCAAUAAAGAUGUGUGAUUUAUGCAUGCAAAAUAAACACAAUUUCUUUUUCAUACAUGAUACAUAUGCUUAACAAAAUCUUGAUUGCGAACAAUAGUAAACUAAUGUUGAGUGUUUAUUUCCAUUUAUAGCUUGCUAUUAGUGCACCACAAUUAUGUUUUUUCAUUCUAGCUGAAUUUGAGCAUACCAUGGGUUGGAUUUCAAAAGACUAAUUCCAAAAUUAGAAGUCAUCAUCAUAACAUUUGGCUGCAACAUGUUGCAAUAUUUUGUUUUCCUAUGAAUUUAGCAAAGUACCAUGUUAUGAUGGUGAUGAUCAACAUCCGGAGAUGAGGAUCAGAUACUGAUGAUGAUGAGCUCAAUAGCUACUCGAGCAAAUGGACAGUUAGUAACAAAAGUUAGUAAUAACUGCUCCAGUCGGUUAGACAAUCCAUCGAGUUGAACAAUUGCCCAUAGCUGGCUAUAUACAGAUGUAUGGAAGAGAUGUAAAGAUUCAUUCUGUUUUGUAGAAAAAAAACCCCCCAGUAAUAAUACUCUCAUCAUUUCCUUCUCCAAUCUUCUCUUUCUCUUCUAUUUCUAUCUCUGUCUCUUUCUAUCUUUUCUGGAUUCUGCUCAUUCAAGCAGGAUCAAUUAACUAGAUCAUUACAUACCACUCCUAAUUCCAUAUCUAAAAUUGAAAACCAACUUUUCCAUAUGAUUCAUCUUAUAGGCUCUAAUUCAUUCUUUAAGUUAAUUAUAGGGCAGAAAAUGAUAUCUUCUUCUAUGCUCUGACCCGGUAAAGACGUGUGAAUUGAGCCCAUGCGGAUACACAAUAUCUUUUCUUAAGCAUCUUUUUCAAAAUCUAUUUUCUUAUACAUAAAUAUUAUUACAUCACAACCGUCUUCAUUUAUACCAAUUUAAGAUGAACAUACUACAGGAUGGAAUUUUAAAAAAAAAAAAAAAACUUGGUUUUUUUAUCUCAAUCUCAAAUAAAAAAAACGUGCAUCACGAUAGUACAAUUAUUUGAUGGUGACAAUGUGCAGUGCUUCCUGUCACUUUGAUUCUUUUUUCUUCACAAAUUUUGAUUCAAUUCAUCUUUAAAACAGGUAUUAGUGGAAGGCAAGUGCAGUAGGGAUCCCAAAGAAAAGAAAGCAGUUCUCAAUUUCAGAAAAUAAUUUAGAAAUGUACACAUUUCCGAUUGAGGAAAUUAGAGCAUUAUUUUUAAAACAUUCAAUCUCUUUCUUUCUUCCUUUCCUCGUGAUCAUAUAUGUUCUCAAAUGCCGCAAUUCUACUUCAAACACCUCACAGAACCUUCCACCUUCCCCACCAAAGCUUCCCAUAAUCGGAAACCUUCAUCAGCUCGGUUCAAUCCCUCAACGCUCUCUGAAAUCAUUAGCCCAAAAAUACGGUUCGCCAAUGCUGCUUCAUCUAGGCCGCAAGCCAGUGUUAAUUAUCUCCUCCCCUGAUGCAGCUGAAGAAGUCAUGAAAACUCAUGAUUUAAUCUUUGCCACUAGGCCUAAACCAGUCUUUGCCGGGAGGUUACUCUACAAUUUCAAGGACAUAACGUUUUCCCCCUAUGGCGAAUAUUGGAGGCAGGUAAGAAGUAUUUGUGUACUUCAGCUUUUGAGUAACAAGAGGGUUCAGUCAUUUCGAAACAUAAGAGAGGAAGAGAUGGAAAUAAUGUUAGAAAAAGUUCGAAAAUCUUGUGCUUCUUCUUCGGUCAUACGUAUUGAUGAAAUUUUGGCAACACUUACUAACAACAUAGUUUCGAGGGUUGCCAUUGGAAAAAGGUACUCAGGAGAGGAAAGUGGGAGCAAGUUUAAGGAAAUAUUUGAGGAUUUUACUAUGUUAUUGGGUGCUUUUAACGUUGGAGAUUACAUCCCAUGGCUUGCAUGGAUUAAUAAUGUUAAUGGCUUGGAAGCAAAGAUGAAAAAAGUGGUCUAUGAUUUUGAUGAAUAUUUGGAAAAGAUUGUUGAAGAGGGAAUGAAGAGGCAGGAGGAAAAGGAAAGCCGUAGUGAUGGUAAUGAUAAGAAACAGCAGCAGAAUUUUGUGGAUGUUUUGCUUGAAAUCCAGAAAACAAGUGCUGCUGGUUUUGCUUUUGGCCGAGAUUCCCUUAAAGCUAUCAUCCUGGUAAAGAAAAUUAAUUAUGUGCAUUUUUUUCUUCUUUUUUUGGUUCUCUCUCAUUACAAUUUAAUUUAGCAUAUGGAUUUGCUGUUCUUUACUUCUAUUCUAUCCUAGGAUACAAAAAUUGAUGGUUGUUGCGUCCAUGCUGAGGCAUUUUUGCUGACUAAAUUUUUUAAAAGACUAGAAUAAUUAGUAUCGAGGGCUGAUACAUUUUUUCUAUAUUCAUAAUAAACAAAAUUAACAGUUUGCCCUUUUUUUAUGCAUCAUACCCCUGAAUUUUUUUAAAUAUUAGGUACGAAUUUGGACCCAAGUUCUAAGGCUGUGUGAUUUUGACACAGUUAAGGUGUAAGGUCACCAACUCAUUCUGGGGAUUUUAGAUUUGUUCGGGAUCAUAAUGGCCUAUAGGGCGGACUAAAUGAUUUUUCUCGGGUAAAUUACUCAUAACCUACCGUACUUUUAUAUGAUGUCAGAUGGCUAUCCUAUGAUUUCAAAAUAUUGACAUGAUUCCCCUCCAUUGUUUUAUAUAAAGUGAAAAUUUAAUAAAAAAAUGAUCUCUAUAACAUCACUAGUUAAAAUACUAAUAUUACCCUUUUUUAGGUACUAAAUUCAAUAAGGGUCCAACAAUUUUACAUAAAAUCGUGAAUUGAUGCAAAAUCAUAAGAGGUUAAGUGAAUAUUUAUGCAAAAUUUAGGGCUUGGGUGAAUAUUUAUACAAAAUUUUAGGAGCUUAAGUGGAUAUUAUUAUUUUAUUACGCGCACUUUUGGAGUGUGUCUCAGUCAAUCAUGUUAACCAAAGAUGUUUUUCAUCUAUUUUUCACUUUAUAUAAAAUUAUAGGAAGUUAUGUGAAUAUUUUGAAAAUUUUGGGAGUCAUGUGAUAGUAUGCAAAAGUAUAGAGACGCCUAUGAGUAAUUUACCCUACUUUCUUCUGUGCUUCUGAUUUGAUAAAGAUUUGUGAUUUGUUGCAUGUAAAAUAAACGUAAUUUCUUUUUCAUACAUGAUACAUAUGCUUAACAAAAUCUUGAUUGCAAGUUCCUUCAUUAGAAUUUAAUUUUGGCUUACAGAUCUCCUAUUUUAAGAUAAGAAUAGUGUUUGGUAUGUUGAGGUCAGAAUUGCAUAUGUUUUACGUAGAAUAUGCGAAAUUAAGGGGAUUUAGGAUGGGGUUCUAUCUCUAAAUUGAUCUUUAAAAACUCGACAAAUAACCUAUGAAUAAUAAAUAAUUCAAAUUAAAAAAUAAGAACGUAAUUGUAUCUAUGUUUCCACCAUUAUUGCAAGCAGUUUCAGUCCAUUCCAAUCACUUUUAGUAUUCAUGACCUACUAUCUGAAACGCUUGAUGUACUUGAUUGUAUAUUUUUUGCUCAUUUCCAAUGAUACCAGCAAAUGGUGAAACAAACAAUCAAUAAGUUAUGAAUACUAGGAUGAAAACCAAAGGAAAAGAAAAUCAACAAAACUAAAUAAGGUGCGAGGUAUAGUGUUCAUUAUUGACUUGUGGUAAUCAGGUAGGCAUCUCUAUCCUAAAGUGUGAAGUUUCAUCAUCUCAAAAUGGUUUGGUAAAACAACAACAUAUUAUGAAAUAAUUGUAACCAAACUAUCAAUUUUAACACUUAAUACAUUGAUAUAUCAAAUUGUGAGACAUCCUUCAAAUCAUUGAAAAUUAAUGAAUUUCUCUUAAUAUGUUAUAAUUAAAGUUCAUUUAUUUAUUUAGGAGUAACAAAUGGCGAAUCUAUUGGUUUUAAAUCCAUUUGAAUAAUGUGUUACAAAUUAAUGAUAUGCUAACCACUGGUAGUUUAGGGGCUUUAUAAAAUGGUCUUGACCACAUGGAACCCAACAAUAGUCCUAAAUCAUAAAUCUUAUUUCUUUUUUUAAGGAGUGUGAUUGGGGCAAGGUACCAAUCAUGCAACCGCCAACAUGAAAAAAAAAAAAAAAAAAAAAGAAGAAAGAAAUGAAUGAAAGAAGAAGCAGCAGAAGAAGAACAAAUCACGUUAUGUUUGUCAAGUGCAAAUGCAAGCAAGUUGGUUGGGAUUCUCCUAGUUGACCCAAGUUUGCUUAUCAGGUUGAUAGAAAAAAUCAUUUUUUCAGAAAACUUAUUUCUUUUACCAAUUUACUUAUCCCAGUUGGCCCAAAUGGAAGGACAACAACUUUACCUUACAAUUAGCUAAGUAUUGGAGUGUUAAAUGUUGCAGGACAUGUUUGUUGGAGGAACUGAUACUACAUCUGCAUUGCUACAGUGGGCAAUUUCUGAGCUGCUAAGAAACACAAAUGCAAUGCACAAACUGCAAAAAGAAGUGAGACAAUUGCCAAGAUGCAAAUCAGGCAUCACAGAGGAUGAUUUAGAGAAUCUCCAGUACUUAAAAGCAGUAAUCAAAGAGACUCUUCGAUUGCAUCCACCAGUUCCAUUACUUGCUCCUCGUGAAUCGAGGAAGGCAUCCAAGAUAAUGGGAUAUGAUAUUGCUGCCGGUACUCAAGUGAUCAUCAAUGCAUGGGCAAUGGGAAGGGACCCAAAAUUGUGGGAAGAUGCGGAGAGUUUUUGGCCGGAGAGGUUCUUGAAUAGUUCUGUGGACAUUAAAGGGCAACAUUUUCAGUUCAUCCCAUUUGGUGCUGGAAGGAGGAGCUGCCCUGGCGCAGCAUUUGCCAUGGUUACAGCUGACCUUGCACUUGCAAAUUUGGUGUGCAGCUUUGAUUUUGAAUUGGCAGGCGGAGCAAGGCCAGAGGAUUUGGAUAUGACUGAAGCUCCUGGUAUUGUUACACCAAGGAAAAUUCGUCUUCUACUACUUGCAAGUCUUCCUAAUUAGGCAGUUGCAAGAUAUUAUACUAUCAGCAAUUAGGUAAUCACUUUUAGUAUUGGCGUGGAGUUCAAUUAAGAAAUCUUUAUGAAGGUUUAAUGAUUUAUUAUUGUUCUUGCGUGCAAAUAAGAUGGCUUUAGUGUUCGAAAAAUGUUAUGGUCACAACAAGAGGUAAUAUGAUUUUACCCUUCAAAAGUGCAAAAAUAUUUUGAAACGUUUCAAAGAUGCUAUUGUGGCAUGAUUAUUUCAAUAGAUAGUAAACUUUUUAAAACUCGAGAUCUUUCAUUCAUACUUCCUUCUCCCAAACCAUCCAAUCCAUCUCUCCCCCAAAUAGAUAGCGAACUUAAUUAUAUGUAAGACACAUACAGCAAAGCAAACGAGUCGAAUCGAGUUGAAUUUUGAGCUAGUCUAAUUGGGUCUCGAACUAAUUUUAUCAAACUCGAACCUGAACUUUACAAGAGCUCAAUUUUAAGCUUUAGUUUUUCUUGGAUAAUAUUAAGGGAUUUCAGGCCAGAUUCGAGACAGAAACUUGAACCAUGGGAACUUGAAAUGAACUGCUUCAUAAGAACGCGAUCCGCGAGGGUAUCCGUAUGCUAAUAAGUGUAGUGGGACAAUGUCCAUUCGACCGUCCCAGAAACAGCAUACCAUUCCUUGCCCUCCAUAUGUAAUACGCAUUAAUUGACAGGGCCAGCUUCAACAAAUUUUUGGUGGGUGCAGGAAAGUGAAUGAUCGAAUCCACUAAAUAGUGAUGCCAAUGAUAAGAGCCUGUAAAGCGGCGAAGCAUAAACCCUGAAUCUUUCUCCACCCUGCAGUGGAAAGGGACAAGGUGCAGAUGAUAGUUUGUUUCUUCAGCCUGCUGGCAGAAGGCACACGGGACAUCAACCUUCAUUCCCAAUAGUCAAUGUUUGCCCACGUAGUACAAAUAUAAACAUUAGUGUAGAAGCUUGAAGAAGUUCUGCAUCGAAACUAAUCCAAAUGCCAUCUUUGUUGGAACAGAGAGACUUCCCGCGUAAGUGUAAUGACAUGACUUGAUUGAUUUUGAAUUGAAAUUGAAUCAUCGAUUGAUCUUAAAUGUCAAAAUAAAUUCUACGGCAACAAAAGUAAAUGAGAGUUGAAAAUAAGAGCUCAAAUAGCCAAAAUUGCUAUCCACAAUUGCGAAUUGCUUUCGUGACACAUGCCCUUACUUCAUGGGACAAUAUGUCUGUUCGACAGUGUAGUAGGACUCCUUGAAUAUAACAUAGGGAUAAUUGCAGAAACCUCCCUUGAGGUUUCUGACACUUGCACUGACCUCCCCUCUAGGUUUAGAAAUGGCAUUCAGUACCCUGAACAGGAACAAUUCGUUGUAGAAACCUCCCCUGAGGCUUGAUGUCCCAUUAAAAAAGGGUUAAUCACGUUUUAUCCCCUUAAAGAAUACCCCAUUUCUCAGUUUACCCCCUAACCUUUAAUUUUGCUCACUUAACCCCCUUUAGGACAAAAUUACCCUUGCAUUAUUUUGACCUUUCAUUUACUUGUUUUCCUUUCUUUUAUUUCUUUUUCUCUUUCUUCUUUAUUUAAUUCUUCUUCUUUCCCACAAAAAUCUUCACCUUAAUGAUUGAAAUUAAAAAAAAAUAAAUUGCAGAGAUCUAUCUUCUUCUUAAAUGAUUAAAAAAAUAUUCAAAUCACUUUUCUAAAAUACAAUUUUUUUAGCCUUUCAAUUCUUUUAAUUUUGAGUUUUUCUCUUUCCUUUUUAGUUUCUCAUUUUAUUCCCAAAAAAAAUAUCUUAAGAUGAAAUUGUGACCUGAUUAAUAGUCAUCAAUUGAAAUUUGUGACACGUGACAUCAUACAAAAAUCAAAAUUAGUUUUUGGUGCUUUUUAAACCUUCACCCAAAAAUAUGCAAUUACAAACUCAAAACAAAAAUUUCAUUGAAAUGGAAUUUCUAUUGGGAAGGAUGAAAGAGAGAAGAAAGAGAAAAAGAAAUAAAAGAAAAGAAAAAAUUUCAUCUUAUGAUAUUUCUUAAAAAUAAAAUGAGAAACAAGAAAGGAAAGAGGAAAAUCCAAAAUUAAAAGAAUUGAUAGGCUAAAAAAAUUGUAUUUUAGAAAAGCGAUUUGAAUAUUUUUUUUAAUCAUUUAAGAAGAAGAUAGAUAUCUACAAUUCCUUUUUAAUUUCAAUCAUUAAGGUGAAGAUUUUUGUGGGAAAGAGGAAGAUUAAAUAAAGAAGAAAGAGAAAAAGAAAUAAAAGAAAGGAAAAAGGUAAAUGAAAAGCCAAAAUAAUGCAAGGGCAAUUUUGUCCUAAAGGGAGUUAAGUGAGCAAAAUUAAAGAUUAGGGGGUAAACUGAGAAAUGGGGUAUUUUUUAAGGGGAUAAAAUGUGAUUAACCCAUUAAAAAAUUAUUUGUAGAAGUGAGAUAAGAAAUUUCUUCCAAUUUGCCCUGAUCUUGCUUGACAAUUAGUAUUAACAAGGGAGGGGCAUAGGCAUUAAGGAUCAAGCAAGUUCAGGGGGUAUAAAUGCAACAUAUUUUUCAUUCCAAUAUCUAGCUUGGUUUGAUGAGUGUUUCGGAAUUAAAUGCAAUUAAAUUUCAAAUUUACCCCUGAUAUAACAAUUCUUAUAAAACAAAAGAAUUACACAUACGACAACUUAACAUCUCCAUAAUUGUAACUACAAUAGUUAUUAACAUUUUGAUAAAAUAUAAGAAAAUCAUAAACCAUAACAAAAAUUAAUACUAGAAAAUAAAUAUAGUGGCUGUAUUAAUAAGGAGUAAAUUCCCAAAAAAAAAAGAGUUUUUAAACUAACUUUCUAAAGGGUGGCGAUUUUUGAGUCUCUUCUCAAAGGGUGAAAAACGCAUCGAAGGAAUGCGUUCUUCCAAAUAAAAAUGCAACUUUCAAAUACGUUUUUUAAUUUUCAUAAAUUUGUUUAAAUAUGAAAAAUUGGUUAAAUAACGCAUAAAUACCAGCUCUUUAUGAAAAAUUGGCAGGUUUUGUAGUAUGUUUUAUACCAGUUCUUUAUGGGAAAAAUUGGUUGAAUAGCGCUUAAAGGAAAACUAGUAUGUUUUGUAUUUAACAUAAAUUAAAUAUGUGAAAGUUAAAAAAAAAAUUUGCCCAUAACAUACCAGCUCUUUAUGGGAAACUGGCAGGUUUUAUAUUUAAUGCGCUAUUUAACCAAUUUCGUUGGCCUAUGGAGUCCUUCCUCUUCCAAAACAUGAACGGCUUUAAGAUGCAGUUAAUUAGUUAACUGCAUAUAAUUUAACAUGCAAAUAGUUUUAAUUAGUUAGAUAGUUAAUUAGUUAAGCAGUUAAGUUGUUAAUUAGUUAAUUAGUUAAUUAGUUAAUUAGUUUAAUAUGCUAAUAGUUUGUUAGUUUCGGAUAAACAACAGCUUUAGUUAAUUAGUUAAUUAGAUAAUUAGAUAAUUAGUUAAUUAGAUAAACAGAAAUUAGUUAAUUAGAUAAUUAGUUAGUUAAUUAAUUACUUAGAUAAUUAGUUAGUUUAUUAGUUUAUUAGUUUAACAUGCAAAUAGUUUGUUAGUUUCGGACAGACAACAGCUUUAGCUAAUUAGUUAAUUAGAUAAACAGAAAUUAGUUAAUUAAUUAAUUAGAUAAUUAGUUAAUUAGUUAAUAGUUAAUUAGUUAAUUAGAUAAUUAGUUAAUAACUAAUUAGUUAAUUAGUUUAACUAUGCAGAAAUAGUUUGAUUAGUUAAUUAGUUAUUAGUUAAUUAGAUAAUUACAUAAAUAGAAAUUAGUUAAUUAGUUAAUUAGUUAAUUAGAUAAUUAGUUAGUUAAUUAGUUAAGCAGUUAAUUAGUUUAUUAGUUUAACAUGCAAAUAAUUUGUUAGUUUUGGACAGACAACAGCUUUAGUUAAUUAGUUAAUUAGAUAAACAGAAAUUAGUUAAUUAGUUAAUUAAUUAAUUAGAUAAUUAGUUAAUUAGUUAAUAGUUAAUUAGAUAAUUAGUGAAUAGUUAAUUAGUUUAACUAUGCAGAAAUAGUUUGAUUAGUUAAUUAGUUAAUUAGAUAAAUAGAAAUUAGUUAAUUAGUUAAUUAGAUAAUUAGUUAACUAGUUAAUAGUUAAUUAGUUAAUUAAUUUAACUAUAUAGAAAUAGUUUGAUUAGUUUAAUUUGUUUAACAAAUUAAACGUUGGUUUUGAUGAAAGUACUCAAACCUUUCAUUUGGUAAAGUCAAAUACAAUUGGAGGUACUCUAGUAAAUUCACACGCUUUUACCUUUUAAAUUGGCUCCAACUUUUUCUAGGGGAGGUUAAUGCUAUUUCAAAAUUGAUAGGGAGGUCAGUGCAAAUGUCAGAAAUCUUAGGGAGGUUUCUGCAAUUUUCCCUAUAACAUAAUAUGAGUGUAGUUAUGGCAAUUAGGAGACAUAUGGUGUAUAUGCGGCUACAAUACCUCUUUUUGCAGGCCCUUUUUUUUUUCCUCUCAAGAAUAAUUUAAGUCAUACAAGGGAAGAGUUUAAGAAUUGAACCAAACAGUUGCUAUUGAGUGGUUCUAUGAUGGCCAUAAACAAUAGGUACCACAUGUUGUAGAUAGGUAUAUCGACAAGUGUAAAGGAAAAUUAAAAUCAACUGCAAUUCUGGUUGUAUAUUCAAAUGCUCAAUUUAGGUCUUUAGGCAAUGCAAUACAAAAACAGAAAACGGAGAAUAAUAUAUGACACAAUGUCAAAUGAUUAGAAGAUUUUCUGCUUUCUUUUUUUUUUUUUUUUGGUAAGAAUUUUCUGCUUUCAUGAGACUAUAAUGGAUCUAAGAACUAAUGGGCCAAAAGAAAUACCAAAGUUAAAAGAUCAAAAUUGUGGCCUUCACAUUGCUGUGCAAGCAAUCUUGUUUGGGAGGACGGAUUUUAAGUAAGGGACCCGAAAUAAAGUCAGAAACUAGAAGAAAAACCAGAAAUAAGACUAUGCAUGUCAGAUCUUCAAAUAAAUUAUAUAAAAUUUACUUUUAGAAUAAUAUUUAGCACUUUUUGUGAUGUAAUAUAUAUGACAUAAAUGUGACCGAUCAAAUAAAAAGAUGACGAAAAAUUAUGUUUGUAAUCUAGCAAAAAAAAAAAUUUUUUUUCCCAAUUACAAGAUAUCCAAAUGGUAGGCUAUUAUUUGUUUUUAAAGUAGGCUAUUCAAUUUUAGCCGAGACAUGCAUGAAUUUUUUUCAUUUAUUAUUAUUAUUAUUUUCAAUAAUGAGAAGGCCAGACGAGUGACAAGACCAAACACAGACAUGUUGGAUGCAUCAAAAGUUAGCUGUCAUAAACGGACAUAUACAUGAGGCUGUAGAUUUGCAAGUCGUAAUUGUCAAAAUCCAAGACAAUGACUCAAAAAACAAGUUGUGAAUCAUCGUUUUCGUUUUAAUUUCACCCACUUCAAUGAAAUUCAAAUUGAUUAUGAGUCUCUGGUCCCCUUGUCAAAACAUACACCAUCCAUUCCAUAAUUUGGGUGAUUUUUAAGGAAACGUCCAUUCAAGAAAACAUUUAAUUGUGGCGUUUGGAUGUGGUCGAUUUGGAUGAAUAUACACCAUAAAUCUAAAAUUCAAGUUCCAUAUUAGCCUGCGAGAAAAACAACCUCACUAAGUAACAAGAUAAGAAAGGUAAUAGGGUAGAAACAAGAAAGGAGAUGCAAUGAAAGAAAGAGAAAAAUGCUGUGACUCUUACUUUGAGACGUCCAAAAGGUAAAAAAAAUAACGCUGAAAGGAGAUGCAAUGACUACAUUAUUAGUAAUUGUGCAUUUUGUAAAUGUGAUUAAAUGCUGUCCGAUACAUGGAUUAUUUAUGGUUGUUGUUGUUACAUAUUUUUCCUACAGUUACCACGAAAUAACUCUAAUUUCUAUAAAAAAUGACCCCUAAAGGUUUUCCAGUAUGUUUUGAGCAUUCAUCACAUCAAAAAAAUUUCUCUCCUUCAUCCACAAUAUUUGCAACUAAAAAUUAGAAAAAAAAUAAACUAUGUCCCUUGUUUUUUCAAAAUUUUUUCCUUGCUCUUCUUCUAGAUGUUGUUCAUCACACUAUAUGGAAGAACUAGUCCAAGAAACCUGUCAAUUUGGUAAAAUAGCACCCUUGAGAAGAUCUUAGAUACGAAAAAUUCUAGAAGAAAAUUUCUUGGAUAUUCAAAUUAUACGGUUUGAUUUUUACGAUAAACUGAUUAUUUUUUUUGUACUUUUUGGAAAAAUAAUUUGAAAUACGAAAAAUUUUUAUCUAGAAUCAUCAUACAUGUGAUUACUUCAAAUGGAUAGAUCCGAAACUUUAUGCAAAAUAAAAGAAAUAUGAGCAAUAUCCGGCCCAAACCUGUGGACAUUUAUGUCAAUUCAUUAUUUUUGAGGAUAGUAUUGUUCUUUUGAUGUCAACCGUCACACCAUUACUAAAUGUUUGCAUUGAACCAAUGAAAGGAAUAAAGUGAGAACAAUAAUAUGUUGAGUGCAACUGCAAAACACACCAAAUCUUUGGAGGACUUCUUGUAAUUAACCCUAAAAAAAUUACCUCGGUUGUAAUCUAACAUAGAUCAUUUGCUUUGUAAAGCAUUAGCCACAAAAUCAUUAGCCCCCUCUUCUUGUAGCGUUUUUCAAAAUCAUUAAUAAAAUCCCUUGUACGGGAUUUGUUAUUUUCAAAAAAAAUUAGCCACAAAAUGAGUUUGCACGUACCCCACAAGCUAAUACAUCACUCAUUCAUGUGUCAUUUUCCAAUUAACCGUCCACUAUUUUAUGUUUGGACCAAGAUGAAUGGCAAUAUAUCUUACAUGCUCCCAACAAAAAUUGAAUCACCAAUACAUUACAUCUACGUGCAUAAAAGUACCUAUCAACUUCCACAUUGAAUGAAAUAUGUGGAAAGAUGCUGAGGAGUAUGUUCCAAAUACUUUUCCACAAUACUGUCUACAUUCAAAAUACUUUCAAAUUUUCACAAUAUGUUCACUUUCCAAUACAUUUUGAAAUUGUGGAGAGAUGCAGAGGAGUUUAAGCCAGAGAGGUUCUUGGAUAGUCCUGUGGACUUUAAAGGGCAACAUUUUCAGUUCAUCCCAUUUGGUUCUGGAAGGAGGAGCUGCCCUGGUUCUGCAUUUCCCUUGAUUACAGCUGAACUUGCACUUGUAAAUUUGAUAUGUUACUUUGAUUUUGCCUUGGCUGGUGGAGCAAGACCAGAAGAUUUGGAUAUGACUGAAGCUCCAGGGAUUGUUACACCAAGGAAAAUCCCUCUUCUCGUAGUUGCGAGUCUAGCUAGUUAGGCACCUGCAAUUAAGAUGCUAUGUUUAUGUACCUAAGUGCUCUUCUAUUUCACUAAUGAGGUUGUGAAUUUGAUUUUGGCAUGUUGGUUAAUUCAGAAACUUUUAAUGGGUGAAAAAUACUAAUUGAAUGAUUGUUCUUGUGUAUAAAUAAGAGGUUUUUACGAGGCUUGAGAAUGUUAUACUGAAAACAAAAGGUAAUAUAAUUUGACUUUUUGAAAGUGUGAAAGUAUUUUAGAAUGUUUCAAAAAAAAAAACCAACAUGACAAGAUUAAUGGGGCGGGAUAGAGGUUGUACAAAAUAUUUAUGUCAGUCAUGAUCAACUACUGUUAGGUUCAUGAGUAAAGGGUUGUGUCCCACAUUGGUCCGAGAGAUGGAGAAAGAGCGGUUGAUAUGUAAGUAAGGGCCCAAGACCUAACAGUUUAAGCUUUUGGGUCAGAGUUGGGUUCCUAACUUACAUAUUGAGCUCUUUGGCAGACUUUCUCGAGGUGUUUCUCCCUAACAAAUUGGUAUCAGAGUUUUAGAUUGCAAAACUGGGCUACUUAUGGGCAAGUAGAUUCUUCUCGGAGUUGGACGUGUGAAAAUUCUCUUCUUGGUAGUAGACCGAAGUGCUAAGGAGUUUGGCUAAUGUUGGACCAGGUGCGCCAUGGGUUUGGUAGGGGGUCCGGUUGGUGUGAGAUGGAGCCAAGGAUUGGCAAAGGUCCGAGAAGAGGUGACCUUAGGUGAUAAGGUGGGCUUGCGUUGAAUAUUAAAGUGGGUUCGAAAAAAAGGCUUGUAAAUUUGGAUUUAAUGUGGGGAUUACUCAUGAAGGGGGAGAUUUGUUAGGUUCAUGAGUAAAGGAUUGUGUCCCACAUUGAUCCGAGAGAUGGAGAAAGAGCGGUUAAUAUGUAAGUAAGGGCCCAAUACCUAACAGUUUAAGCUUUUGGGUUAGAGUUGGGUUCCUAACUUACAUAUCGGGCUCUUUAGUAGAAUUUCUCGAGGUGUUUCUCCCUAACAACUACUUAGCAGGUCUGCCAUAUUGGUCCAGGUGAAUGAAAGAGUUCUAUAUGGACCAAUGUUUUAAAACCUGGACCGUCAAUUGAACCGGUGAAGUGAAAGGGUCGAAGUUCAAUCGGUCAGACUGGUUCAAUGCUAGUUCAAUGAAUUUUUUAAAAAAUAAUUUAUAAAUAUAUAUAUAUGCACAAAAUAAGACAUGCAAUGGACUAAUUUAAAACUUUAUAUGAUGAAAAUUUUACUAUUUUUGAAUAAUUUGGAUUUCAAAAAUAAAUUUUUUAAAUUAUAAGUUAAAACAAAUAAAUUUCAUCUCAAUUUCAAUUAUAUCUACCAAAACAAUCUUAAAUUCAACCCAAAAAUAGCACCAUAUUUUGAAAUUAUACAAAAUUCACGUCUAUGAGAAUUUGACAUUGUGAACUUAAAUUUUAAUUUAAGUCUUUGGGAUUUAGAGAUUGCAAUUUAAAAAGAAAGUUUGGAGUUCGAAGGAAGUCAAGAGAAUCGAAAACAGAAAUACAAAUUUGAUAAAAAAAAAUGAGAUAAAAGUGAGUAGUUGAGGCAUUAAAUAAUUUGGGUUAAAGAAAAAUUAUUCUUUUUUAACUUUUUUCAAUUUAAUGGACAAAAAUAAAAUUAAAAGAUGGAAGAAAACAUCAAUAAAUUAAAACUAAAGAGUUUGAUUAAAAGGGAGUGACAAAAGAAAAGAGGAGAGAGAGAGAGAGAGAGAGAUAGAGAUAAAGAGAGAGAGGUUGAAAAUUAAAAAAAAAGAGUCAUGAGAGAAUGAGAUUUUGUAAGAAAAAUGGAAAAAAGAAAUAUGGAUGUUUGUUUUAUAUAAAUAAUUAUUAAAAAAAGCAAAUAAGAUGUGAUGGUGCAAUGGUUACUAAAUUGGUCUUCUAUUACAAAGGUCUUGAGUUUGAAUCAUGAUAGAAGUAUUUUGCAAAACUUUAAAAAAAAUGUGGCUAGAAACUUAAAAACCGGUUCAAUCCGAUUCAACGGUUUUUACGAAUUUGGCUGGUUUGAUCGAUUUUCUGACAAAGUCAACUCUAACAUAGAACCGGACCGGUGGCCGGUUCGCGAUUCAAUCGGCGGUCCGAUCUUGUUUCCAAAACACUGAUAUGGACAUACAAAUCCUCUACUUGAUUCUAUAAUGAUUUACUUGGAAUGUAGGUUUUGCAUGUUCACAUGGAACUAUCUCAUUAAUUUUAUAUCAAUUACUUGCCAUACCAAAUAGUUGAUCAUGAGCGACAUAAAAUUUUUCUAGAGAGUACUAUUAAUAAAAAUAUGUCCCAACAAAGAUUCGCCGCAGAAGACAUCCGGAUCAAGAGAUCAUCCAAAUGAUAGUAGUAAUUGAGAGCGUGGACGUGGAAAUCUAUAGUACCAACUGUAACUUUUUAUUCAAUCAAUAAUUCUUGUAUUCAUUUUUUUUUCCUUUUAUUGAUUUAGAGGUGGAAUUUUAAUUUAAGAAGAGGGGACAGAAACGGGAAAAUUUAGAAUCAAGGGUUUCUUUUUUUGGGUUUUUCAAGAUAAUAGAAGUAAAAGCACAACGCACUAGAGAGGGAAUUGAAUAACUGAUCCAUAUUGGCUUCCAAAAUUUUUAGCAUACUUUUAUUAUUAACUCAUGAACUUCAUUGUGCAAUUUAUAUGUGGGGAUUUCAAACCACUAGACAAGAGCUCAUUAGCUUAAAUUAUGACUUUGUUCGUACACUUUUGACGUUGCUAUAUAUGUAUUUUACAAAAAAAAUUUCACUUAUACAAAGAUUGCUUGUAACCCAAAGAGGUUGGUUGUAAAGUCAUAAAUCUCAGUUCAUGGUUAAUAGGUUUCAUGUUUUAAUGGCCGUAAACAACCAACAUGUGUCCAGUCAGUAUUUGCAUUUAUUGAAAAGGUUUUAUUCAUCUUUCAAACAUUUUUUUUUUUAUGGAUUAACAACCUAGUAAAUUUGAAGAAGCCUUGAAUCCCUUGUCGUUUUUUAAAUUUCAUCUCUCCUGUGUUAAAAAAAAUAAAAAUUUGAUCGUGCAUUGACCAAACAUUUAUUUAUAUGGUUGAAUCCCCUACAACUUGUAUGAGGGUAAUCCAAGACAUUCCGUUUGUACUAGCGGAAGCAAUUUCUUUACGAGAAAAUAUUUUGUAUCUAUAAAUGUCGGACAUUGAUUGGAUAAUUUAUGUAUUACUAUUCAUCUUCAGCUAAAUGAAGGUGGGAAAAGAAAGAAUUUGUCAAAGUUUCUUCCAAACCAAAAGAAAAGUAACUUGACAACUAAUAGACCUCACACUUGACAACAAAUAGACUUCGACAAAUUUCAUCAAGUCUUAUAUGUCAAAAAAAAGGCCCAAUUUAGAUUUUGGUAUCCCAAGUUGAGAUUUUGGCAUAUCAGGCCAUGGCACAUCAGGCUGUGCUUUACUUUACUUUCUUGCCAGUUGCCAUCCUUCAACAAAUGCUUUCUGUGAUUCAAUCUGGUGAAAAUGUGUGUAAUGUAUUUAUAAGAAUAAUUUUGAUAUUUUUAAAAAUUCUAUUACGAAUGAUCAUUUCCGUCAUUUUACAUUUUUAAACUUUAAUCCAAAUCAUGAAGGGUUAUGUAUACUUUUAAAACUAUAAAGGGGUUAUGUAGAAAAAAUACUAAAUUACAGGGGGAUAAAAUAUAAUAUAUAUAACUUUUGUAAGUUAUAUAUGAGCCAGGCGUCCAAUGGAUGUCACUUGUCAAUGAGAUGUCACUGGCCGAAACAAUUUCACAUUCUUGCUCCGUUUUCAAUUUUACUAACCCUGUAUGAUUUUAUUUUUACCAUAUAAUUCUCUUAUAGUUUAAUAUUUUACUAUAUAACUCCCUUAUAAUUUUUUAAAAUACACACAUAACCCCCCUUGAUUAAUAAAUAAUUUUUAACUUUAUAUAAGGGUAAAUUAUAUUUUACCCUCCUGUGGUUUACCCUUUUUUUACAUAAUCCCCCUAUGGUUUCAAAAGCUAUACAUAACCCCUCAUGGUUUGGAUUAAAGUGUCAAAGUAACGGAAAUAGUCCCUCGUAACGGAACUUCUAAAAAUGUCGAAAUUACCUUAUAAAUACAUGACACAUUAACCCCCUAUGAUUUUUAUAUUUUACCAUAUAACCCCCUUAUGGUUAAUACUUUACCAUAUAACCCCCUUAUGAUUUUCAAAAUAUACACAUAACCCCCCUUGGUUAAUACAUAAAUUUCAGCUUACAUAAGGGUAUUUUUGACAUUUUAGAUGACGCCGUUACGAGUGACUAUUUUCGUUACUUUGACACUUUAAUCCAAACCAUAAGGGGGUUAUGUAUAGCUUUUGAAACCAUAGAGGGGUUAUGUGAAAAAACGCUAAACCACAGGGGGGUAAAGUGGAAUUUGCCCUUUAUAUAAAGGUAUUUUUGACAUUUUAGGUGACUCUGUUAAAAAUUGAUUGAUUUUCGUCACUUUUACACUUUAAUCCAAAUUAUGAGGGGGUUACGUAUAAGUUUUGAAAUCAUAGGAAGGUUAUAUAAAAAAAUACUAAAUCAUAAAAGGGUAAAGUGUAAUUUGUCCAACAAUUUUGAAGUCAAGCACCUAAGUUGAAUAUUUUCGAACUUCAGCAGGUAAAGCACAAUUCUAAUUAAAGGCGUUAUCACAACAUCUAGAAAGUACAUAUAAUGUUGAAUAUUUCUACCUUCCCCAAAGGUAUCGGAAUCGAAGGGCUCAGCGGUAUCUCUUAUUUUCAGUCCUUCUCUUUCAUUUUUCUUUUAUCUUCCCUCCCAAUUCUUUUCCAUCAGGCUUUAAAUAUAAUUACAUAAUAUAGCCACUGGAUUUUUGUUAAAUUUGUGAUAAUGUAGUUUGGACAGAUGCAAAUAUUUUAAUAUCUCCCAUUAAUGAUAAUUGUUAUCUGCUCACCCAUUCUAUGGAUAUAAUGGAACGUAACAGAAAUGAAAAGGAGGAUUCUGAUUGCAAAUACAAACUACAUAGACACAAAACUAAAGAAGUCGAAAUUAAUUCUUUCUUUUUUUUUUAAUUUCAACCUAACCUUUAUUAACAUUAAGACUUGUAUUUGUUGUCAGUUUAGGUCCAUUAUUCCUGUCUAGGUUGUUGGAUAAUUUAAUGCAAGAAAUAGGAAACCAAGAAAUGUGAACCUUAUCAAGCAUAUGCAGCUUCGAGAAAACUUGGUUGGUGCAGGGAAGCAAUUCAAACAAAUCCAAUCAUUACUGGUGCCAAUAAUAAGAGCCUCUAAAGAUCAAACAUGAACCAUGUGUGGAAAAAGAUGUCAAGAAAAAGAAAUGAUCGUGUGGUUUCCUCAGCUGCUGGCCACAAGGCACAUGUGGCAUCAACCUGCAACAUAAAUUAUUGUGCCAUGUAAUUAUUGGGACAAUGAGACUACGUGGCUUAGACUGACUUUGAAUUGAGACUGAAUCAGAAUCAUUCUGUUGCUGCAUAUGGCCAAUUCUGAAGUGUCAGAAUAAAUUGGACGGUACUUGAUGGAUGCAAAUCAAAUAAUCAAACAUAAACCUGCAGGAAAUCACGAGAAAAUUUAUCAAGACGCAAAGGAAUUUUCUCUAUAUUUCAAACAAGGCUGCGGCUAUUCUGAUACAAACCAUACAAUACGCAACUCAACGGACAGAGGCUUGGCUACUGACUCUAUAUAUGAAAUUGAAUGCUUCUAACGUAUGAGCCCAACACGGCUAACUUAUCAGACAUAUGCUUGAAAUACUAAAACUUGAGUUGAUCUAGUUUUCAAAACCAUAUAACUUGGCGAUGGUAUGACAUAAUUUGAAUCAUUGAAUAUUUGAAAUCUAGAUCUAUUCAAGUGUGAACCGACUUGAAAUACUACUACUGGCUAGUACUCACACAGAUGGGUUUAAAUCCCAUGUGACCAUCAUAGUAACUAAUUUAUACAAAGAACAAUACCAACCACUUAACUAUUGACACGCGCCCAAUAAUUAAACUAACCAAUUAAGUUGGUUUUUGAUAAUAAAACAUAUUUCAUUAACAGAUUAUUGGAAAUCAUCCAGCACAAUUGAUAUACAUUGCUGUCCUAAUGGCAAAUAAAACAUGCACAAUUAACUUGGUUUAAUUAACAAAUGAGAGUUGACAAAUAAGUGCUCAAAUGGUCAUAAUAUGUACUCAAUUGCUAUUGUGACGCAUGACGAUUGACUUUCACGACAAUGUCCGUUCCACAGUAGAAUUUAGCUUCUCUCUAUUUUUCAUAAACACAUUUAAAUGCAUGACAUAUGUUUUUAUAUAUUACAAAGGGAUAUGAUUAUUUAAAAUUUAACUAAUCUUAACUUUUAUUAAUAAAUGACGACAUGUAUCAUACAUCCAAAUGUGCACUGCAGUAAAUAGAGAGAUAAUCCACUAGAAAAGAGCCAAAUCCUCCACAGUGUAUUAGGAUUAGGAGAUAUCAUAUGUAUAUGUGGUUACUAUACCUCUUUGUGCAAGAUUUCUAUUUUUUUUUUUUUUACUAAUGAAAGAAUUUUUUGGGUUCAAGAAAUAUUUUAAAUCUUACAAGGUAAGGGUUUUUGAGUUGGAUCAAGUAGUUAUGAGCAAUUGGGGGGAAGGAGCCCCUGUUAGGUAAAUCUUUACCAUAUCACUGGUGUUUGUUUCGGUACCAUACUUGUCAGAUCAUCAUGGCUCUUUAAUUUGGGCUAUUGAUACAAAUACAGAGCAAAUUAUUGGAAUAAUCACUAAUUUUUUGAAUAUUCGAGCUUUGACUACUCAAUUAUUAAUAGUAUAUUUACAUUUUAUAUCCACUAAACUAUCAAAAAAGUAAAUUUUGAGUCAUUCCAUCUAAUUUAACUGUUAAUUCUGUUAUAUUUAAUUAUUAAUAGUAUGUCUCGUGAAUCGUGCAAAUGAUAGAAUUAACGGUAAAAUCAAACGAAAUGUUCCAAAAUUUACACUUUUUAAUAGUUUAGUAAAUAAAAAUAAUAUACUAUUAAUAGUUGAAUAGUCAAAUCUUGACUAUUUAAAGAGUUUAAUGGCUAUUCAGAUAAUUUGCUCUACCAACAUAUGCGUGUGCUUAUGUGUUAAUUGGGGAGUGAUAUGAUAUACAACAUUAUGUUUUGUUGCUGAGGUAGCCACAAAAAAAAACCUUUCCAAAAAGAUCUUUUAGAAAGUUAGCAAUUUAUCAGUACCGUCCAUAUAUUUAUUUCAACUCCUGUUUCAAAUAAAUCAGAAUAUUACUCUUGUCAUUCAUAGUGACAGUCAAACAAAAGUGCACCACUCCUUUUUAGGUUUGUUGGACCAUGUAAUUAGGCGAAAAGUAAUGAGCGAGGAAAAACAAAGGCUAAUAGACCAAUCAAGACCACAAAGAUCUUGGGGCACAUGAUGUAGAAAUGGGCUGACAAAAUUCUUGUAAACCAAAUGACAUGGCUGCAUAGACAAAUGCACUAUUCUGACUUAGGUCUUUAGGCAAUGUAAUACCAAAAGGAAAAAAAAAACCUAUAGUAAUACAACAAUUUUCUAAAUGAUUAGAAGAUAUUCUACACUCAGAAGGCUAUUAUUGAUCUAAGAGCUACCAAAAGAAAUGCCAAAAGAAAAAUUAAAAGUUGUGGCUUUCGCUCUACUGUGCAAGCGAACUUGAUAAGGAGCUCAGAAGACAAAAAAAAGAAUAUUGAUUAUGAGGUGAGAUUUUAAGGUAGGGACGUGAAAUAAAGUCAAAAAACAAAUUAAAAAAAUAAGAAAUACAACAAUGAUUUCCGAUAUUAAUUUGGAUAACAAGUUUGUUUGGAUAGGAGGUUAUUUGAAAUAAUUACUAUAACAUUUUUUAUGAUAUGAUGUAUGUGAGAUUAAAAAAAGUGGUUGAAAAUUAUAUGUAUGAUGUAAGUAAAAUAAAAUCUAAUUUUUUUUUGAAAUUCUUGAUAUCCAAACACACCUAGAUUUUUUAUUGUAAUAAUACAACACUGAUUGUAAUUUAAUAUAUGCAAAAUUUAAAAAUGUGAUUGGAAAAAAAUGUUGAUGGAAAUCAACGAAUUGUCAAAAGUUAAGGACUCAAGGAAUGAAAUCUUAUGUUUGACUGUGGAGGAAUCAUGGGCACCACAAUGGACAGUGGUCCUUGCUGGCUUUACUAAAAGUAGAAACUUUCUACGUCUUUCGUUCUAUUGAAAAUAUCAUAUUUUUAUUUUAAAAUAUUUAUCAUAUUGAAAAAUUAAGUAACUUUUAGUCUUUUUUUAAUAUAAUUCUUCUUUCUAAUUAUAUAUAUGUUAUUAUUCAAAUUUAAAUUUUAAAUUUAUGAGGAUAAAAUAAAAAAAAGUAUAAACGUCACAAUCAAAUCACUGUUUUAAAAAUUAAAUUCUUCAAUUAUGACUAAAUAAUUGGCAUGGAAGGAGUAUAAGUCUCUUCAUCAUCAGUGUAGACCUCAAAAUAUUUAAUCAAAUGAAUCACAUACAGUGGACACAAAACGAGAGAUUCGCACCUUAAGCAAUCAAGCAAGAAAGGAUAGAUUAACACUGUUCAUCAUUCAGGGUAGGCCCUCAAAAUACAAAACAAGCUCGAAAGCUUGGCAGCUCAAUCGGCGGAAGAAAGGACAAACGAGUUCCUGGGGCUACCAGAAGACAAAAACGAAGAAACCGGAGCAGGAGGCAUUUUCUUAUUAACACACGAAUCUUAUCUUACUCAACGAAGAAACGCGAGUUGGAGGCAUUUUCUUAUUGACUUUGAAUCUUUUCUUAUUGUUGUAUCGAUCGAUCAAAAAUUUAUGAUUUUUACAUAGAUUAUCAAGCAUCAAAAUCUAAUGGGAUUUAAAUUAGUGAUUAAUAAGAUAUCACAGCUAAAUAACAAAAUAAGUAGUUUUCUAAAUAAAUAAAUAAAUCCUAAAAAAAUUUGGUUUAAUAAUCUUACAUUGCCUCAUUUAAAUCAAUGUUGUCUGAUGCGACUGCCAAGAGCGCGAUCCGAAAUAAGUUGUGACGGGCUGAGCGAACUGAAGAAGAGAGAACUAGUGUGCAAGCGAGGUGAGCGAGCUGACCUGCAAAAGAUGAGCUGCGAGAGCACAAUCCGAACUGAGCACUAGGGAUUGCUCGAACUGAAGAGAACGAACUGGUACCAACGAGAUGGUCCGAAGUGACCUACAAGAAAGGUGAAUGGCGGGGCUGGUUCCCCGAUGUAGCUUCAACGGUCAAAGUUAGUGAGAGCUAUAGGAGUAGAGUUACAGUGUAGAAUACUGUGGAUCGGCAUACCUUGUGUUGCCUUGUAGGGCUGUAUUUAUAGGUUUGUGGGUGGUAGUUUCCUUAUAGGACGCAUGAGUCCUUAGUAGAGAAGGAGUCUUUCUAGGGUUUCCCCUGCUAGCUCCGAAAGGUUCGGGAGCUGCGGCCCAUCAGGCCCAUCCGGCGGAGAGGCGGUGGCCAUGUGCGAACUGGCAUCCAUCCUGUUCGAACUGAUCUAGCCAAAUUGACAGAUCACUAUAUCCGAACUGACACGUGGCCCAAUCCCAACAGAAGCGGGCACGGAAGGAGCUCACGCGUGAACAGAUCAAAGUUCUGGAGCCCUCUCGCAGGAACUCCUGAACUGAACACCUUGAGCCACGUUCAGUUCGAACAUAGUGAUCUGUCAGUUUGGCCAGAUCAGUUCGGACAGGAUGGAUGCCAGUUCGCGCAUGGCCGCUGCCUCUCCGCUGGAUGGGCCUGAUGGUCCACGGCUUCCGAACCUUUCGGAACUAGCAGGGGAAACCCUAGAAAGACUCCUUCUCUACUAAGGACUCAUAGUUCUAUAAGGAAACUACCACCCACAAGCCUAUAAAUACAGCUCUACAGGGCAACACAAGGUACGCUAUCCACAGUAUUCUACACUGUAACUCUACUCCUAUAGCUCUUACUGACCUGACCGUUGGAGCUACACCGGGGAACCAGCCCCGCCAUUCAUCUCUCUUGUACGUCACUUCGAACCAUUUCGUUGGUACCAGUUCGAGCACACCCCUGGUGCUCAGUUUGGAUUGUGCUCUCUGCAGCUCAUCCUUUUGCAAGUCAGCUCGCUCACCUCGCUUGCGCACCAGUUCUCUCAUCUUUAGUUCGCUCCGCCCGUCACAGCUCAUUUCGGAUCGCGCUCUCGACAGUCACAUCAAUUGGCGCCGUCUGUGGAACGUAAUUCUUCCCUUUGCGAAUCAUGUUGAAAACUAGAUCUCAGAGGAACACUGACGGAUCUAAGGGAAACGAGCGAGGCGACCCCCAAAAUCCCCGUCAAGAUCCAACUCCUGGUGACAAGGGUGCGGAGCUCUCGCGCAUCCCACCUGAACAACUGGUGCGAACCGUGGUGGAAAACCUGCCCACCUUCGAAGCAAUUAUGAACUACUUAAAGGAGCAAACCGGAGACCAUCAGGACCAGGAGCCUAAGGCACGGAAGACAGAUGGAAUUGUGCCCUCAGAGUCUCGAAUGGGAAGCCCAAUCCCCAACAGAAGUGGGUACGAAAGGAGCUCACGCGUGAACAGAUCAAAAUUCUGGAGUCCUCUCACAGGAACUUCCGAACUGAACACCCUGAGCCCUUCCGGGGGCUCCCACGGAGAGAGCUCUCUCCAAAGAGAGACGAGUACCGGGUACAGGAUGAACUGGAUCUUUUGCUAGAUCCGGAAGCGGACAAAUAUACCGCUCCCCCUUUGUGCCAGACAUCGAGGACUACCCGCUACUCGCGAAGUUCGAAAUAUCAAGUAUGAAAUCCUAUGAUGCAACCACAGACCCAGAGGACCAUCUGUUUGCAUUCAUGACACAAAUGCGCAUACAAACGGCCGUAGAUACGGUCAGGUGCAAGACCUUUCCAACGUUCCUAGAGGGAAAGAUGCAUCAAUGGUUCCAGGAACUGCCCCCCAGGUCAAUUCGGUUCUUCAGCCAGCUUGUGCGGUUGUUUUCAGCACAGUUCGUUUCGUCGCGAGCCUUUUCCAAGAGCACUGCUCAUCUGAUGACGAUCCAUCAAAACCCUGAGGAGUCACUGCGCGAAUACAUAUUGCGAUUCAACAAUGAGUCCCUCCAGGUCCGAGAUCGAGACGAUAAGGUUGUCAUGGCCGCCUUUAUCAACAGACUGUGCAAGCAGAAACUAUACACCGAGUUUGUGGAGAAGCCUCCCAAGUCAGUUUGGGAGAUGCUGGACCGAGCUCACGAGAAGGCUAAUGCAAUGGAAGCUAAUCGCCUGAAGACUGAACAGGAGAAAGUACGAGGCCAGAGAUGGUAGAACUUCUUUGGUCGAUCUCAAAACAGAGAGGGUAGAACUUCUUCUAUUCGACCUCCAAGCAAAAAAAGUAGAAUUCCUCUGUUCGGCCUCUAGUUGAGCCAACCUCCUCUGUUCGGCAUUUAGUUGAGUAAUGACCUGCCGACUGUUCAGUUUGGCCAACCUCCUAUGUUCGGCCUCUAAGUCACCAGCUCAAAAACCAAAUUCAUGCAACCAUGCGAUGACUCUAAACUCAAAGGGGGCUAUUUGUAGAGGAACCAAUUCACCAACGCCACAUGUCAGUUCGGACAGGCGCCAUGUCAGUUCGUGCAAGUCAGCUCGGGCAUUUACAAAGGUCAGUUCGGACAAAGCCACCUCCUCCCAGUUGGAUGGGCUUAGUGGCUGAAGCUCCCGAGCCAUUCGGGCCAGCAGACAUAAUCCAAGGAGGAGUCCAUCUCUAGUAAGGCUCAUAAUCCUACAAGGAUACUACUACCAAGAGCCCUAUAAAUAUAGUUCAACCAGACAAUACAAGCCCAGCAGUUCGUUCCUUUUGCGGGUUAGUUCGCUCACCUCGUUGGCACCAGUUCGCUCAUCCUCAGUUCACGCAGCCCGGGAUUGCUCAGUUCGGAUCGUGCUCACAACAGUUGCAUCACCGGACAUAUGAGAGAAAAUGGUCAAGUGGGCUGUGGAGCUGUCUGAGUAUGACCUGGAUUACCAACUGCGGACAGCCAUCAAAGCCCAGACGCUGGCUUAUUUUAUAGCGGAAGGUGUUUCCCUCGGACAACAGGCCAAAGAAGCUCCUACGUGAGUUGAGGCCGAACAAGCUGGAGAGACCGGCGUAAAGCCAGCUGAGGCCGAACAGGCCGGAGAGGCCGGUGGACAAUCGGCUGAAACCAAGCAAGCCCAAGAAGCUCCUUCGCGAGCUAAGACUGAAUAGGCUGUAGACGCUCCCACGCGAGCUGAGGUCAAACAAGCCGGAGAGAUUCCUGCGCGAGUUGAGGCCAAACAGGCCUGAGAGGCUCCUGCGCGAGCUGAGGCCAAACAAGCCUGAGAGGCCGGCGCGAAACCGGUCGAGGCUGACCAGUCCGGAGAAGUUGGCACCAAACCAGCCGAGGCCGAACAGGCCAAAGAGGCUAUUGUACGAGCUGAGGUCGUACAGGUCGGAGAAACUGCUACACAAGCCGAGGCCAAAGAGGCUGCCGAAUAGGCCAUCCCAACCUGGACAUCGUAUGUCGACAGAGCAUCAAGCAAGGGUAUGGAGCCGGGCUCCUCCUAAUCAGCCAUACGGGGAAAAAACUGGCUUACGCCUUGAGGUUCGACUUCAAAACCUCCAAUAACGAGUCCGAGUAGAAGGCUCUUUCAUUUAAGCUCACUCACUCAGUCUAUACAUGACAUUAGUUGUUUUGCAUAACUCUAAACUAGUUAGAAUCCUAUUCGCACAAAUGUAUUCAGUUGAGGUUGAAUUAUUUUUCACAAGUUAAAAGUCAACUCGUGCAUGUCAGGUCGCGCAUGGGUCUGGAUCUUUUCGGGCAAAUAUAUGAACUAUUUUGCAUAAGUUGGAAGUCAGUUUGCGCGCCAACCUGGGGUCUGUUCGCGCAAGUGUAUUUAGACAGUAUGAUAAGAAAAACAUGAAUGGAAAAUUUUGCUAAGUAUGGAAGAAACAAAUGUCUAUUCAUUCCACAAAAACCAUUUAUGAGAGAGGAGUUCAUACAAAAAGCGAACUGGUCCUACUCAGUUCGAACUUACAAGUUACUCGAGCAAAGGCAGCAAUCGUGGAAUCGUAGGUCCCACACCAAACUAACCUGUCGCCUCAAAAUUUGGUCCAGACUCAAGCGACUUUUCGAUGACUCUAGAUUCAAAGGGAGGCUAGUAUAGUGGGGCCAAUCAACCUGAGCCAUAUGUCAGUUCGGACAUAGUAAUCUGUCAGUUCGGUCAGAUCAUUUUGGACAGGAUGGAUGCCAGUUCGCGCAUGGCCGCCGCCUCCCCGCUGGAUGGGCCUGAUGGGCCGCGGCUCCCAAACCUUUCGGAGCUAGCAGGGGAAACCCUAGAAAGACUCAUUCUCUACUAAGGACUCAUAGUCCUAUAAGGAAAUUAUCACUCACAAGCCUAUAAAUACAGCCCCACAGGGAAACACAAGGUACUCCAUCCACAGUAUUUUACACUAUAACUCUACUCCUAUAACUCUCACUGACUUGACCAUCGGAGCUACACCGGGGAACCAGCCCCGCCAUUCAUCUCUCUUGUAGGUCACUUCGGACCAUCUCGUUGGUAUCAGUUCGAUUCUCCUCAGUUUGAGCACAUCCCUGGUGCUCAGUUCGGAUUUUGCUCUCCGUAGCUCAUCCUUUUGCAGGUCAGCUCGCUCACCUCGCUUGCGCACUAGUUCUUUUUUCUUCAGUUCGCUCAGCCCGUCACAGCUCAUUUCGGAUCGCACUCUCAGCAGUCGUAUCAAGUACAAUGCUUGAAUAGCCUGUGGACACUGCCAUAUACUCCCACUAAUGUUGUAGAUAAUGUCAUCAUUUAUUAUUUCUCAGAAAAUUAUGAAAAUGCACCAUUAUUUAGAAAAAGGUAUGGCCUGAAGUACUUUUCCUUUGAAUUAUAUCACCGAUCCAAUCACUGUAAAAGCCAACAAGAUUAAAAUUAUUAGAAUAUGGAUAAAAUAUACCAUUAGAUUAUAUACAUCUAAUGUAUCUUAAAAUCCUUUUGGCCCCUAACCCAAACUUUCUCAUGAUACCUUUAAGUGAAAAGGUUACUAACUAGAAAUUUACAAGUCUUAAUGCAAAUAAGGGUCUCGUUUGGAACCUGAGUUUUUUGAAAGUUUGUUUAAAACUUUACUGUAGAUCACUAUAAAAGUUGUAUAAAAACUUACUGUAUAAGUUUUUAAAAAACUUUAUUGUAGCAUUAAAAAAUCUUUUUUAAUAACUUCCAAAAUUUUUUAAAAAAAAAUUUUCUGUAGCCAAAAAUUUUGCCUAUAUUACUUUUGCAAAAUUAUUAUCACUUUUUUCAACUAGUUAAACCAAAAUAGGUAAAAUUAGAUGGUGCACAACAGGAUUAAUUUGAGGGGGACAUAUAUGCGAAUUUUCCCAGAAUAACAAGGUGAUUUUUUAACUACAUAAAAACAUGCCUAUAUGCACUCAUUUAACAUGUAAAUGAAGAUUCGAAUUUCAUAAAGGAAAAAAACCAUUUUCCAUUUAAAUGCAGACACAGAACUAAGCAGGCAACAGGUUCCUAGCAUCGAAGCAAACCGAAGCUAAAAAAGGGAUUUAAUCCCUCCACUAUUGUUGAGGGGAUCCUAAUAUAGGUUGACUGGGCAGCCAUUGUCGGGAAAUAGCUGAUCGCUGCUACGUCCGAAAAAAAAAAAAGCUGUCGAGCUCAAUUAAUUGAAGAAUGGAGGAGGUACUGCACCUAACUUUAGCUACAGUAGAGGAAUUUUGGGUGUUUAUCUAAAAUAGUAGAGGGCUUUGUAGUAGCAACUACGUGGGAAGCUUGAGCAGGCGGACCGUGGGGGAGGACACAAACUUCACCACCGUAAACUUGUCGGACUCCAAGUUGCUUCCAAAAUGCUGAACUUUCGUUGCGACUGCACUGGAUCGGCUGUUCACUGCUACGAAUAUUAGAGGUCUGACCAACUUCAACCGCCACUUCUCAUUUGGUGCAUCAGCUUCCGACGAGCAGGAGCACCACGCGGGAGGUCCGGAGGUAUAGCAACUAGGGCAGCUUGCUUUCUGUGGAGAGCUCUUCCUGUUUUACUGGUCAGAUGCUAAGGCCAAAAAAAAGCCACAAACGAGUCCUCUUGUCCUGCCGCAAGUUUUUUUCAAGUUUUUGACCCCAAAACGACGUCAUUUCAUUUAAGUUUUAGACAUGCCAAAAAAUUUUUUAGAGUUCUUGUAGCAAAAGUUUUUAAAAAACUGGUAGCAUACAAACUUGUCAAAUAACCAUGGUUCCAAACAGGAGUUCAUAAAAAUUAGAUGAACAAUCGUAUGACAAUGAAUGGUACCAUGCACAAUUGAAUUGUUAUUUUUAGAAGUUUUUUAUUUUAAAAAAUUAAUAUAAUGAUUUGACAAGACUAAACCCCUUUUUAAAACUUUGAUGAGGCUGUCUCACCUUAUCAGCAGUAUUUACAUCUUUGUGCUGCAAGAAUGCUCCCACAAUUCAAUUGGGUAAAAAAGUAGGCAAUACUAUCUAGUACGUUCGAAUUUUCCAGACUCGUGAUGCACGUGCUUUCCAACUCAUGAUACACAGCUUUUCAAGUUACACAGGACCGCAUUGGAAGAGGAGCAGGAAGGGUUGCUGGCUGUUUACGGUUAAGAUUUGAUUAAAAAAAUUGUACGAUCCAGAUUUCAUCUUGUAUCUCGAUUUUAACAAUAUGUGUGGGACUCACAAAAUUUUGUUCUAAAGUGACACAUUAUUAAAAGUAAGUUACACCAUGUGCAAACAAAGUUACGCCAUGUGCAAAAUGCACAUAGACAACCGUUCCUACACCUGAUCCAUUCCUUGCAGUUCAUGAUCAAGAUUUGAUCGAAAAAAAUAUAUAAAGUUCAAAUUUUAUUUUGUAUCUCGCUUUUUAUAUUAUGUGUAGAACUAAUAAAAUUUUAUCUUAUAAUUACAUAUUAUUAAAAGUAAAUUACGCUAUGUCCAAUAGAAUUACGUCGUAUGCAUUUUGCGUAAGGAAAAGUCUGAAGUAACGAUCGUUGCGAUAACAAAACUGUUUUUACCUGAUAUAACCGAUAAAAACACUUUUAGUGACUAUUUGAUUACCUAUUGGACUGGUCACCUAAAUAAGAUAGUACCUAAAUAUUUGGUUAGUAAGUUUUACAUAAAAAAUAGUAAGUUAAACUCGAUAAAUUAGUAACUUUUAUGUCUCAAAAAGUAAAUUAGAAUAAAUAUGGAACUUACUUUUUUUUUGAAAUAAAUUACUACUCUAUAUUCGAAACUUACUUUUUGAGAGCAAGUUUAGUUCAAAUAAUAGUAAGUUUUUAUAGAUUAAUAGUAAAUAUUGUUGAUAGUGGUCAAACCCUACUAGUUUGUAGUAUAAAUUUACUAUUUUACUUAAAAAGCUUAUAUGAAACAAGUAUUCGGAAGUUUAUUUGAAAUAAUGCUAAGAUUUUUUAUUAAUGAUUGAAACUUAGUAUUAUAGUUAGUAAUUACUCGUAAUGUCAAUGUAUGAUACACAAUUGUACGUAUCAUUUAUAAAUGUUAUAUGCUUUAAGCAUUUUAAAUAUACUAUGAAAACUAUUUUUUUUUUUUCACAUGACCUUAUAAAAUAUGUAAGAAUAAUUUGUCAUAUUAAAAAUUUUGAAUUAUUGUUGAAUUUGUGAAAGUUUAGAAAGUUUGGAUGACAAUAACAACAAAUCUUUCGAGUUAUAUAUAGAACUGCACUUAUCUAUACAUCACAAUUUUCAUAUAUUAAUACCUAUGAAUAUAAUAAAUGGUAAAGCUUUAAUAAAUUUAUUUACUGGAUCACAAGUAUAAAAGUUAAAGUUGUAUUAUAAUAACAACAAAUCUUUCGAGUUGCAUAGAAAAUAGCACUUACUUAAACAUCACAAUUUUCAUAUAUUAAUGCCUAUGAAUUUAGUAAAAUGGUAAAAUUUUAAUAAUUUAUUUUUUGGGUCACAAGUAUAAAAAAUUAAAGUUGUAUUAACGUAGCAUAAUCUUUGAAAAUUAUAGUAAAAGUACCCAUAUGUUAAGUUUUGUGACUUUCAAAUAUACUUUGUAUCAUUUACAUUAUGUGUGAAGGCUCACAAAAUUUAUCUAUUUUAAACUCCUAAUUCUAGUUCAUUUAAUUAUUUAAUUUCCUGUUUGCCCUGAAUAUUAUUUUCUAACCUUUUUAGACCUAAUUACAUAGGUCUAUAACUUAAUUAUAUUUUUAAAGUGAUUUGUUUCAAAAUUUAAUUUUUGGAAGCUCGUUAAGUGAGAAUACCGAUUGCGUGGUUGGAAACAAUAACCGUUUUGGGCAGGCAGUGAGUUUCGAAAAUUGGAGACAUGUACAUUAAACUUAAAAGAGAUUUUAUACUUAAGUAUUCAAGUAUUAGUUAGUGAUAUAAUCGUUAUAAGAAUUUCUUGGAGAUUUCACAUUAUCGCGCAAAAAUCGGAAAUACGCGUUUUCACACGCGCGAUUAAUUGAGGAAUUUAAGACCAUUAUUUUAGACCAUUAAGAGUGAAUAAUAAUAAGUAUGAAUACAGGUGCAUUAGAGGUUUAGUGCACUAGUGAAACAAACUCGAGAGGAAUCUAGCACAAAACGCGCGCGUACGCGCACUAUCCUUAGUUGACUUUUGGAGCAAUUUUGGCCACACAUUCUUAAGCUUCUCAUGGAAGUAUCACACCAGCUCAAAACCCUUCUUUUCUCACCUCAAGUGCACGGCUGAAACUCUCAUUUUCUCACCUCAAGAGCUGGCCAAAACAAGAAAGAAAAGAAAGGAAAGAAAACUCUUUAUUUCUACCUCAAAUCUUACUCUAAAUCACCUCAAACUUUAAUCACACUUUGCAAUCUACUUGGAGAGCAACUCAAGCUACAAAAAGGGCUGCUUUCCAUGGUUUUCUUGAGCAUUUUUGGACUGAAAUUUCUGCCUUGGUUCAUCUAAACAGGUAGUGAUAGUCUUUGCUGGUUUUGUUUGAAGUUUACUUGAAACCUGCAUUUGAAAGCUUGAAGUUGCAAAAAUUCUGGAUGAAUAUUGCCGCAAGCUUCACCUUUCUCUUUUGAUGCAUCUCAUGCUUGGCUGUUUUCUUUUACCUGCAUUUUCUGAUUAAAGCCUCAGCCAUCCAUUUUUUUUUGCUAGCUGGGUUUGCAUGUUUUGAGGUGUUGGGGUACGGGUUGAAAAGGAAUUGGACAAGAGUGUUGGGUGUGUAUGUUUAGGGGCUGAAAUGUUUGAAUCACGUUCAAGUGCUUGCUGGAAAAGAACAAACCAUCUUUUUCGUAUGAGCUUUAUUCCAGAUUUUUGCAUCAGCUCGUUUUACGUCUCUUGCUGGUUUGGAGGUUUAAAAUUAUAUGUCUUGUUGUUUGGUUUCAAAUCAUGAUUUUGGCUAAAAAAUUUUCAAGCAAAGCUGUGCGCUUUGGGUCCUAAAUCUUGCAUGAAAUCUGCAUUGCAUUUGAAAGCUUAAAGGUUGCCGAAGCAACAUUGGCUGGAAAAUUGCAGAAAUCUCAGUUUCUUCAUGAGCCUUGCAUGAAAGCUUUUUUCCAGAUUUUGCAUAACCUUCUUCUAAGUUGUUACAUGCAAGUUGAGUUGUUGAAUCCAUUGGUUUGUUUUGCACAAAUCCAUUUGGGGUUAAAAUGCUUUGUACAAAUGAAAGAUUGCUGAAGGAAUGGCUGCUGGAAAAUUGCAGAAUAUAAGCUACGUAACUUUGCAUGAAUUCUGCAUGGAAAACUUUCAAAAUUGGCUUUUGCCCCCCCAAGUCCCUUUUUGUUCUACUAAGGCCCAAGUAGUUGGAACAUUUAAUCAAUUUGAUCCUUCUAAGUUUCUCUUUGUGCCACAAAAGCCCAAGCAUGUUUUAGUAUCUUGUAAUUAAGUCCUAAAAUUAUUGCAACUUCAAUCAUUAUUUGGCUUUUUCUUUAUUUUUGGAAUCUUUGAAGUGCUUAAACGAUUUAUUUGGACUUGAAUGUUUGAGUAAUGCUUGUUUUGGGUCUUUAGUAGAUGCUAUAUUUGGAAAUUGAACGGGUUAUUCCGUUUUCUUGGUCUUUAAGCACUUUUUGAGCUCAUUCAAGUUGCAAUUAGGUGGGUUUUGGUGUUUUUUGCUUAUACUUUACUUUUAAAUUGAUGCCUUGACCCCUUUAUUGUUUUGAAGCCAUUUUCCUUCAUUUGCUUACCAUUAGGAGAAGGUAUAAUUUCUCUUAUCUUUGUUUGUCUCUCCUACGUGCUCCUACGUGUUACGUGAAUAUGCAUGUCUACUUUGCUUUUCUUAAUUCCUUGCAUAUAUUUCAUUUACUUUUACUUUUAUUAAAGUUAUUCAUUAUGGGGUAUGUGUACACCUCUUGGCUUGUAAUAGAUAGGGCAUAGCAAGUAAUUUGGUCCAUUUUCCCUUUCCCUUUUGUUUUAGUUAGCAAAUGUAAUGGUUGCAUGCCUAUGUGUUAUAUGUUAAAUGCUUUAUUAGGAUUUUGCAUCUAGCCAAGCAUGCUAAGUGUUAUGUGCUACGUGUUUAUAAGUGAUUCGCAUGUCUACUCGCUUUUUGUAGUAUAGAUGAAUGGAAUGGAUGAAUGUACGUCACCACACUAGUCCAACGCUAGUUGUGGCUUCUUUUAUCGUUUCCACUAGUCCAACGCUAGUCGGAAUUCAUAGAAUGGGCUAGUCCAAUGCUAGACCCAAUAGGUUCUUUUUUUCCUUUUUUCAUUAAGUGCAUGAUCACCACAUAUCACGCAUUUUUCCUUAGUUUGUCAUUUGGUAUGUUCCUCAAACCCCUUCCCCUUCAUUUUAGGACUUGCAUCUCAUGCUAGUUAGGGUUCAUUUGCGUGAAAAUCCCUUCCGAUAAGGGAAACGAGCGAGUGUGGCUACUCGAUAGCCUUAGCACGCUAGUUUCGCCUUCUAAUCAAAGGGAAAAUCGAAGUCGAAAAGUUAGGAGUCAACCCCCGUACCCGACUUGUUGCAUUCCUCUAGGGUCAUACUUUCAUUUUUAUCACCUACAUACUAUUUUAACCACAUUUUUUCACAUUUCUUAAACCAUACUUUCUCACUACAUUUUUCUCAUCACGUGCUCAAUUUCACCUCACAAAUGGAAUUCCACCUUACCUUAUAUAUCUAUUAUUCUAUUUUUACACACUUGCACACAAAAAACAUUUGAAUUUUAUACAAUUUCACACAUGCACCUUUUUAUACAUUCGCACACUUGCACUUACAUUUCUUGCAUCUUUCAUACACUUUCACACUUGCACACUUAAAUUUGAACUCUCAUUUGCAUUAAUCGACCUCUAUGAGGUUUUCCUUUGUUGGCCGCCACAAUUCAUGUGGUUUGGGACCAAAAGCCUCACAAGAGACAUCGUAGAAUUUAGGAUUGCAUUUUCCUUUCCGUUUUGCAUUCAUAUAGUCAUAUCCAACGUGCAAUACAUACAUUGGGUAGAAAAUUAGGAAAGGUAAGGUUAAGUCGCGCAACUAGCCUUGGCUAGGUCAAAGGGGUGCCUUGGAUUCUAUCCUUGCCUUCCCCUUUGUCAAACGUGACUCCCGAACCUUUUUCUUUGGCUUACGUGGACUAGGAGUCGUUUUUAAAAGGGUUUUACUACUUUGUCUUUAAAAAUUUAUUUUUUAGGUGACUUGGUACACCUUAAUCAUUACCAAGUGGCGACUCCAAUUUCUCCUUCAAAAACCCUUUUAAAAAAAAACUAUUUUUUUUGGGUCAAAUCGUCGCUUUUUCCCAAGUCCCAUUGAGACCCAUGUCUUUUCAACUCACAAAAAUCAUUCUCCAAUCACAAUUGAAUCAAAAACAUCUUUCUCAAACCAUUUAUUUUUAUUUAUCAAAAAAUGGGGCGCGACAGUUGGCGACUCCACUGGGGACUUCCUAAGUGGGUCCAAGCAUUUUGACUUAACCAUUCGUUUCCUUUUUCUACCCUUUCUAUGCAUGGCAUGUGGAUAUUAGGAUUGCAUUUUUCAUUUUUUAGGACCUUUUGUCUUAUAUACGUAAUCAAACCAAUCCCUCGACUCGCGAAUGUAUGUUUGAAUGAAUGUUUAUUUGUUAUCUCGCGCUUGCAUUGCAUUUUGGGAGGUAUGGGUCACCCUAGAGCCUCGCGUUGGUUCUUGACCCUUCCCCUCCAAACGAGCACUAGCAUACGAGCAUACGCUUUACUUCUCUUAUCCCUUUUAUUUUUCUUUAGUGGCUUGUCACGCCACUCCACCCUAUUAGGAUUAGGUGACUCACUUGGACAUGUGAUCACGACACGAUGUGUGUGUAGCAUGUUCCAAUGGGUCACUCAAUCUUCCGCUUAAAGCUAUUGGUUGAUAGCCUUUAGCUUUUGGUCGAAGAUUGAGGUUUUGAUAGAUUCACUCAAACACGUAGCCGUGACACGAUGUGUGCGUAGCGGUGUUUGGGGAAUCGCUCGAGCCACCGACAAAGAACCUUGGGAUUGAUGACCCUUGGUUUCUAAGUCUGAAGGCUCGGGGGCCUAUGACCUAUCGAGUCUAGAUGCAUUAGUAAGCCAAGCCUCAUGCAUCCAUAUUAGAAUUGCCUAGGGUAGAGUCAGCCUUAUCCUGAACUAGGGACACUAUUCACGAGGGGAGGGGUCCCAACCCUCUUUCCUUAUUUAUCUUUAUUGCCUUAUCUAUUUGUCCAAAUGUGUUAUGUGAUUAUGUGUUGAACUCACGUUUCCUUGUCUCUUGUCUUUUGCAUUCACAAACAUUAGGAAAUAAGAGGUCUGGCAUGACUUUCUUUUAGAACCUACCCUUGUAGAUAGGUUAUUGCACGUUUAAAGAUUUUGGUAUAUUGCAUUCGUAGAUUAAUGAUUGCAAAUCAUUCUAGGCCUACCCUGGCAAAUAAAGGGUUCCUUAGGUCACGUUUCAUUUCAAAUUGCAUAUUUUAUUGUUUUAAUAAAAUAGCAUCAUGCAUAAACCCUAGAAAGGGAACGCCACGUAGGGAAUCCCGUUUUAGGAAUAAAACCAACCCUUUUGUGUCCCAUGGGUAUUUAACCCUUCAAGGGACUGCACGUUUAAAUUAUCGCAUAACUGGAGGAAUGAGACUCGUAGGUAAGGUAAUUGACAAACUACCUUCUUCAUUAUCAGAUGGCUUGCCCUCGCCGCAUCUACCAGUUGUUAAUACCAUCAACUGAGGUUCAACAAUGGCCUACCUUCAUGUUACCUAGUGAACUGAAUCAAGUAGCCCAAUUUUUAGGACCAAUUGGAGACUUUAAGCAGAUCAAAUCCAACAAUUAUUUGGUAGAGGCUUUAGUUCAUCUUUGGGACCUCGAGUGUACUGCUUUCAGAAUAGGCAAUAGGCAAAUGACUAUAACACUCGAAGAAGUAGCUGGCCUCUUUGGUUUACCCACACGAGGAACUGCCUUGGUAUUUCCAUUUGCUUCCGACAAGGCCGAAUUUUGUCAAAUUAUAGGAUUGAAAGAGUCCGUGCUACGAGGGUCAGAUCAGGGCGUCGCCGUGAAUAUUCUGUUUGAACGAUUUGCGCCACGCGAUGGAUUCGAGAGGCAUGUGACGGAUUUUGUGUUCACUUCCAAAGCCGUAUGGGAGCGCAAAAGGCUACUAGUAUAUGGGGUAGUUAUGGCUGGGACCUAUCUCUUUCCGCGAAAAGAUCAAAAGAUAGCCUUCAAAUCAGCAAAAAUUGUGAAUGACCUUUUCUUACGAAUUCAGGGUAAGCAAUGUUCUAUAGUCCCGACCAUUCUCGCAGAUAUUUUCUUAGCUUGUACUGGUUGUCGAAAGGGAGAAAAGUUUUUCCAUGGGGCGAACUUGGUUUUAUACAUAUGGGCUACGGAACAUUUUAAGAGACAAGCAUCAGUUGCUGAUAGUUUGCCGAUGGUUGGAUAUAAUUGGGUAAUCACACAUCCCAAAAGAGUCAACGAGGGAGUUCUACCUAAGAACGCAUCCGAAUGCGUGGAUUACUUGGAAACAUUGCAAGAUUUCAACAUUAGGUGGGUAUUAGAUUGGACAGACUGUUUUGAGCCGAUACUUCGCACUAAGGAAUCUGAACGUGUUCUUUUGCUAGGUACUCAAGGAAUCAUCUCAUAUACCCCGAAAAGAUUUCUCAGACAACUAGGUCGCAUUCAGGGGCCGCCACCGAUUUCCGAGUUUAGUGAAGUCACCAUUUUCUUUGAUCAGGGGGUAUGCCCAAAAGAGAUCCCUAUGAAGAGCCAAAUCACUGAAUCUUGGAGAACAAUAUCCGACAAUAGAAGCAUUCGUUAUCUUCCGGAGCUCAAACAGAAGGGGGUAAUGACCGCACCAUACGAGGAUUGGUUGAAAGAUUCCACCACGCAAGGGUUGCAACAUGAGCCGUAUGAGGAAAUUGAGAAGCUGAGAGCCAUCAUUAAAGCCAAGGACAUGGAGGUGGUACAGUUAAAGAAAUCCAUCGAAGUGCACAAAGGAAAGGCAGAAGAAAACAAGAGGUUAUAUGAGAAGGAGCGAGAAAGGCGCCAAGAGAUGAAGCGGAAAUGUGGGGAAUUAUAUGAUCAAGCCGACCGUGUCCAGAUGCCAUAUGCUAGAGAAAGUAAAGACUCUGUGUUGGAUAGACUUAGGAACUUUGGUGAUCUUGUACGAAAUCGCCUUCGCGAUAUGAUGUAAACAGAUGUAUUUGGUUUCUGCAAUGAAAUGAAUCUCUUUUCACAAAGUGUUUGUCAAAUAACAGGUUUGAUUAAUGGGUCUCAUUCCGAAAGUGUUGCAUCAUGCUAGGCCUACCCUUGGCACAAAAAGGGUUCCCCAACUAGGACAUGCAUCCGAAUUGUUCGAAUAGCUACUAACUCAUGUCUUUUUCUUUUUCUUUUUCUUUUUCUCUUUUGAAUAAAUUGCAGAAAUUCAGUAAUCAUUGGUUUAUCUAAAGAAGUCUUUUGCAUUCUCAGGUAAAUUUCAAAAUAGCUUUUCGGAAAAGCCCCAUUAUUACGCGAUCCCGAAGUAAGGCCCAAAGGAAUCGUGUAGACAUGAGCACUCAGCCAGAAUCGUCCGAUAAGGCCGUUGCAACUACCCAGCCGGAGGCCGCAAGUCCUGGGGUUCAGUUGACUGAAUUACUCGCAAAAUUUGGGGAAAUGGCAUCCGAAAUGGCCGCUCAAAAGAGGUUAAUCGACGAACUCGUUAGUAGCGGAGUGCAACCUGAGCCUGUGCCCGCCACACAACCACAAUCUGAACCAUUUGUUAUUCCUCCCAGCCAGACCACGUUACCAUUUGUUAUUCCUUCAAUGCAAACCACGUUUGAGGGAAUUGUCAACCCGCAAUAUGCUUAUACUCAAAAUCCUCCAUUCUAUCCUCCUUAUGGGCAAGGGUUUCAGCCUCAAAUCGACCCAAACAUGCAUCAGAACCCACCAGCUUUUUAUCAAACCACCGCAGAACCCGUGAUACCGGAGCACACUUUCCAAAAUAAGCCUGAAAUGGGUGAAUCUUCUGCUCCAAUUGAUAUGAAGUUGCUCAAACGUCUAGAUCGUUUUGAUGAAUUUAUAAGGAAGAGCCAGGGGUUGCAUAAGCAGGGAGUCCUGGAUUAUGAUGAAUUGUGCCUUUUUCCGAACGUUCAGUUGCCUGAGGGGUUCAAAACCCCUAAAUUUAACAAAUAUGAUGGGACGGGUAAUCCCAAGACACAUCUCCGACUAUUUGCCAACAAAUUGGGAAAGCCCGUGGACGAUGAGAAUUUGCCUUUAAGGUUGUUCCCCGAGAGUCUGGAAGGGGAUGCGCUUGACUGGUAUUCUAACCUGAAACUUGAAGACGUGAAAACCUGGAUUGAUUUGUCUAAUGCAUUUGUGAGACAGUACGAGUACAACUGCGAGUUGGCUCCGACCCGAACUACGUUAGAAGGAACGAAAAGGAAGCCUUCCGAGGACCACAAGACCUAUGCCAAGAGGUGGAGAAAAAUAGCUGCCAAGGUCGAGCCACCAAUGACCGAGGAUGAAAUCAUACGUACUUUCAUAAAAGCCCAUGAUCCGCCGUACUUCGAAGAGAUUUUCCGUAUGACCGGAUGUUCGUUUGCUGCAAUUGUAAAUAAACUUGAGGAGUUUGAUGACUUUGUGAGAGCUGGGAAGAUUGUCAAUGUCUCCGCCCUUAAAUCUCAGUUGGAUGCUUUACAACAAGGGCAAGGAAGCAAUGUGAAGAAGCCGCCGUUCAAAAAGAAAGAGGGGGACGCAACCUUUAUUUGGAACCAAAACCCUUCACCUAGACCCCGAUACCAACACAAUCCAAUCUACCAACCCCAUUACCCUUACUACUCAAAUCCGCGCCCUGUAUAUACUACCAACAUCCACCACCCUCGACCUCGCCCAAGCUAUCCAAACCCACCUUCAGCCCCUUUUCAAAUUUCUCAACCAAAUCCACCCCAAAACCGACCACGCCCUCCAUAUAACCCAAGAUUCCCGCCUCCAAAUAGACCUGUUUACAACCACCCUCAACCUUCUGAACCUUACAACCGACCCCCUGGCCGUACAUUUACCAACCUAGGCAGGCCUCUGGAUCAAUUGUAUGAACAAUUAAAGGCUGCUGGGAAAAUUGGUACGGUGCCCCCUCCUACCUACCCAUAUGGUAUGCCCGCGUGGUAUAAUCCACAAACUGUCUGUGCUUAUCAUUCUGGGGCCCCCGGACAUGCCACCCUUGAUUGCAAGGCGCUUAAGCAUAAAAUCCAAGAUAUGCUUGAAGCCGGGGAGAUUGUAAUCCGGAAAAGGGAGGCGCAAGGGCCGAACGUAAAUAGGAACCCUUUGCCGGACCAUGUUAAUACCAUUGGGGUCAUUAUGGAUGACACGGAGUAUAUGGAACAAGUCAAAGAUUUGGCAAGAGAAGCUGAGGUAGUUGGGGUCACAGACCAACCAUUCAUCAUAGAGUUGCCAUUCGAAGAAGAUAACCAGCCUUUUGUCUUGGAUCUUACGCCAGCAGAGAGUGAAGCUUUGAAGCCGGUAUUCAUCGAAUUCCCGAGGCAAGAGCCUGUUUUGAGCCUGCAACAAGUGCCGUGGAAUUACGAUGAACCUAUUAUACAGAUCGGGGAAAAUUCAGCUACAAAGAAAGAGGUGUCAGUGGUUACCAGAUCGGGGAGGACUGUAAGUCCAUUUGAAACUACUAUUCCGAUUCAAGCAAAGAAUUCCGAGCCGCCCAUUAAGCCAACAAUCACCGAGAAAGAAGCCGUGGAUUUCCUUAAACGACUCCAGAGAAGUGAAUACAACAUAAUCGAAAAGCUAAGCAAGUCACCUGCCCAGAUAACCAUGUUGGAUUUACUUUUCUCUUCAGACGUGCAUAGGGAUGCAUUGAUCGACGUAUUAACUAAGGCUCAAAUUCCGAGGGACAUUUCUGUUGAUAAUUUUUCAAACGUGGUUGGGAGCGUAUUAUUCAACAAACAAAUUGCUUUUUCUGACGAUGAAUUGCCGACAGAGGGCAUUGGACAUAAUAGGGCGUUGUACAUAACGGUGAGGUGCAACGGGAAAAUGCUGCCGAAGGUGCUAAUUGACAACGGGUCCGCGCUUAAUAUCUGUCCUUGGAGUACCUUGGAGAAGCUAGGAUUGCAAGACAUUAAGCUGAGGCCUUCAGGGACUAUCGUUCGAGGGUUUGAUGGAGCUCAAAGGGAGCCGAUAGGAGAGGCAGAUUUAGUAAUCGAGAUGGGGCCCGCCCAAUUUCAAAUAACUUGCCAAGUAAUGCACUUCCCGAGCAUUUACAAUAUUUUACUUGGCAGGCCAUGGAUUCACAAGUCUGGGGCUGUGCCAUCUUCGUUGCAUCAAUUGCUGAAAUUCGUAGUAAAUGACAAGCUAAUCACUAUCUUUGCCGAAGAGGACUGCCUGGUAAUCACCGAUUCUGGAUCUAAAGAGGAGGGAUGUCGAAGUGCCACCAUAUCCCCUCAUAGCACAUCCGAUAUAGUCUCCGUAAGUUGGAUCACAACGGAGGAACAAGCUCUCUCAAAAGCAAGUGUAAUGAUGGCUAAGGAAAUGAUUCGUGGAGGAUACAAAUUAGACAGAGGAUUGGGGCGUGAACUGCAAGGGAUCCUGAAGCCAGUGGAGAUUAUGGAAAAAAGGGAUACAUUCGGUUUGGGUUUCCAACCAACCGCCAAGGACAUCAAAGAGAUGAAGGAGCGCAAAAGAUCAGAGAAAGAGGGCAGGCAAAGGGUUUUUGACAUUCCCCCACUGCGGUAUACUUUUCCACGACCAACAGAGGUUAUCACAUCAGAGGUUAAUCCAGUUGAAGAAAUUGAAGCUAGUUUGGCCCAAUUGUUCGUAGGGGCAACAUUUGAAGAUAGUGUUCCAGGCAAAGCUGAAUUUCCUGAUAUCCCCGAAGGAUCAAUUCCCAAUUGGACAGCCGAGUCCCUGCCCGUCCGGAAGGAGUUUCGGUAAAAUGAAAGGGGUUUAUCAUUCAUAUUCAUGGAAAAAAUACUUUUGCAUCUGUAAAUAGUUAAUGAAAGCAUCUUUACUUUUGACUAAAAUUUGCACAUGUAGAUAUUGUUUCCGCUUGCUUUCUUUUGUUUUGCUUUCAAUCAAAGGUUUUAUGAAAAUGCACAAGUUUGUUCUUGUUAUGUUGUGUUGUUUAUUCGCUUGUUUAAAUUCAUAUUGCUUGUUCAUUUGUUUGUUGUAUGCUUAUUUGCUUAUUAUCCCACAUUCGUUAAUUCUUUCAGAUGGCCAAAAAUAAAAUUAUUUGACCCUUUGGAUAUCACAGUUCUGGAAUACGAUAAUGGCAAUUUCUAUAUCACUCACGACUUGGAGGUCUGUGAAUCCGAACUCCAAAGCGAGAGUGAUAAUGAGGAGGUAUUCGAUUCUUUUGCAAAGGACCUUGAACAAUAUGAGGAAAAACCAAAACCGAACCUGGAAGAAACAGAAAAGGUUAACAUUGGCACUGAGGAUGAAGUUAAGGAGGUGCAGAUAAGUAUUCAUUUGAAUGAAAGGCAGAAAAAGGAGAUGCUUGAAUUCUUGACCAUGUUCCAGGAUGUAUUUGCGUGGUCCUAUGAUGAUAUGACUGGCAUUUCAACUGAUGUGGUAGUGCAUAGAUUGCCCACAGACCCUUCUUUUCCACCCGUAAAACAAAAACCCAGAAAAUUCAAACCAGAUAUAAGCCUCAAAAUAAAAGAGCAAAUUGAAAAACAACUCAAAACCAACAUUAUCAUUGUUUCCCAUUACCCAAUUUGGCUUUCAAAUCCAGUCCCUGUUCCAAAAAAGAGUGGAGAGGUGAGAGUUUGUGUUGACUAUAGAGACCUUAAUAAAGCCAGUCCUAAAGAUGAUUUCCCUCUACCAAAUAUUCACAUUCUCUUAGACAAUACUGCCGGACAUGAGAUUGAAACCUUUUGCGAUUGUUUUGCUGGCUACCACCAAAUUUUGAUGGCAGAGGAGGAUAGGGAGAAGACUGCUUUCAUUACCCCUUGGGGUACCUUUUGCUACCGAGUCAUGCCUUUCGGUUUAAAGAAUGCUGGAGCAACAUAUCAGAGGACCAUGACAACCCUAUUUCAUGAUAUGAUCCACCGGGAGAUGGAGGUCUACGUGGAUGAUAUUAUAAUCAAGUCUAAAAGGGCAGAGGACCACUUGGUUGAUCUGAAGAAAUUAUUCGAGAGGUUGCGGAAGUACAAUUUAAAGCUAAAUCCUGCGAAAUGCGCCUUCGGAGCACCUGCGGGUAAGCUGUUGGGAUUCAUUGUUAGCAAGAAGGGCAUAGAAAUAGAUCCGGCGAAAAUCAAAGCAAUUCGAGACAUGCCAGUGCCAAAAACUCAGAAGGACGUGAAAAGCUUUUUAGGGAAGAUCAAUUUUAUCGGGAGGUUCAUUGGCCAACUAACUGCCACAUGCGAGCCGUUGUUCAAAUUAUUGAGGAAGAACGUGCCGUUGUAUUGGAAUGAGGAGUGCCAACAGGCUUUUGACAAGAUUAAAGAUUAUUUGUUGCAUCCACCAGUCUUAGUGCCGCCCAAACCGGGCCGACCUUUGAUUAUGUAUUUAUCCGUGCUUGAAGGAGCAGUAGGGUGUGUUCUAGGUCAGCAUGAUGACUCUGGAAGGAAAGAACAAGCCAUUUACUAUCUAAGCAAGAAGUUCACGCAGUACGAGGCUAAUUAUUCAUUCAUUGAGAAAAGCUGCUGUGCAUUGGCCUGGGCAGCCCAGAAGUUGAGACACUAUCUGUUGAGUCAUACCACGUAUCUUAUUUCCCGGUCUGAUCCUUUGAAGUAUCUUUUGGAGAAGCCGAUGCUGACUGGGCGUUUGGCGAAAUGGCAGAUAAUUCUCUCAGAAUUCGAUAUUGUUUUCACCUCACAAAAGGCGGUCAAGGGGCAAGCUAUAGCUGAUCAUUUGGCGGAAAAUCCAAGGGAUGAUGAUUAUCAACCACUCCGUACUUAUUUCCCUGACGAGAGGGUCCUAUUUGUAGGCGCUGCAGAUGAUAUAAGUGAACAAAGUCCUGAAUGGAGGCUUUUCUUCGAUGGAGCUUCGAAUUCUCUCGGAGCUGGAAUUGGAGCUGUUUUGGUGUCACCCGAAGGGAAGCAUUACCCUGCCGCUGCCAAAUUGCAAUUCGCUUGCACAAAUAACAUGGCUGAAUAUGAAGCCUGCAUUUUUGGUCUCGAAAUGGCUUUGGAGAUGGAAAUCAAGGAGUUGAUAGCUUUUAGUGAUUCAGAUUUGCUCGUGCACCAAACUUUGAAGCAAUGGAUAACCAAAGAUUCAAAAAUUCUACCCUACCAUUGUAGUCUGCUCACUUUGGCCAAGCAGUUUCGAAAUUUGGAGUUCAGACAUCUUCCACGAGCCCGAAACGCAUUUGCUGAUGCUUUGGCCACCUAUUGAAUUGAAAAAGGUUCGGACCCAGCUCUACUACUCCCAAAUUUUUGGGAUACCCAUGCUACGUGACGAACCCUUUAACCCCUGCAAAGCUCACCACCUUCUCACCCAUAAUUCUACCUAUUAUACUAUCCUUACACUCUCUAACCCCACUUUCUAGAUCCCCUAAGUCCAAAGUAGCUCCAGUAGUUCAUUACCAGCUAAAGAAAAUUUUGCAUCAUAUCACUCAAAUCCGCCUCCAUAGAAACAGUCCAAGGUCCUACGGGGAAAAAUCACUACUGAGUAAGGAGAUGAGAGGACAGACACCAGGAACAGAGGACAAGAAGAAGAGAAAGAUGAGGGAGAAAACUACCGAACUACGAAAGCUCAGGGCACGGACACUGCUGAAAGAAAAAAUGCAUACCACCGAACAGAGACAAAAACCAGAAAACCAGAAAAACAGUAGCUUAACCACAAUACGCAAAUACUUAGACAUGAAUAGCUCAGGAAUUAACAAUAACUCACAGUUGGAACUGUGGCUGCGAGAAAGCGUAUGCUAUCAAGAUCGACACAACUUGCAACUUCAUAACUACGUUUCUUCUCAUUCCUCUGCAACAGAUGUUUCCAUUACUCCAGUCCUGCACUACUUUUUGCAAUAACUCAUGCCAAUACUAUGUCCGAACAAGAAUCAAAAGCUAGUGUUUGGAUUUUAGGAAGGUUGUUGAAAUCUAGUGCAUUACCGGGAUUCGUGAGUUUAGGAGUUUGAAAAGUUUUGAAAACCCACCAAUGGGGGGAAAGUUCUCUCAAGGAAAGAGAAAGGUGCUCUCAAAGAGAGAGAAGCUGGGCCUAUAACUGAUCGCGAACAAACGAGAGACUAGAAAAAUGAUGAUUACAGAGCUUCUCUAACCAGCAAAAACACCGAAGGCAAAAGGUUUUCAAAAAGAUAGGGAUAAUAUCAGAAACCUCCCCUAAGGUUUCUCUUAAUAUCACUUUUCAUCCCUAAUGUUUUUAAAAUAUCACUUGUUUCCCUUCCUUUUGUUAUUUGUGUAACAAAAUUGUAUAAAAUUUCUAAACUACCCUUUUGCUUGCUAAUUGAAAAUACUCCAAAGCAGUUUUGUUUACUCUAAGAGAACCAUCACAUAAAAAACAAUCUCUAAUAGUAUUACCGCUUUAAAAUGCUAUAGUCUAUAAAAAUAUAAAUUUCAAAAUAAAAAAGAUAUUUAUAAAGAAAUAUACUAGCACCAAUUUAACUCUAUAUGUUCAAAACUAAUUUUUUAUGAACCUUAUAUUUUUUUCCAACUUCUUCUCAACCCGUGCCCAAGUCUUGAAAUUGUAUUGAUCAUUAUAAAAAUUAACUCAAAAUAAACAAAGAAAUCAUAACCCAUUCUAUUACAAUCAUAAAAAAUAAAAAAUAAAAAAUAAACAAAAUUCAAUUUACUCUAUAAAUUAGAAAUAUAAAAUCACAUGGCCAUCCAAAAAAAUGAGUAUGAGAAAAUGUUGGAGUAAGGAGAAGGAGAAGAAAGUGACUCUUAUUUCUUUUCUUCUUUUUUUUUACGCUCAUUUAUUUGAUAUGUAUCAAGUGAAUUAUGUAUCAAGUGAGCGUUAAAAUGGUCUUUUUGCAGUUGCUAGGGGAGAUAAGUGAUUUUUUAAAAUCUUAAGGGUACCAAGUGAUAUUAGGAAAAAUCUUAAGGGAGGUUUUUCAUAUUAUCCCAAAGAAAAUGCCAUGUUGGCAACCUAAAAAUUAGGUAGUUUUAACUUUUAAGAGUGUAUCUUCGACUUCAAUUUUAAAAAUUCAGUGUCCCUCUAUUUUUAAUGCGUUUGAAUAGAAAAUACCUGUCUUGAUCAGAACACUUGGAGUAGUUUUCAAUGCGUUUGAAUAGAAAAAUGUCAGUCGAGUUUUGACUGAGUUUACUCGCAAGCCACUUGAUUCCUUUGUAACUCUAAUUGUAACAAUGUCAAUUACUAUAAGAUAACGAUCAAUGUAAAGUGGUUAUAUUAUUUAAAGUCGUACAUCCAGUCCAAGCAGUUGCUCCCAACUCGAGAAAAGGUUGACAGUGCAUUAAAAAGUGCACAUGCUAUUGCAUUUUUGUCUUGCAUUGAAUAGUAAUUCUAGUUAAUGGUCAUUAUAUUAAAUAUAAAGGCAACGAACGAAAUUUGACCCAAAAAGUUUAAAAGAACUAGCAUCCAUGUUUUUUUUUUUUUUUUUUUUUUGCAUCUAUGUUUUUUUUUAUCCAUUUUGCAUCAAGUUUCCAGGCAAUUAGGAGGUAAUUCAUCGCAAUGAUUUUGUACUCAUCACAAUACUAUCAGGUGGCAAAUUGGAUGGCUAGAAAAUGUCGAUUAAGACAGUGGACCAACUAUUUUGAAGGACAACAAACAUCACGGGGCUUGUCUAGUCGAGAUAAGUCAGAUGCUUGCCUAAAAUGGUUGGACGAAAGAGAUUGUAGCUCAGUUGUUUAUGAUCAUUAGGUAGCGUGGCUGUACUUGGAGAAGAACAAAUGGAAGAGCUUGCUAGGGGCAUAGCCAAGAGUGACCACCACUUCUUAUGGAUGGUUAGAGAUUCAGAAGAGUGCAAACUUCCAGCCAAUUUCGAGUCUGAAUAUCAGAAAAAGGUCUAAUUGUCAACUGGUGUCCUCAACUUGAAGUUUUGGCACAUCAAGCCUUGUCAUGUUUCAUGACACACUGCGGCUGGAAUUCGAUGCUUGAAGCACUGAUUUCAGGUGUGCCAAUGAUAGCUAUGCCACAGAUUGUUGAUCAAUUCACAAAUGCAAAGUUUGUCGCAGAUGUAUGGCAGACUGGGUUCGAGUCAAGGCCAAUGACAAGGGAAUUGUUACUAGAGAAGAAAUUUCAAUGUCCAUAAAGGCAGUUACUGAGGGCGACAGCGCAAAGGAAUUCAGAAGAAAUGCUGAGAAGUGGAAGGAACUGGCACAAGAGGCUGUACGCCAAGGUGGAAGUUCUCAUAACAACAUUGAUGAGUUCGUUUCACAAGUUUUAAGCGUCUAGUUAAUUUCAUUUAGCUACAAAAUCAGGUCACGUGAAAGCCUCAUAAGCAUCUUUGGCAGACAAUAGUAUUAUAUUAGUUGAUUCAAUCAAUUGAUGCAAACCUGUCAUGCUUGUGUACGAGAAUAAUAGAAAAUUAAUAAAGUUUAUUGGAUUAAUCGAGAAUAAUAGAAAAUUAAUAAAGUUUAUUGGAUUAAUCAUGUAGAUAAUAUAGUUCGCAUUUUCAUAAUUUCUUUAAGUAUAGCUGUCAAACAAACUUAUUUAACUAAAUUUAUCCAUCCCCGCUCAUGAAUAGAUGGGUAUGUGUAUCUUAAAUUUUUGCAUAUGAGUAUAAAUGGGUUACCCAAUAAUACCCGUUUAAUAAAUGGAUAUUAUUGGGUAACCAAUCAAAGCCAAUUAACCCAUUUAGAAUUGUCUUCUCCCAAAUCUCCUCUCUUCCCCCACCCAUUUUUUUUUUUCAAAAUUUUCAUUUUGUCAUGAUGUUAACUACUUUUGUUUCAUUAUUAUUAUUAUUAUUUGUUGGUUUUAUCUUAUCAUUUUAUUUUCUUUUAGUUUGUUAACUUACUCAUUUUUCAGCAUUAUCAAUUUAUGCAAGUUUUAGCCUCUUUUCUUACUUUUCCAAAAUGAAAAUUUAAAUUUACACACGAAAAAAUGCUAGAGGUUCAAAAUUUUUGGAUUAAGUUUUUAUGUUAACUUUUAUAGUACUUAGUUCAAAUUUUUAUAUUCUUAUUGUUUAAUUAUUAAAUAGUAUGUAAUUUUGCGACAUAGAGUACGGAUCGAAAAAAUUGAUAAUUAGGCUUAUUGAGCAUUAUACGUAAAUAUUUAAAACUAAUGAUGGGUGCAAAAGAUGGUAUAAAUUGACAACUUAGUUUGCAAAAAUGAAUUUAAAUGAAUUUACAAAAAAUUAAAAUAAAUAGAUUACAAAUGGGUAAUUGGGUUACCCAAUUCAUUUUUGACUUACUCAUUUAUACCCAUCUAAUUAAAUGGAUAUAAAUGGGUUAACUCAAUUAUACCCAUUACCCAUUUUACCCAACCCAAACCCGUCCAAAUCACCCAUUUUGACACCUCUACUUUUAAGCAAACAAUCCUAAGUCCUAAGCACCAUCAAGGAUAAUUUAUCUCAACACCGUUUCACUUCCUAGUAUGUGCAAGAGAGAUUACAUGGAAAUGCAUGGCCAGUUUUCACUCUAUUCAGUUUCUAACAGACUAGGCAGCACUGCAACAAUAUACUUCAUGAAGGGGGUUAUAAGCGAAGUUUUGAUUUAAUACUACUGUUUUCUUUUUCCCCAUAUUGUUUUCCUCAUUGAGCUAUCUAAUUAAGUAAAAAUUCAAAUUCAAAUUACUGUCAGUAAAUCUAGAUUGCUCUAAAUGAGAGCAAAUCCCAGGCAUUGGUGUUGCAGUUAUUCCAAUUCAGUUUGUUCAAUUGAAUGGGCUACAAUAGAGGAACUUCUAUUUGAGCCUUUAGAGUGGAGCCCAAGAGCAGGCCUCAGCAUUCUGCUGAGAUUAAACUAAAAUUAAUGGCACGAAUCUUGAUUUCUUCGAUAUUUUUAAUGGAAAUAGAAAACUUAAACAAUUUCUACAUCUUUGAAUAUUUUUCAAGCAAGUGUUAAGUCAUAAAAGUUGCAGUGUACUAAUAUCUCAAAGAUCUUAAGUCAAAGACUGACUAUUUAAGAGAAAAUUACAAAUCAAAUAAGUAAAUGAGUAAUAGCAAUAUUCAAUUUAUCUAAAGUCAAAUUCUCCACAUUUAUUAAUACCUAUCAUGUAUUAAAUAUAUAACCAUUUUACAUUAAUCCACUUGCCUUAAAUGAUCUUCAUUAACAUAGAUCUAGGGCAUCCUUACGCAUUGCGUGAGGCUGAAAAAACUAGUAAGUAAUAAAAAACAAAGAGAAAGACAGAAGAGCAGAAGAUUAACCAAAUGGCUGAAAACCAGAAACCCCAUCUUCUUGUCUUGCCAUUUCCUGCAGAGGGCCACAUAAAUCCGCUGCUCAACUUCGCCAAACGCUUGAUCCAAAAGCGUUCAUGAUAACUUUUAUAAUUCCAGUUGAUUUAACUAAAAAAUCAGCUCACAAUGCACAAGACUCAUCAUCCUCAGAGCUAUUCAAUAUUGAGCACAUUUCCGAUGGCUCAAAUGAAGGUGAAGAACCAGACAGCUUGGCAGGCUAUUUCAGACGGUUACAUGCCAUAAUGUCCAGAGAUUUGGUGAAGCUUAUAGAGAAACUAAACAGAUCUGACUUCCCACCCAAAGUUCUUGUCUAUGAUUCAACCUUGACAUGGGCUUUGGACGUAGCUCAUCAGAUGGGGUUGCUUGGAGCUUCCUUUUUCACUCAAUCCUGUGCUGUUUCUACCUUAUAUUACCAUUUGCAAGAAGAGAAAUUGAGCGCUAUUCCGGAUGAGGAGCAUUCAUCGGUGCUGAUUCCUCCGCUUCCAUUGCUGCAGAUUGAUGAACUUCCUUCGUUUACCCAAGUCGAUGACAAGGAUCACACCAUUGUUAAGUUGGUGGUAGAGCAAUUCUCUAAUGUUGAGAAAGCAAAUUGGAUAUUUUUCAACUCCUUUGAUAAGCUGGAAUAUGAGGUAAGUUGCAAAUUUUGGUUAUGGCACAAAUUUUACUGUUCUUGCUCAGUCUUUACACAUUCUCUAUAGGAUUUCUUAGAAAUUUUUACACUUACUGAUCUAGAUCAUCAAAUAUCAUCUCUUCUGUACACAUCUGAUAUCUCCUCUUUUGUAUUUGUCAUGAAUUUAGGCCCCUUACAUCAAGGGUACUCUGAAAUACUAAGAUUUGAGGUUAAUAAUAUUAUAGUGAAAGAAAGUUCAGUUGUAGAUUACAGAGCUUCUCUAACCAGCAAAAACACCGAAGGCAAAAGGUUUUCAAAGAGAAAGGGAUAAUAUUAGAAACCUCCCCUAAGGUUUCUCUUAAUGUCACUUUUCACCCCUAAUGUUUUUAAAACAUCGCUUGUUUCCCUUCCUUUUGUUGUUUGUGUAACGAAAUUGUAUAAAUUUCUAAACUACCCUUUUGCUUGCUAAUUGAAAAUACUCCAAAACAACUUUGUUUACUCUAAGAAAACUAUUACCUAAAAAACAAUCUCUAAUAGUACAACCGCUUUAAAAUGCUAUAGUCUAUAAAAAUAUAAAUUUAAAAAAUAAAAAAGAUAUUUAUAAAGAAAUACACUAGCACCAAUUUAACUUUAUAUGUUCAAAACUAAUUUUUUUAUGAACCUUUAUAGUUUUUCCAAACUUCUUCUCAACCUAUGCCCAAGUCUUGAAAUUGUAUUGAUCAUUAUAAAAAUGAACUCAAAAUAAAUAAAGAAAUCAUAACCCAUUCUAUCACAAUCACAAAAAGUAAAAGAUAAACAAAAUUCAAUUUACUAUAAAUUAGAAAUAUAAAAUCACAUAGUCAUCCAAAAAAAUGAGUAUGAGGAAAUGUUUGAGUAAGGAGAAAGAGAAGAAAGUGACUCUUAUUUAUUUUUUUUCUUAAAUUUUUUGAGACUCAUUUAUUUGAUAUGUAUCAAGUGAACUAUGUGAAUUAUGUAUCAAGUGAGAGUUAAUAUGAUCUUUUUGCAAUUAUUAGGGGAGACAAGUGAUUUUUUAAAACCUUAAGGGUACCAAGUGAUAUUAAGAGAAAUUUCAAGGGAGGUUUUUGAUAUUAUCCCAAAGAAAAAUGCCAUGUUGGCAACUUAAAAAUUAGGUAGUUUUAACUUUUAAGAGUGCAUCUUUGACUUCAAUUUUAAACAUUCACUUUCCCUCUAUUUUUAAUGUGUCUGAAUAGAAAAUGCCUGUCUUGAUCAGAACACUUAGGAGUAGUUGGAUCUUGAGUAAUGAAUCACACCUCAUAUAUGCUCAUCUCAAGGCAAAGAUCUAUACGUACUUGAAUAAAGGUUAUAUCUAAGGUAUCAUCUUGCUAUUUUGAAGGAAAAUUAGUUAUCGGUUGUAACUAGAGUUGCAAACGAGUUGAGUCAAGUCAAGUUUUAAUCUAAUUGAAACGAACUCGACUCAAUUUUACCAAACUCGAACUUGACGAAGUUUCAUAUAAAACUUGUGUUCUAGUUUCGAUCUCAAAUUUGAACCUAGUCGUGUUCGAGGUUGAGCCUUUUAAAAAAAAUUAAAAUUAAUUAUUUUAUUUUUUGAAUGAAUAAAAAAUCAUUUUUUCCUAAUAAAUAAUAAAAAUAUUAGGGAUAUUUUACUAUUAAAAUAAAAAAUAAUAUAUAUGUGUAUAUAUUUAUAUGUAUAUAUAUUGAGUCGGCUUGUGAGCUAUCAAACUAAUUUUUCUAUGUUUGGACUCAAAUUCGAUAGCUCUGACUUAGUUGGUUCGAAUUCGAUAUUGAUCGAAUUCGAAUCGAAUUUUGACUGAGUUGACUAGCAAGCCACUUGAUUGUUUUGCAACUCUAGUUGUAACAAUGUCAAUUACUAUAAGAUAACGAUCACUGUGAAGUGGUUAUAUUAUUUAAAGUCAUACAUCCAGUCCAAGCAGUUGCUCCCAACUCGAGAAAAGUUUGACAGUGCAUUAAAAAAUGCACAUGCUAUUGCGUUUUUGUCUUGCAUUGAAUAGUAAUUCUAGUUAAUGGUCAUUAUAUUAAAUAUAAAGGCAACGAACGAAAUUUGACCCAAAAAGUUUAAAAGAACUAGCAUCCCUGUUUUUUUUUUUUUUUUUUUUUUGCAUCUAUGUUUUUUUUUUAUCCAUUUUGCAUCAAGUUUUCAGGCAAUUAGGAGGUGAACCUUUUUCUUUUUGAUAUGAAUUGAGGAGUGAUGUCCUCCACCUCUGGGGUUAGCCAAAAAACGAAAAAAAAAAAAGGUUGAUCAUGAUUAUAGUUAAUUAAUUGUAGGACAUUAAAAAUUAGAGUUUGGUGUGGGAGCUAAUCAGCCUAACCAACGAUUUUAGUUGGGCCAAUAGAUAAUGGAGAUGCAAUCAAACUUUGCUGAGUAGGUUGAAAUGCACCUAAUCAAAGAAUUUUCCAUGUGUCCAAACUCAUAGUACACGCCAGAAAUAUAAAAAUGUCAACUAGCUUGUCGGUUUUGUACGUAUAUUCGCAUCAUACUGAAGCAUGUGACUUAAUUUGUCAAGAUUCCUGACUCUUAGCAUUGUAAAUUUGUAGCUCGUAAAACUGCACCAUGGCCAAAACCAUGGUCAAGUCAACGAAGUUCCCUUUCUGCCCACAGUGGGCAGAAGCAAACGUAGGAGGCCAGCUGUGUUCUCUGGGGACGCGCAAAGAUGAACGAAAAACAAAAUGAUGUAUCGGCACCGGAGAAAGCCAGGCUGUGCGUGGAUGAAAUAAUGCAAUACAUUUUAAAAUCACAAUAAAAACUCUCUUAAAAAUUCGUUUGUCAUUUAAUGCCUAGUACUUGAAAAUAUUUUGUAAACAGUCCAGCCCAAUGAAAGGGGGAAGACCUAAAAAGUGAAUGUCAAAAUAAGGUGAAAAAAGGCACGAAAAUGUAGGUGAGAUUAUUGUCAUGAAAAAUGGAUGAAAUUUUUAAUAUUAGUUAGGGAAUUUUGUACAUGUCAAAGCAAAUGUUGUGGUAGGUUUUCUUUUUUAAUUGAGUUUGAUAUUUGAAAUAAUUUAAGCUUAAAUAUAAAAGGAAGAUUUGGAAACUUAGACAUAGAUUGAAAUAAAGGGAGAUGUGCAAUUUGGUCCCCCAAUAUUUAGUUUAUGAGUUAAACUAGUCUUUGAUAUUUGGACAAUAGAUGUGGUCCCAAAAUUUUUAUUUUAAACAAAUUUAAAACAACUAAAAGAAAACUAAAAUAUCUAAUGGUCAAAAUCAAACUAGAAUUAGUCAAAAAUUUUGACUUUGUGUACUUUGGUCCCUAAUAUUUGAAAAUUUGAUCAAUAUGGUUCCUUAUGUUUUAAAUAAUUAUAUUUCAAAUGAAAUAAAAUGCGAAUUAGAUUAAAUGCACAAAAAAUGUGUUCUCAAAUCUCAUAAAAAUCCUUAAAAGUACUCCACAUUGUCAAAACACUAUCAUUUAGCCUAAAGAGCAUCUAUUUGUUAAAUUAGUUAUAAACAAAUGACAACAAAUGAAUCAUAUAUAAAAAAAAAAUUAGUGAGAAAAAGAGAAUUUUAAUUUGAGUAUAUAGCAACUUUAAUUCUAAACAAUAUAACACAAAUCAUUGCAUGACUUGUGGAUCUGAGUUUCAAUCAGUUAUGGUUAAGCAUUGGAUUGCAUUAACAAGUAAAGAUGAUUACCAAUAUGAAUGGCACAUGUGAAUUUUUAAAAUAUUUCUUGCUUUUCUUCUUGUCUUUCCUUCAUAUUACAUCAAAUAUUUUAGUAAUGCAAUUUAAUGUAGUUAUAUUUACGUUCAUCUGACAUUGAUAAUUUUAUUGAAUAAUUUAAACAAUUGUAAAAUCUUUAUUUCAAUUGAAACUUAAUUGACAAUUGGUUGAAAUGCCAACAAAAAAAGAAAACGAAAAAUAUUAUUCAAUCAACUCAAUGACAUAUAAUUGUUGAUAUUAUAAUAGAAUAUUACUUAACUUUUUUGUUGUGAUUUCCAAAUGUAAUGCAUUAUUUCAUCCACGCACAGAACACAGUUGGCCUAGCUGCCUUUUGCUCAAAAAUCAUUAAAAAUGUUUUUGGCCAGGCAUUAUAAUAUUCAUUGGAGAAAUUAAGCCAAAGACACUUUUUGGAACUCCAACCUCAAAUUCUUUAUCUAAGUUUCAUCUUAAAAACCAUCUAAAGAGACAUCAAUUAAUCUAAAUCUGGAUCUUUAUCCUUCGUAUGUCGAGGAGAUCGGACUCUUUCUUGUUCCUCUUCUACCUUUUUUCUUUAUAGUAUUAUCCUUUGAUUACCUAUCCAAUUCAGCGAAAAUUGCUAGCUCAGAAUCCAAGAAGGAACAGAACAGGGAACACAUGGAUGAAAUUGGAUGUAGAAUUCAUGUUCUGGCCAUCCCUUUCCCUCUACAAGGCCACCUCAAUCCGAUGCUGCAAUUAUGCAAGCGUUUAACCUCAAAGGGUGUUAAAAUCACGCUAGUCACUAGCACUUCAGCACGUAUAUCAGUGCAAAAUCAGUUUGAAUCGAUCCAGAUCGAGUAUAUUCUAGACGAUGAUAACAUUGAAGCUGAGGGAUCAAACGAUUUGGAGAAAGCCGCUGCCUUCUUGAAAUGGAUUAAAAUCGCAGUUUCAGAUAAUUUGGCCAAGCUAGUCAAGGAAAAGGCGAGUUCUGGUCAUCCUGUGAAUAUAGUUCUGUAUGAUUCAAUGAUGCCAUGGAUUUUGGAGAUAGUGCAGGGACAACUAGGCCUCAAAGGGGCUGCGUUUUUCACUCAGGCUUGCGCUGUUUCUGCAAUAUUCGACCAUAUUCAUCGAGGAACGUUGAAAGUUCCUCUAGAGACAUCUACCAUAUUGCUUCCUUCAAUGCCACAACUGGAGUCGAAUGAUCUGCCUUCUUUCGUUUCUAAUCCAGGUCCGUACCCAGGUGUUUUGGAUGUUGUCCUCAGUCAGAAUAUAAACCUGGAGAAAUCAGAUUGGCUCUUGUUCAACUCUUUUAACAAGCUAGAAAAUGAGGUAGAGUUCUCAUUCCAUAAAUAAUUGGAAUUUGGAAGUUCACCCAUUAGCAACAUUUUAUUUGACGCUGUUUAAAUUAAAUUACAUAUUGGCAAUACUUUUUGAAUCAUUGUUAGUGUCAGUUAAGUUCAUCCUUGGAAUUUGAUCAUUGGUAGACCACAAGAUCUGUUUAUUUUGUUCAUAGCAAAAAUCACAUUGUACAACUUCUAGUUAGUUAUUGCUAAUAAAAAAUAAAGUUAGUAAAUUAAGAAACAAACGACUUAUAUCAACUGUUUCGAAAAUUAGACCGGACCAAAUCAGCUGGUUUGAAUAGCUAAACCGCAAACCGAUAUUGGCACUGGUUAGGUUUUCUAUUAAACUAGAAAAAGUAAGUAAACUGGUCAAUUUGGAUCAAGAAAUGGUUAAACCAGUCAAAACUAGAUGGUUGAACUAGUUUCCUCCUUUUUUUCAUUUUAAUCUUUGAUACAUUUCAAUACAAUAGGCAUAGAUAAUCUUUUCAUAAAUUCAUGCUUCAAUUUUUUUAAUUGUCUUUUUGGGGGUGGGCUUGAUUAAAAUUUGCUGUUUGGGAAAUAUUACAAUGUUGUUGCUUAAUCUCAACUAGGUAGUGACCUGGUUGACAGAACGGUAUCCAAUCAAGACCAUAGGCCCUUCUACUCCAUCCAUGUACACCGACAAGCGAUUGAAAGAUGACAAAGAUUACACCGUCAAUUUCUUCACACCAGAUUCCGAAGAAUGCCUAAAAUGGCUUGACACCAAGGAAACAGGCUCAGUUGUUUAUGUAUCCUUCGGUAGUGUCUCGGACCUUGGAGAAAAUCAAAUGCAGGAAAUAGCUUGCGGCCUGAUGAAUAGCAAUUGCAACUUCUUAUGGGUAGUUCGACCUUCUGAAGAGAGCAAAAUUCCUAGAGAUUUCAUGUCCGAGGCACAAGACAGAGGUCUAAUCGUGAAUUGGUGCCCUCAGAUAAAGGUUUUGUCACACAGGGCAGUGGGAUGCUUCAUGAGUCAUUGUGGUUGGAAUUCAACAAUUGAAGCAUUGAGCUUGGGUGUGCCAAUGGUGACCAUGCCAGUGUGGGUUGAUCAACCUACAAAUUCUAAGUAUAUUGUGGAUGUAUGGAAGGUAGGAUUGCGAGUUAAGGCGAGCGAGGAAAGGGAAAUGGUAACAAGAGAAGAAGUAGAAGGAACUAUAAGAGAAGUUAUGCAUGGGGAGAAGGCAAGUGAGCUUAGAAACAAUGCUUUGAGGUGGAAGGAGUUGGCUAAGGAGGCAAUUAGUGAAGGAGGAAGCUCAGACAAACACAUUGAAGAAUUUGUUUCGAGUCUUGAAAGCACUUAGUUAAAUUAAUAUCCAAUUUUCUUCACACAGUUUUCAAAUUUUAAUGAUCUGUUGUUAAUUUGAAAUUGCAAAUAACAGUCAACGUAUGCAUAGAUUAUCCUAAUUGACACUUCAAUUAGUAUUAACCUAUCGAUUGAAGUACUAAUGUAACUUUAAUUUAGAACUUCAAAUUCUUGGGACCUAAACCUUGAGUUGACACAUAAUUUACAAUCUCAGAAGCAAUAGUUGUAUGUGAGGCAAUUUUCUUAUUUCAAUAGUUAAGUGCAUGAGUUGGUGUGUGUGGAUCGAAAUUACUAUUUGAAUAGACAAGUCUCUAUAUUCAUAUGUUAUGUUAUUUUCUUAUUGAAUUUAGUUGAACUCGUGAAACAUAAGUCUUCAGAAGUAAUAACAAAACCAAGCUCCACUCCAGAAGCUUCGACCACAAUUGCUAAAACUCAAAACCUGCAGAAGGUGCUCAACCACCAACCAAGAAGCACCGUACCUAGAGACUGCUACCUUAGCUAUUUACCUACUUACAUUUUAGGACUACGACUUUAUUUAUCUAUCUAUGUGAAUAAUAUGAGGUUGAAUAGUAAAAUUAUGCAGCAUCAACCUUCAAUUUGAACUACAACUAUGUCUAUUAUCCCUUCACUAUGGUUGCAUAAGCUUUGAUAAUUCUCUCAACUGAUUAUCUACUAUAAUAGUAUGCAAUAUUUUAUAUACACAUGGUAUGACAUUUUUGGCUACCAUUAAUAGUAUGCCUUGCCCAAUUGUCCAACAUUACCAAAUUAUUUAACAACAUCACAGGUAUAAAUUGCCAUUCUUUGCAUGGGUCUUCUCCCUAGUAAUUAGAAUAAUAAAAACCAAGAUCACAAUAAUGUUUGUACUUACAUUCCAAAGUACCAAGACUCAUGGUACUUUUUAUAUAGUAAUGAUAAUGUUAAUGGUAAUACUAAUCUUCGUUUGUGACAUUAAGCAUUACAAAGUUGAUCAUGAUUAUAGUUAAUUGUAGGACUUUAAAAAUUAGAGUUUGGUCUGGGGGCUAAUCAGCCUAAUCAAUGAUUUUAGUUAGGCCAAUAGAUAAUGGAGAUGCAAGUCACUUUCCUGAGUAGGUUGAAAUGCGCCUAAUCAAAGAAUUUUCCAUGUGUACAAACUCAUAGUACGCGCCAAAAUAUAAAAAAAGUUAACAAGCUUGUCGGUUUUGUACAUGUAUUCGCAACAUACUGAAGCAUCUGACUUAAUUUGUCUAGAUUCCCGACUCUUGGCAUUGUUACUCGUGAAACAGCACUUUGGCCAAAACCAUGGUCACGUCAACGGGUGGAAAGUUCCCUUUUCUGCCCACAGUAGGCAGAAGCAAAUGCGGAGGCCAACUGUGUUCUCCGGGGUUGGCACCAGAGAGAGUCAGGUUGUGCGUGGAUAAAAUAAUGCAAUACAUUUUAAAAUUACAAUAAAAACUUUUUAAAAAUUUGUUCAUCAUCUAAUGCCAAAGCAAAUAUUGUGGUAGGUUUUCGUUUUUAAUUGAGUUUGAUAUUUAAAAUAAUUGAAUCAUAAAUAUAAAAGGAAGAGUUGGAAACUUAGACAUGAUUAAAAUAAAAGGAGAUGUGGAAUUUUGGUCUAGGGGUGAGCAAUUACGGUAAAUACCGAUUUACCGACCGAAAUCGAUUUCAAUUUGGUAAUUCGGUAAUUCGGUCGGUAAAUCGGGGAUAUAGUACUAGUUAAAAUCGAAUUAGGUUCGAAAACGGUUUUAUAGUUUUUGAAUUCGGAUAUACCGAAUUCGAAUUAAUUUCGGAAUUCGAGAAAGGUGGGAUUAAGGUGAAUGGGAAGAUGCAAUCGAGCAACACUUCAGUCUAUGCAGUUGGGGAUGUUGCCGCUUUUCCAGUAAAAAUGUUUGCUGAAACACGCAGACUUGAGCAUGUAGAUUCUGCGAGGAAGUCAGCAAGGCAUGCUGUUGCUGCUAUCAUGGAGCCAGAAAAGACGGGUGAAUUCGACUACCUGCCAUUCUUCUACUCCCGCGUCUUCACAUUGUCUUGGCAGUUUUAUGGAGACAACGCAGGGGAAGUAAUUCAUUUUGGGGAUUUCUCGGGAAAGACUUUUGGGGCUUAUUGGAUUAAUAAGGGUCAUCUUGUUGGUUCUUUUCUGGAGGGUGGAACCAAAGAGCAGUACGAAGCUAUAGCCAAGGCCACGAGGCUUAAACCGGCAAUUGAAGACCUGGGUGAGCUUGAGAGGCAGGGACUGGGAUUUGCUUUGACAGCAAGCCAGAAACCAUCAUCAUCAUCACCUCCUCUUGUUGCUGGCAGUUCUAAUCUCGUCAUCGAGAAACCAUUACACGCUUGGUACGCAACUGCGGGUGUGAUUGUGGCUGCAUCAGUAGCAACCUUUGCAUACUGGUAUGGCAGGAGGCGACGAAGCAAAACAGGCUGCGAUUGCUUCAGGAAUUCGGACAAUUCGGUCAAUUUGUGUUUACCGAAUUCAAUCCGAAUUGAAUUCGAAUUCGAAAUUUGGUAAUUCGAAUACGAAUUAGGUCGAAAUAUCUCAACACCAUUUACCGAAAAUUACCGAUUUCAACCUACCGAAUUACCGAAUUCGAAUUCGAUGCUCACCCCUAUUUUGGUCCCCCAAUAUUUGGUCUAUGAGUUAAACUAGUCCCUGAUAUUUCGACCAAAAUAAAUAUGGUCCCAAAAGUUUUGACAACUAAUAGAAAAUUAGAAUAUCUAAUGGUCAAAAUCAAAUUAGAAUUAGUCAAAAGUUUUGAUUUUGUAGUUUUUGGUCCCUAAUAUUUGAAAAUUUAUUCAAUAUGGUCCCUUAUGUUUUAGAUAAUUAUAUUUCAAAUGAAAUAAAAUGUGACUUAGAUUAAAUGCAUGAAAAAAUGUGUUCUCAAAUCUCAUAAAAACCCUUAAAUUACUUCACAUUGUGAAUAUACUAUCAUUUAGCCUAAAGAGCAUCUGUUCGUUAAAUUAAUUACAAACAAAUGACAACACAUGAAUCAUAUAUAAAAGAAAAAUUAGUGGAAAAAAGAGAAUUUUAAUUUGAGGAUAUAGUAACUUUAAUUCUAAACAAUAUAACUCAAAUUGUUACAUGACUUGUGGAUCUAAGUUUCAAUCAAUUAUGGUUAGGCAUUGUGAUUUCAUUAACAAGUAAAGGUGAUUACUAAUAUGAAUGACUCAUGUGAAUUGUAAAAAUAUUUCUUGCUGUUUCUUCUUGUCUUUCCUUCAUAUUAAAUCAAAUAUUUCAAUAACACAAUUCAAUGUAUUAUAUUUACAUUCAUCUGACAUUGAUAAUUUUAUUGAAUAAUUUAAACAAUUAUAAAAUCUUUAUUUCAAUUGAAACUUAAUUGACAACUAGUUGAAAUGCCAAAAAAAAAAAGAAAACGAAAAAUAUUAUUCAAUCAACUCAACACCUAUAGUUGUUGAUAUUAUAAUAGGAUAUGUAAUUAACUGUUUUCAUUUAUCAAAUAUAAGUAUUGGGCAUUAGAUGAUGAACAAAUUUUUGAGAGGGCGUUUGUUGUGAUUUCAAAAUGUAUUGCAUUAUUUCAUCCACGCACAACCAGCUUUCUCCUAUACCUGAUGCAUCUUUUUGCUGUCCGUCUUUGUGCAUCCCCACAGAACACACAGUUGGCCUCCUUGCAUUGCCUUUUCUCAAAAAUCAUUAAAAAUGUUUUUGGCCAGGCAUUAUAAUAUCGAUCCGAGAAAUUGAAGGCAAAGACACUUUUUGGAACUCCAACCUCAAUUUCUUUAUAAAACCCAAGCAGGAACAGAACAGGGAACACAUGGAUGAAAUUGGAUGUAGAAUUCAUGUUCUGGCCAUCCCAUCCCCACUCCAAGGCCACCUCAAUCCGAUGCUGCAAUUAUGCAAGCGUUUAACCUCGAAGGGUGUUAGAAUCACGCUAGUCACAAGCACCUCAGCACGUUUAUCGGUGCAAAAUCAGUUUGAAUCGAUCCAGAUCGAGUAUAUUCUAGACGAUGAUAACAUUGAAGCUGAGGGGUCAAAAUAUUCAGAGAAAACUACUGCCUUCUUGAAACGUUUUAAUACCGCAGUUUCAGACAAUUUGGCCAAGCUAGUCAAGGAAAAGGCGAGUUCUGGUCAUCCCGUGAAAACAGUUCUGUAUGAUUCAAUGAUGCCAUGGAUUUUGGAGAUAGUGCAGGGACAGCUAGGCCUUAAAGGGGCUGCGUUUUUCACUCAGGCUUGCGCUGUUUGCGCAAUAUUCAAUCAUAUUCAUCGAGGAACGUUGAAAGUUCCUCUAGAGACAUCUACCAUAUUGCUUCCUUCAAUGCCACAACUGGAGUCGGAUGAUCUGCCGUCUUUUGUUUAUAACCCUAGUCCAUACCCGGGUCAUUUGGAUGUUGUCCUCAGUCAGAAUAUAAACCUCGAGAAAUCAGAUUGGCUCUUGUUCAAUUCUUUUGACAAGCUAGAAAAUGAGGUAGAUUUCUCAUUCCAUAAAUAAUUGGAAUUUGGAAGUUCACCCAUUAGCAACAUUUUAUUUGACGCUGUUUAAAUUAAAUUACAUAUUGGCAAUACUUUUUGAAUCAUUGUUAGUGUCAGUUAAGUUCAUCCUUGGAAUUUGAUCAUUGGUAGACCAUAAGAUCUGUUUAUUUUGUUCAUAGCAAAAAUCACAUUGUACAAUUUCUAGUUAGUUAUUGCUAAUAAAAAAUAAAGUUAAUAAUUAAGAAACAAACGGCUUAUGUCAACUGUUUCGAAAAUCAGACCGGACCAAACCGGCUGUUUGAAUGGCUAAACUGCGAACCGAUAUUGGCACUGGUUAGGUUUUUUAUUAAACUAGAACAGGUAAGUGAACUGGUCAAUUCGGAUCAAGAAAUGGUUAAACCAGUCAAAACCAGAUGGUUGAACUAGUUUCCUCCUUUUUUUAAUUUUAUAUAUUUUGACGUUAUCCAAAUUACUUAGUACUAAAAUAAUUAAAAAAUAAUUAGAUGUUUAACCCAGGAUUGAUCAGGGUCCUCAUUCGGAUCACUCACAGAUCCGAGCUUAAAAGCAUAGCUCAUAUUAGGUAAGUCUACAUGUUAAUCUUUCAUACAUUUCAAUACAAUUGGCAUAGAUAAUCUUUUCAUAAAUUCAUGCUUCAAUUUUCUUAAUUGUCUUUUGGGGUCGGGACCUGAUUGAAUUUUGCUGUUUGGGAAAUAUUACAAUCUUUUUGCUUAAUCUCAACUAGGUAGUGACCUGGUUGACAGAACGGUAUCCAAUCAAGACCAUAGGCCCUUGUACUCCAUCCAUGUACACUGACAAGCGAUUGAAAGAUGACAAAGAUUACACCAUCAAUUUCUUCGCACCAGAUUCAGAAGCUUGCCUAAAAUGGCUUGACACCAAGGAAACAGGCUCAGUUGUUUAUGUAUCCUUCGGUAGUGUCUCAGACCUUGGAGAAAAUCAAAUGCAGGAAAUAGCAUGCGGCCUGAUGAAUAGCAACUGCAACUUCUUAUGGGUAGUUCGACCUUCUGAAGAGAGCAAAAUUCCUAGAGGUUUCAUGUCCGAGGCACAAGAAAGAGGUCUAAUCGUGAAUUGGUGCCCUCAAAUAAAGGUUUUGUCGCACAGGGCGGUGGGAUGCUUCAUGAGUCAUUGUGGUUGGAAUUCAACAAUUGAAGCAUUGAGCUUGGGUGUGCCAAUGGUGACCAUGCCAGUGUGGGUUGAUCAACCUACAAAUUCUAAGUAUAUUGUGGAUGUAUGGAAGGUAGGAUUGCGAGUUAAGGCGAGUGAGGAAAGGGAAAUGGUAACAAGAGAAGAAGUAGAAGGAACUAUAAGAGAAGUUAUGCAUGGGGAGAAGGCAAGUGAGCUUAGAAACAAUGCUUUGAGGUGGAAGGAGUUGGCUAAGGAGGCAAUUAGUGAAGGAGGAAGCUCAGACAAACACAUUGAAGAAUUUGUUUCCAGUCUUGAAAGCAUUUAGUUAUAUUAAUAUCCAAUUUUCUUCACACAUCUUUCAAAUUUUAAUGAUCUGUUCUUAAUUUGAGAUUGCAAAUAACAGUCAACGUAUGCAUAGAUUAACCUAAUUGACACUUCAAUUAGUAUUUACCUAUCCAUAGAACUACUAACGUAACUUUAAUUUAGAACCUAAAAUUCUUGGGACCUAAACCUUGGGCAGACACACAAUUUACAACCUUAGAAGCAAUAGUCAUACCAAAUUCCUUUGAAAUUCUUGAUUUUUGAUUUUCUCAAAAACAUGUUAGUAGGAAAAUUCAUGCAGUGAAAGUAGCAUUAUAAUUUUACAAAUAAUAGAUAAUAAUAAAGGCAUAAGAGGAAACAAAAUAUUCUGUUUUAAGUCACUAAUUUCCCUCAACUACAAACUUGGGACUCCAAAUCUUUAAAUAGAAAAAUAUAACCACAAAUCCUAUUGUAAUUAUAGUAUCAAAAUGUGAUUUAACCUAUUUCCUAAAUCAAAUUUGACACCAAUUCUAAUCUAGUUACCAAAUAAAAAUAUAUAAUUCUAAAACUACUAAACUUCUAAAUAUGCUUGGUUUAAGGGAGGCAUUAACCAAGCAUAGUUAGAAGUCUAGUUGUUUUGGAGAUCGUGGAUUUAUAGUAUUUUUUAUAUUUUUAAAAUAAUUUAAAACAGUGAACCAGUGACUCAGCCAAUCGAACCAAUUGAACCGAUAAAACUAGGAAUUAGCUGCUUAAAUAGGUUAGUUAUGGGUCUGAGUUCAAAAACAUUGGGUGGAUCCGAUGCUGAUUUUUGUCGUUGCAGUUACUUGAAUGGAUCCGAUACUAGAUUCAAUUUAAAGUACAAAAUGAUCUGGAUCGAAUACUUGCUAAUGAUAAUAAAUAUUUAAAGGACAAAUUACACUUUACCUCCUGUGAUUUAGUGUUUUUUCAUAUAACCCCCUAUGGUUUCAAAAGCUAUACAUAAUCUUCUUAUGGUUUGGAUUAAAGUGUCAAAGUGACGGAAAUAAUCAUUUAUAAUAGAGUCACCUUAAAUUUAAAAAGUGCCCUAAUGUAAAGUUGAAAAUUAUUUAUUAACCAAAGGGGGUUAUGUUUAUAUUUUGAAAACAAUAAGGAGAUUAUAUGGUAAAGCAUUAAACCAUAUAGGGGUUAUAUAGUAAAACAUAAAAAUCAUACGGGGUUAGCGUGUCAUGUAUUUAUAAGGGUAAUUUCAACAUUUUUAAAAGUUUCGUUAUAAAUGACUAUUUCUGUCAUUUUUGACACUUUAAUCCAAACCAUGAGGGGGUUAUAUAGAAAAAUAUUAAAUUACAGGGGGAUAAAGUGUAAUUUGCCCAUAUUUAAAUGUGUUUCUACAUCUUUUCAUAUAUAAAAAAUAAUUACUUUGCAACCAAGUUGUGUCUUAACAUGACACUGUAUCUGAUCAUUAUUGCUUAUUGAGUAAACUUUUCUAUCAUAAAUAACAAUUAGUCUAACUUUUGCAUUUCAUAAUUCUUUGUGAAAAAAUUAGAUUUUGUUGUCUCUUUUUUCUCUCUUCUUGUUACAUUGUAGAGGCAUAUUCCAUAAUUCAAAAGCAAACUACUAAGCGUAGUAAAAGUAAUAAAAACCUUAACGACAUAGUUCUAAACAUGCUGGCUCAAGAUCAUCGUGAGCCCCCACUGUCAUUGUGUUAAACUUUGUAUUACAAGUUUUUUGUACUUUUGUGUACCCUAUUCAUCAAUAAAAACUACAAAAAGAACAUGCUGAUUCGUCAUUCAAAUAGUAAUGCAAUUGGAGUUGGACGGCAGAUGGAUAACAAUGCCACCAGAAGCAAUAUUUAAUGUUAUCAUUGUCUUUAUUUUAGCCCAAUAUCUAUCAUUGCACUGCAAAUGUGUAAUUCUGUUGAAAUCAUUAUACGGAAUGCGUUGAAUUUGGUAUUACAACCUUUUUUGUACUUUUGCGUACCACAUUCAUCAACAAAACCACAAAUAAAUGUGCCCAUGUAGUCAGGUGCCUACUCUUCCAAUUUCCUUUGAUAUCUAGACCAGAUUUGAAGAAAACGAAAUAUAUAUUUUUCUUAAACAUCUAGCAAGCAUAAUCAGAUCACUUUCAAGGUUCUGAUAAUUUUUUUCCUUUGGAACAAAUUCAAGACCGCAUUACAAUGGCCAUGUAUUUGUCGCUAGCAACUCUAUCUGCCAGAGGAAAAUGCAAGUAUUCUGGCUAUUGAUGUAGAAAGCUGGUUUUCCUUUCCUCUCAUACUUUUCUUCUCCACAACAUUCUUCAAAUACUUAUUCAAUUUAGCAUAAAUUGCUGGCUCAGAAUCCCUGUAAAGAAAAAAUCAAAACAGAAGCACUGAAACAUGGAUGAAAUGGAAGUAAGAUUCAUGUUCUAGCCAUCCCUUCACCACUAAUCCGAUGCUGCAAUUAUGCAAGCGCUUAACCUCAAAGGGUGUCAUGGUCACACUUGUCACUGGCACCUCAGCAAGUAUGUCUGUGCAAAAGCAAUUUGACUCAAUCAGAUCGAUUAUAUCCUAGACGAUGAUAACAUUGAAGUUGAGGCACCAAACACAACAGAGAGAGUUUUUGCUUUCGUGAGGCACUUCAAUAUGGCACUUUCAAGUAAUCUAAGCAAAGCUAGUAGAGGAAAAUGCGAGUUCUAGUCAUCCUGUGAAAGUAGUCCUGUAUGAUUCACUGAUGUCAUGGACUUUGAUUCCUUACAAAAAUGUUAAAGUCUUUCUAGAUGACCCUUUACAAUACUAAUCUUUGUUUGUUGUAUCAUCCAUUAUAAACUUGAGGAUGCAUUUACAAAUUAUAUAUAGAUUGGGUUUUGGUCCCAAUCAGUAAUUUAUUUAAAUCAUUUCUAGAUGAACCUUUAUAAUAUUGAUCUUAGUUUGCUACAUUAUGCAUUAAACAAUUGAUUUGGUUUGGGGCCUAAACGCUGACUUAAUCAGGCCAAUAGAUAAUGGAGAUGCAAUCCCACAUUAUUGAGGAGGUUAAAAAUGCACCUAAUCACAGAAGUUUCUGUGUACAAAUUUAUCAUACACGCCAACAAGAAAUAACAUUUACAAGAUUGUCGGUUUUGGAUAUGUUUUCCUAGUGAUAAGUGCUAAUUUUGUGAUCUUUUUGAAUGUGUUUCACAUUGUUUUGGAGUUAAUUUGUAGGAUUAAUUGGUAUAAAUUGUCCAUUUUAUGUCACUAAUUUGCACCUUAAGUUGAUAAAUGAAUUACUUGUGAUUUUUAUCAUUCUACUUGCAAAACCUCUUUGUUUUUGAAGAUAAAAUGAUCAAGUUUAAUUGGAAGUGAAAUGAGCAAGGAUGAGAACCUUGAGAAGUUACAACAAAUGCUAAAAGAAGUGGUGCAAAAGAAAAGAAAAAAAAUGGAGAGAAGAGAAACCCUUGAGGAAACCGCAUGCAAUUUCUCCUGUGGUUUUUGUCUAGAAUGUCAUUUUGCAGAUGCUCUGCACAAUCCUUAGGAGAAUCCCUCCAGAGAUUCAUCUGAGGGAUCCGUGAUGGCUGCAAGUUGCCAACUUGCACGGCUUCUCUUUCUUUUUUUUUCCUUUUUUGAACAAGACACAAAAGGACAUUUUGUGCUAACUUUUGGAGGAUCUAGGAGCUUCUAUUGUUGGCUCUUAACAACCAAAAAACACAUUAUUGAAUAGAGAGAUUGGCUCUUGAAGACCAAGAAUACAUACUACAUAGUUCUUCUAGCUUAAGAGUAGUUAGUUCAAGUUAGUUUGAGAGAAGAGAGAGAGUUUGGAGAAAGAAGAAGAACAACCAAAAGGGUUGCGUCUUGCCCUUUUAGGCGAGACACAAGCCCUUAAUAAAUGUAACUCUCUUUAUUUUCUCUUGAUUUAGUGUAGGUUAGUGUAGUAUUGUAAGUUAGUUGUGAUGUAUCUAUGUUUGUAUUGACUCAACAAGAAGGUCAGGGGAGAUGAAGAAGGAGAGGUCCAAGAAGCUCUAGUGACAAGGGUUCUCUUUUUUCCAUAUCUUUAUCUUUGCAUUGAACUCCAAGUUUGUUAAUACAAGAUUUGGAUUUUGUGUUUAUGAUGUUAUUUUAAAGUAUAUGCCUUGAGUAUUUGGUUGAACUUUCUAUGAUUGUUUGGUGUUGAUUUCUUGGUUGGUUGAUGCUAUUAUCUUGAUUGAGUUUUUUAGCACUUUUGCUCUUAUAAUCAGGAUUAACUGGCUAUUGAUUAUGAUUAUGUAAAGGUGUUAGAUUUGCAAUGAGAAUUGAAAUUUGACAAUAGUUCAUAGAAGUGUUAAACUUAGGAAGUACACUCACGAAAGUAGAGAUAUACCUUUGUGGCUUUGUUCUAUGUAAUUUCAUAGAAAUUAAUGAACUUGUCAUUAUGAUCAUAGUUAAUUUCAUAGAAAUUAAGUAGCAAUUGAUUAUGAAUGCCUAAAGGUAUUAGAUUUGCAAUGAGAAUUAAAAUUUGACACUAGUUCAUAGAAGUGUUAAACCUAGGGAGCACACUCACAAAAGUAGAGGUACACCUUUGUGGCUUUUGUGGUUUUGUUCCAUAUAAUUUCAUAGAAAUUAAUGAACUUGUAAUUGAAUUCAUAACCAGGAAAGUAUAUAUGAAUUAACUAUAGGUAUAGUUGGUACACUAGCAAAAGCAGAUAUCAUGUAUAUUAGGAAAUUACAUUAUAACUUAGUCGAGACUUUGGUACUCAUUUGGUUAGGGAGUUGCACUAACAUGAGUAGAUAGGGAUUCCAAUACCUAGGGAGUUUUCUUUGACAUUUGUCUAUCCAUUUGUAGGUUAGUUUAUUGUUUUUAAAUUUGUUGAUAGUCUAAAUAAUAGAGAAGGUUUAGUAGUGUCGGUAGUUGUCCAACUGCCUAGUGGGUUCGAUUCUUAACCCUAUACUCGCUAACGACCUAUGUACUUGCAGAAAAUCACAUGUAGGGUAUUUAAGAAUUUAUAAAUUUAAAACUUAACUGUAGAUUGAGUUUAAUUGUUAUAUGCAUAGCCCGCGCUCAUCACCUAGCAUGUCCAUACAUGUGAUUUAAUCUGUCCAAACCCCUAGUUCUUACUAGUGUAGCUCAUGAACAGCACUAUGGCUGUAUAGAACAGUAUUGCAGACCAUGCCAAGACUCAAGAUUGUUCAUUAUUUAAAGAUAGGAAACGACGAUCCCAAAAGGACAGAGAUGGAGAGAAUCUAACUGAAGAAUUUCAAGUGACAUCUAAUCUGAGUGAAUUUGAAAGUCAGUAAUUUUAAGCUUUAGAUUUUCUCCAAUUAGUCGGUGGAUUAUCAAAACAACAUUAGAGGAUUUGGAUAGGGAUUUGAUAUUUAGAUAUAUCCAAAUCCCUGAAUCCAAAUGAGUGAAAUGACCCUAGCUUAAUUGACAUUGAUUAUCUCAGAUUACACAUAUUGACAAUAUUAUAUCAGGUUCUGAAAUUUGCUAAUCUCUAGUAGGUUCUAUAAUUCACGAAAAUCAAACAUUGUAAUUCAUCUACAGCCAAAAAUUAUCAUACAUUGUAUAAUUCUAUUAUAAUAUGGUCCCAAUACACAUUACAUGAUCAAUACCAUACAUUUUUUCAAAUUUGAGCUUUGCCAUUGAACCAUUAACCUUCUGGAAUAGUUGUCAGUACAGCCGUUCAAGUCUCUGGUCCGCAUUAGAACUAGUUCGAGGGUGUCUUUGGUUCACUAAUGUUGAACUAGUUUGAGGGUGCCUCUGCUUCACUAAUGUCCGGGCCAUGGAACACAUGGAAGAUGGAACCAAACGUACCUAAAGUCCAACUAAACGGGCAAAAAAAUUAAGGCUUCACAGUCACAUAGCCGGCCUCCUGUCUUCUUGUUGCCCACAUACGUAAUAUUUUAUUCUUUUGUUGUCUAGCACUGCUUGUCCUACAUUCACCAUAUCUUCUCUAAAAGCGCUAUCCUGCCCAUUACAUGAUGUAAUUAACUGCUUCUCUACAAAAACUUGAACCAAAACAAAUAAAGGGAAAGAGAAGAAAUGGCUGCUAAAUCUCAUGUUCUAGUCCUCAUUUUCCCUCAACAAGGCCACAUUAAUCCAAUGCUGCAAUUUUCCAAACGCUUAGCUUCUGAAGGUAUCAAGUAACGAUAAUCACCUCAUCUUCCGUUCACUUACCAGUGGAAGUUGAAUCCAUGUUGAUCAAGUCUGAGUGCAUUCCUGAAAGCAGUAAUAAUCAAGGUGAUGAGAAUGAAAAACCAGCCGAUGGUGAUCAACAUACCCUUGCAAUUUUUGUUAAAAAUACUCGAAGCUUGAAGUUGUGGAACAUCUGCCACUGAUUUUCCAGAGAAAGGCUUCUUGUGAGCCAGCACAAAUACUUGUUUAUGAUUAAGUUGUGCCAUAUGCCUUAGAUAUUGCAAAACAGCAUGGAAUUCCAAAGGCUGCUUUUGGCACUCAAUCCGCUUCAGUUUGUGCCAUAUACGGAUAUACCAUCAUAUGCAUUUAGGGAAACUGAAAGUUCCUCUGGAAGAGCAAAACUUAUCACAGCCCUCAGUGCCCUCAGUUUCAUCAUUUUUAUCAUCUUAAUUGAUAGUGAUUUUCUCAGCGUCAGAAACAGCUUUCUGCUUUGCCAAUAUUUUGUCUCAUCCCUUCUGACAAAAUCAGCAACACGAUACUGAUGGAGAAAGAUUAAAAUUUAAAUAUAUAUGUCCAAAAAAAAAAUCGCUCAUUAUGAAUGAUUUAGACCAUUGGAUCCAAAUGCAUCUUUCCAAAUAUUGAACUGACUUUUCACAGGACCUUAUAAUCAAAUUUCUUGUAAGUCAUUCAAGCAAUAAAAUAAUGCGAAUGCAAGGAAAGCAAAACGUAUGAUUCUGUAAGAACUGGCUGAAGAACAACCAAUGCUCUGGCUAUGAAGAAAAUUGCUUUCCAGCUGUUUCUAGAGUUGAAAUGCCCUCUUGACACCUUACUACUAGUUGAAAACAAUCAAUUUCACGUUUCCAACGUUCUCAAGAAAUGAGUUACAACACUCCAAAUCAGUCUUCAACACGAAAAAAAAAAGUAAAUUCAUUCCUCUUUUAAGAUGUUAUCUUCAUUCAUGAACCUUCGAGGCCUCAAUUUCCACACUCACCUGAGAUUUUCCUAGCUUCAGUACUAUUUGUCCAAAUUCAUCAUGAAUCGUGCUAGGAAUUUUCGACCAAGAUUGCCUCAAGUUGCUUUCUUAGUUCCUCCCUGUCAUGCAAGAACUUCAACAACGGAGAAUGUAAACUAUUAGAACUCUUGAUGCGUCAAAUGGAGUCCAGGAUUGAAACUUCCAGUCUUUUUUUUUUAAAUUGAAACAAAACUGCAGGAAAAUGUGUACUGAACUUGAAAUCGAAUUUAAAGUUCAUUUCCAUCCAGAAAUUGAAUCAACUUGAGUACAAACUUUAAGUGCAAAUUUGAUUUUGUAGUUCAGUUAUGCCAUGUCCUUUUGAUACUGCAAAGUAGCUGCUUUGUUUCCCUCAUUCUGCUUUAGUUUGUACCAUAUACCAUCUUCUGCAUCUAGGGAUACUCAGAUUUCCUCUGGAAAGGAACAACUUAUCACUGCCGUCGGUUCCCACUACUACUUCAUUCAAGAGAUUUGCCUUGCUUAUAACCUAAGAGACAGGCAUUCAUUCAAGAGAUUUGCCUUCCUUAUAAUCUAAGAGACGGGCACACAUCCAUCUCUACUGAGACUUGAACUUAUCAAAAUCAGAAUUUCAAGAAAGCUGAUUGGCUCUUGUUCAGAACUUUUGACGGUCAAUAAAAUCAUGUUAUUUCUCUGUGCACAAGUAUGCAUGUCUGGAAAUCUUUAUAUCCCUCCAACUACUUUGAUUCCUUGCAAAUCUGUUAAAGGCUUUCUAGAUGACCCUUUACAAUACUAAUCUUUGUUUGUUGUAUCAUGCAUUUUAAACUUGAGGAGGCUUUACAAAUUAUACGUAGAUUGGGUUUUGGGCCUAAUCAAUAAUUUAAUUAAAACCUUUCUAGAUCAACAUUUUAUAUAUAAAGUAAUAGGUGAUGUGCUUUGCACGUGACUAUAACAUCAUAAAAUAUAAUAUUUCUUAUACAUCAAAGUUCAUUGUGAAAAAUUUUAAACAAAUUUAAUAUUUGCAUAUUUUCUAUUUUAUUUUUUAAUAAAUGGAAGGUUUUGAAUCGAGAACUUCCUACUUAUAAUCUCUUCCCCCUUACCACUAAACCCAAUCUUCUCCCUAUUUUCUUUUUUUAUUUAAUUUUUCAUCUUCCUUAAUUAAUUGUUCUUAAAAACUCACUUUCAAAAAAUAAGCGACAAAACUAUUCACUUAUCAUUUAAUGUGAUAUAUAUAAUCAUAUGUAUUAAAUUUAGUUUUUAAUAAUUCAAUAACUUAAUGGAUAAAAGGCUUACAACUAUAGGAUGGCAAUCUUGUCUGACUUCUAUGAAGACAAAACGUGAACCUACAUUUGAAUAAUUAGGAUGGUAGAAAAAAAUGGCUUGUAGACCAUUAUGUUUGACUGCCAGACAUGGAGGAUGAAAGGGUCACAUGAUGUUUAAUGCCAACAGAGUACCACAAAGACCUCAUAUGGUUACUUACACUGUACUGGUUACGACUACGGCUACAUUACAAUUUAUCUUUUAUUUAAAAAAGCUAGGAUAUGAGCAUUAAACUUCUCCCUGUUUUGGUCUUGAACCCAACCUUCUCCCUGGUUUUUUUAACUUAAAUUUUCAUGUUCUUUAAUUAAUUGUCCUUUAAAUCAUUAUUUUAAAAGUAAAAAAAAAAAGUUCGCAAAAAUGUUGUAUCUAAAAAUUCAUAUAAAAUCUCUAGAAAAUUUUUAACAAAUGAGAGUACAUUAAAUAUUGCAAAGGUCUUCACCCUUGUCAGGUUGAACUUAGGAAAACUGAUUCGUCAAUUUGGCGAAGGAUGGUAAACGUGAGCCGACAAGUGGAGCUGUCGAUGUUAUGGGUGGCCAAACAUGGGGCGUGUCAUUUUUGGUACGAUAACUGGUUGGGAAGUGGUGCUUUAUUUCUACAAGUUCCGGUUAUCCCACAUUUAUCAUUCAGAAAUUUCACACUCAAUGGUCACUGGGAUUUGAAUCUUUUAUACCAGACAUUGCCAAGGGAGAAUGUUUUUUCCAUUUUAGAGCAAAUGGUCCCGGAAGAAGGAAAUGAAGUUGAAGUCAUUUGGAUGCCCACAACAUCCGGAAAAUUCUCCCUAAAGUCCGCUUACGGGGAUAUUAGGCAGGCUCGCCCCACGUCUAUGGUAUUUGCCUCUAUUUGGCAUUCCCGCAUUCCUGUAAAAGUUUCAUUUUUCAUGUUGAGAUUACUUCUGGGAAGGAUUCCGAUACCAGAUCAGUUAUGCAAACUGGGUUUCCAUUUACCUUCCAAAUGCUUUUGUUGUUCUGCGGCAUCUGAGGAGUCUAUUGAGCAUUUCUUUUCCAAUGGCCACAUAGCGACGGUAAUAUGGAAUUAUUUUGGAGGUCUAUGUGGAUUGAAUUUUUCAGGAUCUUACUUACGAGCUCGCAUAGUAGGUUGGUGGUUGCGAUCACAUGACUAUGAGCUACGACGGUUUAUUGACCGCAUUCUUCCAAGUGUAGUUUGUUGGCAGAUUUGGAAGGCGAGCAAUAAAGCAAUGUUUGAGGGUAUCCAGAUGCGAUCGUCGGCCAUUUGCCGAGCCAUCUUCGCAGAAAUCCAUACUAUGGUGGGAAUACAGUUCAAAAAAGUUAUUCGACUGCAAUCAUUCAGUCAGUUGUAUGAUUGGAAGAUUCCUUCUGGUGGCAGGGUUGCAUAUAAAGUUAUCCGCUGGGAGACAAAGGAGACAGGAAGGUAUAUACUUAAUACGGAUGGCUGUGCUAAAGGUAAUCCAGGAGUGGGUGGAGGUGGUGGGGUUCUUCGGGAUUCAACUGGCUUACCACUGAUUGCCUUCUCGGCCUACUUGGGAGAAACUACAAGUCUCCGCGCAGAGGCUCGAGCUCUUCUAAUUGGCCUUCAAACGUGUAUACAAAAGGGCUUCGAAGACAUAUGUGUACAAUCAGAUUCAUUAGUUUUGAUUGGGAUCAUUCAGCGUCGUACUCAGUAUCCGUGGCAAAUUCGAAGAGAAGUUAACCAGAUUUGGAAGCUAGUAGAAGAUCCUGCUAGAUUCUCACAUUGCUAUCGGGAAGCUAAUACAGUUGCUGAUGCUUUGUCUAAUGUGGGAAUAUCUCAUCCACAGCAACAAAUCAAGGUUUACGAUACCUUUAGUAUGUUCCCAAGACUGGCUCGUGGAGCAAUCUGUUUGGACAGAUUAGGAAUGCCUUCACUUCGAAAAAUCACAAAUAUGUAAGAGGAAUAUUUUUUUUUUUUUUUUUUUUCUUUUUUUCUUCCCAUGAAUAAAUAAAAACAUAUUUCCAAAAAAAAAAAAAAUAGUCUCUUUCAAUUUCUAAUAUCAGUUUUGAAGACAAUUAAUUAAAAAAAGAUGAAAAUGUAACAUUUUAAAAAAUAAAGAUUUGACCAAAUAUGAAAUAAUUUGACAAAAGCAUCAAUAUUUUGAACGGUAUGUACAAUAUCGAUACUUCUAAUUACUUCUAUUUGUUUUUUCUUUUUUUUAAAGGCAAACAAAUUAUGAUAAUACCACUAAAAUUUUUAAAUUUUUAAGUUUUAAUUAGAUAUAUGAACAAUUUUUUAUUUUUCUUUUGUACUUAGAAGAUCUGAAUUUACAAGCUAAGUAAAGGUUAAUUGUUUGUUAACUAUUGGGUUGGCCCAAUGGUCAAAGUAGAAUUCUUAAAGUUUUCUUCGAUGUCAAAUUUAGGAUUCAAAUCAUGUGCUUUACAAUAAGGGAUGGAAAGGAUGUGAAAAAGGGGUGGAAGGGUAAAAGUAAAAUAAAAUAAAUAAAUAAACUUUGUGCAUAAAUAUCUAUUUCAUGCUCUACCAUUAUUUUUUUUUCAAGUUACUGUAUUUGAAUUUGUCAAUUGCUUGAUGAAAUUCCUCAAUAUGCAAUUAUAUGCAUGUUUUUUGAAAAAUGAAAUAUUUUUUGAUGUCGAACUCUUUGUUUUAUUUUGUGUGUACUGUUUCUAUUAAUAAUGGAGUAUGAAUGAUCCACCACAUAUAAAUUUUUUCUGUCUAACUAUUCAUUUUUUGAGAAUUGAAAUUUCAUUGGUAGAGAUAAUUGAGCUUUUUCUUUUUAUGUUUCCUUUUAAUUUUUAAUUUUUUGGACAAAAUCUAACAUAAAGCACAAAUGAUAAACAUUCUAUUAUUCUAAUAACACCUGGUUCUGGUAUCAAUACUAAUAUUUUUGGAAGAUUUAAAAUUUUAAAUAGGUAGUGACUAAUCAAGAAUUUUUAAUGAAAAUAAAAAAAAUUAAAAAUAGAACGCACAGAGACACAUUGGUUUGGAGUAUUAUAUUUUUUAUUGUCUUCAUAAUUCAAAUUUAAUUAAGAUUAUAGUUUUCUUCCUAACUACUACAAUUAUUGUUAUUAUUGAAAUGCAAUAAAUCUAAAUAUUAGGGAGAAGGAUAUUUUGGACAAAUAAAAACAAAGACAAGAUCCUACUUAGUCUCUAAUUCUUAAUAUUUUGUCUAGUCAUCAACCAUCAUUUUCUUUUAAAUUAAUAUAUAUAUGAUAUAAUGAAUUUUAAUCAUUAUAAUAAAUUAAAAACUGAAAAGAGAAUAAUAUGAAAUCUCAAUCAUCAAUUAAUAAGGGUAUAAUUGAAAUAAUAAAAGUUAACAUCACAAUAAUGCUUUCACUUACACUUCAAAGUAGCAAAAUUCAUGGUAUUUUUUAUAUAGUAAUAAUAAUAAGAGCAAAUUACCCAAUAGCCAUUAAACUUUUGAAAUAGUCGAAGUUUGACCAUUUAACUAUUAAUAGUAUGCCUUUACCCACUACAUUAUUGAAAGUAUAAAUAUUGGGUCAUUUCAUCUGAUUUUAUCAUUAACUUUGUCAAAUCUAACUAUUGAUAGUAUGUCACAUGAAUCGUGCCCUUAAAUUUGACAGAGUUAACGGUGGAAUCAAAUGAAAUGGUUCAAAAUUCACACAUUUAAUAGUUUAGUGGGUAAAAAUAUACUAUUAAUAAUUCGGUGGCUAAAUCUUAACCAUUCAAAAAGUUUAGUGGCUAUCUGAGUACACUUACAGUCCAAAGUACCAAGACUCGUGGAACUUUUUAUAUAGUAAUGAUAAUGUUAAUGAUAACACUAAUCUCAAUUUGUGACAUUAAGCAUUACAAAGUUGAUCAUGGAAAAGAGAUAGGGAGAAUUAUCUUUGUGAGGAGAAUUAGAAAAAACACUAAAGAAAAGAGAAAGGGAGAAUUAGGGUUUCUUUGUAAAUGGUGACUGCACGACCAUCGGACCUUUUUGGCAGUGGAGAUCCUCCUCUCGCAGGGAGGAGUUUUGCAGCGGUGGUUACUACUGGAACGGCAUUGGCAGAUACUCCCUUGGGUAUUGGUGUGGUUUCAACGUAUCGAGGGGAGUCGGCACGGCAUCUAUCCCGACAAGAAUUAGUGUCUCUGGUCGAACCAUUCCAAAACAUGUUAGUCAGGCACUUCUCAUUCAACAAGCCACCAAUGGAGGUCAUUAGAAAGUUUUUUGUUUCCUUAGGGCUCAAAGGCAAGUGCAUUGUCGGUCUUCUUGACCCUAAUCACAUUUUGAUCAGACCGAUGCUUCAAGACGAUUAAACAAGAAUUUUUUUCAUGGUAGACGUGGUUCAUUCAUAAUACACCAAUGGUUGUGUCAAAGUGGUCACUUGAUUUUAGGGCUAAUUAGAAGCUUUCGGUAGUUCCAGUUUGGACGUCUUUUCCUGACCUUCCAAUUCCAUUCUUUGCCAAGAAUCUGAUUGCCAAGCUUGCUGCAACGUUGGGACGGUUACUUUGGGUGGACUCAGUAGCACGUGAUUUGUGUUAUCCAUCAAUUGCACGUGCUCUUCCGGAGGUUGUUUCAAAAGAGCUGGUGAAAAGGGUAUGGAUAGGUGAUGAUGAUUUUGGUUUCUGGCAAAGGGUGGAGUUUGAAAAUUCGCCCUCCUACUACCAAUUUUGUGCCCCCGUUGGCCAUCAUGAGGAUAAAUGUUUUAGGAAGAACCUGUCCCUAAAACCUAAACUGAAAUCUCAGCAUAAAAGACAACAAGAAGGAUCGAAAUUACGUCAAAUCUACAUAUACAAAGUUGGGGAUAAGGGAAAGGAAAAAACAUGUGAUGAUCUGGCAGUCCAUCAAGUGCAGGAAGUGGCGGUCGUUAGCCAUAAAGUGGAGCUUUCCAAAUUUGAAAACACUGAAAAAGAGAAAGAAUGUGUUGAUCUGGAAAUACACAACACCAGGCUGUGGCAGUCGUUAGUCAACAGUUGGUGUCAAGUUUGAUUGUACCUGAAGCUCAGGAUAUGUGUGGGCAGAAAGUUGGAGGUUCGAUGCAAGCUAGUUAUGAGUCGGAAGAUAAUUUGAUGUCGAUGGGUAGAGGUGACGAGCUUCGUGAGGGCUCUCUUGAUCAGAAUGCAGAUGCCGCUGGUGCGCUUGAGCCGAACACCAUGGCACUAGCAAAUGAGCAUGCCUCUCUGCUGGAGGGCUUUCUCACUGAUGUAAAUUUUGAUGACGAGGUGGGGUUGGAGUUGAAUAAUACUUUUGCUCCAUUGCAGAAGCUAUCGGACAAGGUUGAUCCAAUACCACCCCAGGUGUUGCAAUGUGCUCUAUCACCUACAAACCUCUCUCGACAGUCUAGUACUUUGUAGCAGCUCAAGGUUUUUCAAGGAGAGUUGCAUCGAAAAUUGCAGGCAUCGAAAUCAUUAGAGGAGAAAUGUCCUUUCUCGUCAAGAUUAGAUGAAAAGGAUAUUGCACUGUUGAAAAACCUUGCAACUGUGCGGCCAGCUAAGGGUAAAAGAAGAUGCAGAAGUCCUCCAAAGUCUAAAGUGUAGGUUCACGAAUCUUCUCAAGCCUCUUAUGUUUUACGUUCUUAUGUUAAAUUCAAUUAAAUUACUAGUUUGGAAUAUACGGGGACUUCUCGCAUGGACUUCCUUCGCUAUUUGAGGAAGAUAGUUUGUGAUAAUUCGAUUCACUUAGUGGUUCUUUUGGAACCAAUGUUAGAUGUUAAUCAGUUGGUGGAUGUCAAGCGUUUUCUUCAUUUUGAUAAGGCAACAGCUUUUGUUCAAGGAAAAAUUUGGUUUCUUUGGGAGGAUGAGGUUGGCAUUGAAUUUACAAAACACACCAAGCAACUGGUUCACACCAUUGCCACAUUUAGCUCUAGUUUGAGAUGUCAGGGGUGUAUGUGAAGUGCACUAGGGUUGGUAGGAGAUCUCUCUAGAAGGCUAUGGAGUUUCUACGAACUGAUAUGGUUAGUCCUUGGAUGGCGGUUGGUGACUUUAAUGUUGUCUCUUUCACGGAGCAACAAGUUAGCGGUUCUACGGUGAAUAUAAGAAAUGUCGAAGAGUUCAAUAUGGCCAUGUUCAACUGUGGGUUAUCGUCAGUGGAGUUUGAAAGGAAACCUUUUACUUGGGCAAAUGGUUCCAUGUGGCAGCAACUGGAUCGGGCACUAGUCAAUGCUCGGUGGAUGGAUUGUUGUCCGAUCAUGAAGGUUAUACACUUGGCUUGUGAAUGCUCGGACCACUCUCCUCUGUUAAUUAUGUGCAAGGAUAAUAGAGUAAGAAGUUCUUCUUUUCGCUUUCUCAAUGUCUGGAGUAGUCAUCACCAGUUCAUGGGAGUUGUGGUGGAUGAAUGGAAGAAAGCAAUCUCUGGAGUAGGCAUGGUUGGCUUCGCUCAAAAGCUUAAGCUGGUUUGAAGGCGGUUAAGUUCUUAGAAGCAUGAGAUCUUUGGAAAUAUUUUCUCUAGGGUGAAGGAUGCCGAGGAGAUUUAUAAAUUAAGGGAAGCAGAGUUUGAUACCAAUAAAGACGAUCUUUCAAGGUUGAGUUUGAAUGAGGCUUGGGUAGUAUUCUCGUGCAAGCUAGCAUUUGAAUGCGCAUGUUGGCGUCAAAAGUCAAAUGUCAAAUAGCUGAAGGAGAGGGAUGCUAACACAGCAUUCAUUCAUGGGGUAGUCAAGAGCAAACGAAAAAGAAGGAUGUCUCGUGGGCAAACUCUUUAGAGCUCAUUCAGGUGUCAGCAAUAUCCUUUUACUCCCGACUAUUUGAAUCAAAAAGUCGGCCUAUUGCCCGUCAUUUUAAUUUUGAAGACUCCAAAAUGACAGAUGCUAAUAAUGCCAUGCUACUUGCACUUCCUUCAAUGACGAAGUUAAAAGUGGUUGUAUUUUCAACGGACAUUAAUAGCGCUCCUGGACGUGAUGGAUUUGGAGUUGGGUUUUAUCAAUCAUCCAAGAAGAUUUGUUACGGGCAAUCCAAGACUUUUAUAGGGGAAUGGGCCAGCCCAAGUAUUGGCCCGGUUCUCUUCUAGUUCUCAUCCAGAAAAUUGAUGGAGCCAUUAGUAGAAGAACUUUCGCCCAAUUAGUAUAUGUAAUAUGUCCACUAAAAUCAUCUCCAGAAUUCUAGCAAAUCGAGUUGGCAAGUUGCUCCCUACUCUUAUUUCUCUAUGGCAAAUGGGCUUUGUAUUGGGUAGGAGUAUUAUGGAUAACGUGUUGUUGGCUCAAGAGUUGGUUUUGGAUGUGGAUAGGUGACUUAGCACUCCGAAUGUUAUUUUUAAACUUGACAUGGAGAAGGCCUAAGAUCGGGUAGAAUGGUCUUUUCUUAACACCAUGCUGCAGAAGUUCAGUUUUGAAGAGCAGGGGAAUCCUUUAUCCCCAACUUUUUUUUUUAUUUGUAGCAGAGUUUUUAGGAUGAGGGCUUCACCAAUUGCUCUUGGAGAAUGAGCAGUGGUUCUAUGGUUCGACUGGAGAUAAGGUUCCAUAUCUAGCUUUUACUGAUGACACUAUUAUCUUUAUUAGGUGUUCUAAGGGUUGUUUAAUGGUUGUUUGACAGGUGCCGAACCUGUGCAAUAAUAAUUACUAAAAAGUCCUGAAUACCACCUCAAUUAAAUAAUUAUAGAACAAAUCCAAAUACUGGAGCAGGGACCCUAGGUGUGCAAUGGGUUACUUGAUUCACCCUAUUCCCGAAGAGUUUGCUUGAUCCGAUAUACCAGAUUUGUCUAUAAAAAUACUAAUUUUGCGUACAAUGGCAAGUAGGGUCGAUUCCACAGGGAGCAGGUAGGAAAUUAUUUCUUUCCAAAUUAGUAGAACGAAAUUGGGGGAUUUUCAAUGGGAAGCAAAUAAAAAUAAAAUAAAAUAAAACAAACAAAAUUCAAAACUAACUCACAAAGCACAAUUCACUAAAAAUAGCAAAUAACAAAAUUCUACCCAAAGGAUCAACUGCUCAGGCACGGUCCAAUUAAAUGAUCAUCGAUGCAAAGAUAUUUCACCUAUUCAUCACUAGGUUGGUUAUAGUUAUCAAUAAACUCUGACAACCAGUUCUUCCUUACCUUUUCGACAGUCAAGGUACGACCAUUGACUGUUUCCCUAACCAGAUAACAACCUUAGGUACGACCAUAGGAAUUUAAUUACCCAAUUGCAUUAAAGCUAGAAGAACCCAACCCUAACCAAUAAACACGCUAAGAGGGUUUAUUUAAGUUAGAUCCUGCGUUUCCCCAUCAUAAAACCAAUUAUGGUGGUUGCCACGGGGUGUUAACUAAAUGAACAAUUACGGAUUCUAUUUAAUUAACGUGGCAGUAGGCUAUUAAAUUAAAUCAAAUACCCGGCCGUUGAUAUUCAAUUAAUAAAAUACCCAUGAACAAUUAAUUCAGGAAACGCACGAAUAGCAAUUAAUUGGAGGGAAUAAUGAAGUUUCGGUUAGAUCUCACAGAUAUUAUGGACCGCGCCUUCGUGUCAACCUUUGGGUAGAGGAGGAAAUUAGCCGCUCCUCAUCGUGUCAAUCCCGCGUGAUUUAAUUGAAUUCAUUCAAUUAUUCGCCGAAGAAUUGGGGAAAGGAAAUUAAUUGCGGCAACAACGAAGAAAACCCUGCUUUUACAUUCGUUCUAGGACCGCAAUCGCAAAGCAAAAAGCCAACGCGAAUUGUCUCAAAACAAGGGUUACAACCCAGCAGUCAAAUCCGUACAAGACAAAAGCUAAAGGAGAGAAAAUUACGUUUUUCCCGAAAGAGAACAAAAGGAAACUUAAAGCUCAAAUCCAAUUGCGGCUGACGGAAAGCGAAAGAAGAGAAAAAGCAUCUGACCGCUGACAAAACGUAGGAAAAGAAAACUAAGCCUAAAAGUAGCUGAUGUCUUGAAUCUUGCUUUUUUUCUCUCUUUAUAGCCGCCGCCCAAGAAAGUCAAGCAGAAGCCCAAAAACGUCUGGCCCUUUCUUUGCUUUUAAUUGAAGCCUUUGGAGUUUUAAUCCUGUGCUUCUCGCGGUUCACGUGGACCGUAGUCCGGCUUUCGGUUUCGUCCACCUUCUAAGGCGUGGCCACGCUCUGAGACGGAAAGUCUUCUGGAAAUUUACCCGCGAGAUCCUUUUUAAUGCCGAUCACCUAUAAUACAUACGAAUGUGAGAUAUGAGUUAAACCUCAGUACUUAGCACAGUAAAUAGCCGAAAUUAGGCCAAAAUAACACUGCAAAAUGUGCCAAAUAACUGCUCUAUCAAUUCCCCCCACACCUAGACAAUGCUUGCUCUCAAGCAUUUCAAAGCUCAGAAGUACAACCAAGAGAGCAGAGGUCAUGCAGUAGUCUAUACUAACACAAGCAUCUAGGGUCCCUGACAAUAUCACCAAGGGUAGAACACACCGGACAUGUUGUAAUUCAAAGAAUAUAUAUGAAUAUUAGGAGCACUCAAUUCAAUAUCACGGAAUGCCAUUACCAUAGGUUUGCACAUUUAUCACAUCUCCACCACUUAAAAGUGAACUAAACACAUAAAUCAAAGGGACUUUAAUAGGGUUGUAAUGGGGCUCAGAUGAGAGGCGGGUUAAGAAGGUAUAGAUAGGGGGUAAAGUGUCAAGAGAAUGUCUGAAACCCACCCAUAACCACAGUGCUUUACCGGGGAAAUUUCACAAGCAGGGCAGUUUCCAUUUGCUGUACACCCUGUACAAGUGCCCAAAACAAAAUAUUUUUUUUUUUUGGGAACUGCUCGCAAGGCGUGGGCACGCCUUGCAGCCCAUAGUUCUCUGGUCACGAGGUCUCUUCAGGUUUUUUUUUUUUUUAAGGGGAAAGUCCUGUAAAGCGUGGGCACGCCUCGUGAUCCAAAGUCCUCUGGUCACGAGGUCUUUUUCCAAUUUCUCUCCCUUUAUACAAGGAUAACAUCAUAUUGCACCUCAUCUAAAACCACUUGCAACCCCAAAUUUGUUUGCUUUGCACAAAUGAUGAAAUUCAAGCAUCUCUUGACAACACAGGGGUAAACAAGAAAGCUUAAAGAGGUCUUGGGUUAACACACACGGAUAACAACCAGAAACGAAGGACAAAAGCUCAAAUUAGUUCAUUAUUGGGAGAUAAGAUGAGGGCUUGAUUUUUUAGAUAGCUGAAGAGGGUUAAAUCCUAAAUGCCCUUAUCAUUUCAAAUGCAUCCAAUUCAACAAAAAUGUGGCCUAUUGCUGAGAACAACUGUUCAACCUCUUGUGCAAUUCGCAGAUGGUCUAGGGUAGGGGCAUGAAAGCACUUGCAAGGGGCAAAAGGCCGAUUCACCAAGGUGUUAAACCGGUCUUGUUGGGCCUCUGUAAGAUUAGUGAUCGAUUCCCCCCACUCCCCAGGAGACAUGGUGCUCUUAUUCAAGCCCAGACGGGACCGAAUGAUGGGUUGAACCGGGGCUCGUCUUUUCCGAGGUUGGGAGCCAGAUGGCCCAGCAGUAGUUGCCUUCUUAGGAGGCAUUUAGGGUCCACAGACAAAGUAAAUCAGCUCAGAGACAACCAACCAACCACCAAGAAACAGCUAGGGGACCACAGUCAACAAAAUUACCGAAUAUUCCGCAGCUUAACAGCAACUGGGCACACAAUUACCCCACCAAAUAACAACCAGACAACAAACACCAACCAAUGCCCCACUGCUGUCAAGUAGCCGACAACAAUCAAGAAAACAGAUCCAACACCGCACAAAUUGCAAUGAUAGUCGAUAAUAGCCAACAAUUAGUGAGACACGGACCACAAAUGCCAACUAACAGAUUCACCAGAGCCCACAGACGUUCCAAAAUAGAUAAUGAAUGAAGAACAGAACUGACGGCUCUCACUUUCAGAUAACAACCCAAUGGUCCCCCACCCAAAACCAACAAGUAUGUCAACCAGACAGGAGGCAAAAAUUCAGCAAUUAAAAUUCCCAACCGAAGUCACCAAUUCAAAAUCCAGCGGCAAAAAUUGUAGUAGAAUAGAGUUACCCAAAAGCACAAGACCGUGGAGAUAACACGGCAAUCGGGUGAGACGCGCGCGGAAGCACGAGGCUGGUGGAUCAAGUCGCGCGCGGUCUUGGGCGCUGCUGGGUUGUUCCGCACGCGGGUGUGUUGGAGGGCGCAGGUGCUGGUCUGCGCAGGGGCGGUCGCGCGCUGGCUGCGCCCAGAUCCUGUGGUUGUACGCGGUAAGGUCGCGCGCUGGGUGGGUCUAGCCAGGCGCGCUGGUCGCGCGCGCUGGUUCGCGGUGCUGGUCGCGCGAGGUGGAGUCGAGCGGCGGCGGACAGCAACGGAGGGCGGCGGCGGCAGCAGGCUGCGCUGAUUUGGUGAAGGCGACUAGCACGGCGCUGUGAAGCGCGCGGUGGGCUGGCGCUGGAGGAAGCUGUCCGCUGAUGCUGCUGAGGCGCAAAGGCGCAGAGGCGCGGGCGUGCGCGUUAUGGGCGUGCGCAGCUAAGAAAGCCUGCGCGCGCUGCUGGGCUGCGGAUCUGGUGGCGUGCGGUGGCGCUCAGGUGGACAGCGAUGGAAGGCGGCGGCGGGCUUGACCAAAACAAAGAGGAGAAAUCGUUGCAGCGUAGCCGAAAGAAAUUGGGAGGAAAGAGGCUAAGACCAGUCAAAGAAGAAGGGAAAAGUGGAAAAAGAAUUUUUUUUUUUCGCUAUCGGAAAGGUUGGAAGGCGUGGGCACGCCUUGAAGGGCCUAGUUCUCUGACCAGCGCAUCCUAAUGAUGUCUAAACGAAUUUCCGUCAAGGCGUGGGCAUGCCUUAGAACUGCUAGUCUCCAAUUCGCUCAGGGCACCUGGCGCGCUCCUUUCAGGACGUGGGCACGGCUUGGAACCUCUGCUCUUCUGUCCAACACCACAAAAACAGUCAAAACAUUAAGAUAAAACUGAAAAAUCGCAGAGUAAGGAAAAAUAAUCACAACUAAUAUUGUAAUCCUUGGGUUGCCUCCCAAGCAGCGCCUUUCUUUAACGUCUUUGGCUAGACAUGACCUUCAACUGUUUAGACCUCACCACUUGGAUUAUCAAGGAAUAGAGCCUCCAUUUGCUCACUAUUAAACCCUUCAUAAUAGGGUUUCAAACGAUGACCUUUUCUCCGUCUUAAGAUUCUGGAUUUCCACUGCACCAUAAUGAGAAAUAUUAGUAACAAUAAAUGGACCAAUCCAACGGGAACGCAACUUACCAGGAAAAAGCCUAAGUCUCGAGUGAUAAAGUAGGACUUUUUGCCCUACGACAAAUGACUUCCUUGAAACCUGUUGGUCGUGAAAAAUUUUGCUCUUCUCCUUAUAUAUUGCAGCGUUCUCAUAGGCUUCAUUCCUUAGCUCCUCCAACUCUUGUAAUUGGAGCUUUCUAUUUCCUCCAGUCUCCAUAAGGUCCAUAUUACACCACUUAAGUGCCCAGUAUGCUCUGUGUUCAAAUUCCACCGGAAGGUGGCAAGGCUUCCCAAAAACUAACCUGUAUGGGGACAUUCCAAUCGGUGUCUUAUAUGCAGUGCGGUAGGCCCAGAGAGUAUCUUCCAAUUUCACACUCCAAUCCUUUCUAUCAGGCCUCACCAUCUUCUCCAGGAUCGACUUAACCUCCCUAUUCGAUACUUCGGCUUGACCAUUCAUUUGGGGAUGGUAGGGAGUGGACACUUUGUGGAGCACACCAUACUUACGAAACAAAGCAGUGAUCGUCUUAUUACAGAAAUGGGUGCCCUUGUCACUCACUAUGGCUCUUGGCAUUCCAAAACGGACGAAAAUGUUAGAUCUUAUAAAAUCUGCAACCACUCUAGAAUCAUUAGUUCGAGUGGCUUUUGCCUCCACCCAUUUGGAAACAUAGUCAACAGCAAGUAUAAUGUACAAGAAACCAAAAGACGAGGGGAAGGGACCCAUGAAAUCUAUACCCCAGACAUCAAAAAUCUCAACAAAUAAUAUGGGGGUUUGACUCAUUUGGUCUCUUCGAGAGAUAUUCCCACCCUUUGACACUUAUCAUAAAAUUUGCAAAACAAAUAUGCAUCUCUAAACAGAGUAGGCCAAUAAAAACCACUUUCUAGCACUUUACGAGCCGUCCGCUUUGGCCCAAAAUGCCCUCCACAUGCAAAAUGAAUGACAAAAAGUCAAAAUAGAGUGAAACUCACCUGCACUUACACACCUUCUUAUCACUUGGUCCGAACAUUGCCUCCACAGGUAAGGGUCAUCCCAAAGGUAAUGUUUGGCAUCACUCUUUAACUUAUUUCUUUUAGCUUUUGACCACCCUGCGGGUAAUUGAUUUGUUACCAAAAAAUUGACAAUGUCAGCGUACCAAGGUAUUGACGAAUCAAUGGCCAAUAAUUGCUCCUCAGGAAAUGAUUCCCUCAAGGGUAGAUCCUCUUGAUUUGUGAGCAACCGGCUCAAAUGAUCAGCCACCAAAUUCUCAGCUCCACUCUUAUGCUUGAUUUCUAGGUCGAACUCCUGCAGGAGCAAAAUCCACCUGAUCAGCCUUGGUUUAGCAUCCUUCUUCGCCAGCAAGUACCUCAAGGCCACAUGAUCAGAGAAAACUAUUACUUUUGCACCCAAUAAAUAUGACCUAAAUUUUUCUAGUGCAAAAACAACAGCUAGUAAUUCUUUCUCCGUCGUGGAAUAAUUAAGUUGGACUCCACUUAAGGCUCUCGACGCGUAAUAGAUCGCGUGUGGCGCUCUUCCAAUUCUUUGUCCCAACACGGCCCCCACGGCAUAGUCGCUCGCGUCGCACAUGAUUUCAAACGGAAGGCUCCAAUCUGGGGGUUGAAUGACAGGCGGCGAUGUCAAUGAUUUCUUCAGUUUAUCAAAAGCCACCUUGCAUUCAUUUGUGAAAUCAAAUGGCACGUCCUUCUGCAAUAACUUGAAUAGGGGUGCUCCUGUCUUUGAAAAGUUUUUGAUAAAUCUCCUGUAAAAGCCUGCAUGACCCAAAAACGAACGCACUUUCCGUACACACACGGGGUAAGGUAGAGCAGAAAUAAGGUCUAUUUUAGCUUUAUCUACCUCUAUGCCCUUAGCCGAUACGACGUGCCCUAAGACAAUGCCAUGUUCUACCAUAAAGUGACAUUUCUCCCAAUUAAAUACCAAAUUCGUCUCUAUACAUCUUUUCAGAAUUAAAGCCAGAUUCUCAAGGCAUUCAUCAAAACUGUCCCCAUAUACACUAAAAUCAUCCAUGAACACCUCGAUUAUUUUUUCCACAUACUCAGAGAAAAUACUUACCAUACACCGUUGAAAGGUCGCUGGAGCAUUGCAGAGGCCGAAAGGCAUCGGACGGUAGGCAAACGUGUCAAAUGGGCAUGUGAAGGUGGUCUUUUCCUGGUCUUCUGGCGCGAUCGCGAUCUGAAAGUAGCCUGAAAAGCUAUCCAAGAAACAAUAGUAAACACGACCUACCAAUCAUUCUACCAUCUGAUCAAUAAAAGGGAGGGAGAAGUGGUCCUUUUUAGUCACGGAGUUUAGCCUCCGGUAGUCGAUGCACUGACGCCAGCCAGUAGCUUUCCUGACCGGGACCAUAUCACCCUCCUGGUUUCCUCCACGGUCACUCCCGCCUUCUUCGGGACCACUUGGACAAGACUCACCCACGGACUAUCCGAAAUAGCGAAAAUGAUCCCUACCUCCAGAAGUUUGAGUAUCUUCUUUUUCACAAUUUCCAUCAUCAGAGGGUUCAAUCUUCGCUGUGCUUGCCUCACCGAUUUUCCAUCAUCCUCGAGUUUUAUCCGGUGCAUACACAAGGACGGGCUAAUUCCUUUAAUAUCGGCUAUGCUCCACCCAAUUGCCUCCUUAUGCUCCCUAAGGAUUCGCACCAGUUUGUCCUCUUGACUUGGAGAUAGGUGUGCAGAGAUGAUCAUCGGAAGUGUCUCCCGGUCUCCUAGGAAUGCGUACUUUAAAUGCUUCGGGAGAGGCUUUAGUUCUAACUCCGGUGCCUGCACAACUGAAGGGAGCAACUUUGUCUGAGCCUCUGGCACAAAAAGAGAAGUAAGUUCAUACCUUGGGGAUACGGGUGGAAGUGAGUGUAAGGCUUCAACGGCAUGGAGCAAAUCUCCCCUUAGGUCCACAUCAGGAGUUACACCCAACUCCAGAUGCUUGAUUAGAGCCAUUUCCAAAGCGUCUUUGUCAUCUAAUUCGAAAAUUUCCUGCACAAAAGGCUCAAUAACGCUCAAAGCAAAGACCGAGUUAGAUUCUUCUGGAUAUUUCAUCGCCUCAAAAAUAUUGAAAUUCACAGUUUCAUCAUCAAAUUCCAUUGACAAAGUACCCUCAUUCACAUCUAUUUUGGUCCUGAUAGUGCUAAGAAAUGGUCUACCUAACAAGAUAGGUGACGGGUUUAAUGAUUUUUCAUCUCCCAUGUCCAAGAUAUAAAAAUCUGCAGGAAAGACCAAUUCGUUUACCUGAACCAAGACAUCCUCAACUAGCCCCUCUGGAUAUGCAUUUGUGCCAUCAGCUAGUUGGAUUAUGAUGGCUGUUUCUUUAAGUGGCCCAAGAUUUAGGGAAGCAAAAAUGGUCUUUGGCAUCACAUUGAUUGACGCCCCUAAAUCUAACAUUGCUUUCCUGAUCGGUGUAUUUCCUAUCUUACAGGGGAUCGUGAACAUACCUGGAUCUCCGCACUUGGGUGGAAGCUUUCUUUGGAGCAUUGCUGACACAUUCUCUCCCACCGCUAUUCUUUCGUCCCCUCUCAAUUUCCUCUUAUGGGUACAUAGAUCCUUGAAAAAUUUAGUAUAUUUCGGUAUCUGCUUGAUUGCAUCCAGUAAAUGGAUGUUAUUCUCCACUUUUCGAAACACAUCUAACAGCUCUUUUUCCUUCUCUACCUUUUUUGUCUUCCCCAACCUGCAAGGGAAAGGGGGUAAGUUAGAGUUAGUAGUGGGUGGAGAGGUGGGGAUUACCUUAGGAUCCUCACGAAUACGUCCUUCCUCCUCAAUUUCCUUUUCUAUCUCCUUCUCACUCUUGCUUUUUGAAUUUCCCUCUUUAGGCCCUUCCAGUGUCUUGCCACUCCUCAGGGUCAUGGCACUUACAUUCCUGGGAUUUACUUCGGGUUGUGAAGGUAACUUUCCAUAAGCGUGGGACUCCAAGCGAUUGAUGGCAGUUGCCAUCUGGCUUAUUCGAGCCUCCAUAUCCUUCAUGCCUGAUUCUGUGUCCUGCUGGAACUGAUUGGUGCUCAUGGUUAAAACUCUAGUUUCUUGCUGGAGUUGAGCCAUAUUUGUGGUCAAUGACCUGGUCCCCUGCUGGAGUUGGGCGGUAGUCGUGGCUAGACUCUUGAUAAUAUCCUCCAAGGAACUCCCUGUGUUGGAGGAUGAGGGUUGCGGUUUCGGUUGCCAUGGUUGCUGAAAUCCUGGUGGACGAUUUGGAAAUGAAUUUUGUUGCCUGUUCCCAUAAUUGAGAUUGGGAUGGUCCCUCCAACCCGGAUUGUACGUAUUGGAGUACGGGUCGUAUUGCCUGCAGGGGGCGGGCACGCCUCCAGCCAUGUUUACCUGUUCCGCCCCGUCCUCUUGCAAAAUGGGGUACGUGUCCGUGCAGUGGUCCAUGCUAGUACAGAUUCCACACACCUUUGCUCGCGGCGUGUCUCUCAUGGCUAAUUCCCUAACAACAGACGUCAAUUCUGACAGUUGCUGCUGUAUGGAUGAAGUCUCUACCUCGUUGACUCUACGGGGGGAGUUGUUCUCACGUAAGCCAAAUUGCUGGGAGUUCUCUGCCAUGGCUUCGAUGAGCUCCCACGCUUCCCUCGGUGUCUUGUUUGCAAGUGCUCCCCCACUCGCAGCAUCAAUGAUACUCCUAUCUGUUGAUUGGAGCCCUUCAUAGAAGUAUUGGAUUAACCGGUUGUUCACUAAUUUGAUGCUGCGGGUAUCUAAUGCACAACUUGUUAAACCUUUUCCAGUAUUCAUACAAGGACUCGCCGGGAUAUUGUUUAAUGCCGCAGAUCUCCUUCCUCAAACUCGCAGCCCGGGAUGCAGGGAAGAAUUUUUCCAAGAAUUUCUUUUUCAACUGCGCCAAUAUGGUAAUACUACCUGCUGGUAGGUAGUACAGCCAAUCUUUAGCUGCGUCUUUGAGAGAGAACGAAAAGGCUUUCAGUCUAAUUUGCUCUUCAGUGACCCCAGGAGAUUUCAUACUAGAGCAAACCACCUCGAACUCCUUGACGUGCUUGUGGGGUUCUUCACCAGAGAAACCAUGGAAAGAAGGUAAGAGUUGAAUCAAGCCCGACUUUAGUUCGAAAACAGUAUUCUCAGCCAAGGCGGGGAAUGUGAUGCAUAAGGGCUGGUGAGUCAGCUCCGAGGCAGCCAGCUUCCUCAAUGUUUGGGUGUUGGCCAUGCUCACUUCGUCUUCCGCUGACUCGUUUGCAGCAAAUAAGUGCCCUUCUUUUUGUCUCUUGGUCUCUUGCCUCCUCCUACGCGCUGCCUUCUCAACCUCAGGGUCGUAUAUUAAUUCACCUGUGCGAGAAGAAUGGGGCAUAAACUAGCAAAAAUACCAAGAAGAGAAUAAAAUAAAAAUAAGACAAAAACUGAAUUUGAAAAGAAACAAAUAAUCCGAACACCAGCUCCCCGGCAACGGCGCCAAAAAUUGACAGGUGCCGAACCUGUGCAAUAAUAAUUACUAAAAAGUCCUAAAUACCACCUCAAUUAAAUAAUUAUAGAACAAAUCCAGGUACUGGAGCAGGGACUCUAGGUGUGCAAUGGGUUACUUGAUUCACCCUGUUCCAGAAAAGUUUGCUUGAUCCGAUAUACCGGAUUUGUUUAUAAAAAUACUAAUUUUGCGUACAAUGGCAAGUAGGAUUGAUUCCAUAGGGAGCAGGUAGGAAAUUAUUUCUUUCCAAAUUAGUAGAACGAAAUUGGGGAAUUUUCAAUGGGAAGCAAAUAAAAAUAAAAUAAAAUAAAACAAACAAAAUUCAAAACUAACUCACAAAGCACAAUUCAUUAAAAAUAGCAAGUAACAAAAUUCUACCCAAAGGAUCAACUGCUCAGGCACGGUCCAAUUAAAUGAUCAUCGAUGCAAAGAUAUUUCACCCAUUCAUCACUAGGUUGGUUAUAGUUAUCAAUAAGUUCUGACAACUAGUUCUUCCUUACCUUUUCGACAGUCAAGGUACGCCCAUUGACUGCUUCCCUAACCAGAUAACAACCCUAGGUACGACCAUAGGAAUUUAAUUACCCAAUUGCAUUAAAGCUAGAAGAACCCAACCCUAACCAAUAAACACGCUAAGAGGGUUUAUUUAAGUUAGAUCCUGCGUUUUCCCAUCAUAAAACCAAUUAUGGUGGUUGCCACGGGGUGUUAACUAAAUGAACAAUUACGGAUUCUAUUUAAUUAACGUGGCAGUAGGCUAUUAAAUUAAAUCAAAUACCCGGCCGUUGAUAUUCAAUUAAUAAAAUACCCAUGAACAAUUAAUUCAGGAAACGCACGAAUAGCAAUUAAUUGGAGGAAAUAAUAAAGUUUCGGUUAGAUCUCACAGAUAUUAUGGACCGCGCCUUCGUGUCAACCUUUGGGUAGAGGAGGAAAUUAGCCGCUCCUCAUCGUGUCAAUCCCGCGUGAUUUAAUUGAAUUCAUUCAAUUAUUCGCCGAAGAAUUGGGGAAGGGAAAUUAAUUGCGGCAACAACGAAGAAGACCCUGCUUUUACAUUCAUUCUAGGACCGCAAUCGCAAAGCAAAAAGCCAACGCGAAUUGUCUCAAAACAAGGGUUACAACCCAGCAGUCAAAUCCGUACAAGACAAAAGCUAAAGGAGAGAAAAUUACGUUUUUCCCGAAAGAGAACAAAAGGAAACUUAAAGCUCAAAUCCAUUUGCGGCUGACGGAAAGCGAAAGAAGAGAAAAAGCCUCUAACCGCUGACAAAACGUAGGAAAAGAAAACUAAGCCUAAAAGUAGCUGAUGUCUUGAAUCUUGCUUUUUUUCUCUCUUUAUAGCCGCCGCCCAAGAAAGUUAAGCAGAAGCCCAAAAACGUCUGGCCCUUUCUUUGCUUUUAAUUGAAGCCUUUGGAGUUUUAAUCCUGUGCUUCUCGCGGUUCACGUGGACCACAGUCCGGCUUUCGAUUUCGUCCACCUUCUAAGGCGUGGCCACGCCCUGAGACGGAAAGUUUUCUGGAAAUUUACCCGCGAGAUCCUUUUUAAUGCCAAUUACCUAUAAUACAUACGAAUGUGAGAUAUGAGUUAAACCUCAGUACUUAGCACAGUAAAUAGCCAAAAUUAGGCCAAAAUAACACUGCAAAAUGUGCCAAAUAACUGCUCUAUUACUGUUCGUGAUUUUUUGGAGAGUUAUCAAUCUUAUUCAAGAUAAAAAAUUAAUGUCAGUAAGAGCUCCUUCAUUUGUUCUCCUCGAGUUACGGCUGAGCACUUAUCUAUGGUAUCUUUGAUCCUUCGAUUUCGCCAACAAUCUUUUCCAAGGACUUAUUUAGGUGUUCUGAUAAUGAAUGGGUGAUUAAGAUAUAUUGUGUUUGAUAGUCUUCUUUCUAAGUUUUGGUAGCUUCUCUUUCAUUGGAGUUCCAAAUUGCUCAGCAUGUGAGGCAAAAUUGUCCUCAACCGACAUAUGUUGAGCUCUCUCCCAACGUAUUUGUUACAGGUGGUACAUCCUCCUAUGGUAGUUUUAGCAUCAUUGGGGAUAAUUUGUAAUUCUUUCUUAUGGGACCAAAAUGGGGAGUCAUAGCGACUUCAUUGGGCUGCAUAGGACAGGUUGUGCUACCCUUAGUAGGAAGGGGGUUGGGGUUCCAAUCCUUCUUUUAUGUUUCGCGUGUUUUCACCUGUAAACUCUGGCAGUGUCUAAGGAAGCAUGAGUCAGUUUGGUCCAAGAUUAUGCAUAAAAAAUAUGUUAGAGGAGUUCACCCUUCGAUGGUGGUAGUCAAUAGACCUUCCGCUCUGUGGAGACGCUUGACGUGCGCAGGGUAUACAUAUACAAUUAGUUCAUCGAAAAUCAAGUUUUGCAUUUAUAAAUUCUAAAUACCCCACACGCGAUUUUUUUGCAAGUAUAUGAAUCGUGAACGAGUAUAAGGUAUUAAAGGUCGAUCCCAUAGGGAAGAUUUUCAAUUACCAGUGUUUUUCGAACUCCUUUAUUAUUUAGACUAUUACAAGUAUAAGAAAUUAAAUCUACACUAUAAAAGUGAUAAAAAUAUAUUAGAAAACUGCUAGAGGUAUGGAAUUCCUUACUUGCUCUGUUUUUUUGUCCAAAUUUAACUUAUAUUUUCCUGAUAAUAGAGGCCGAAUUAACUCUUGUGUAAAACAUGAAAGUUGUAUGUCUUUGAGUUAGCUUUCAAUGCAUCAAGAAUUGGAGCUCUAUGGAGUGCAAAAUAACCAAAAUACCCUCAACUGGUCAGGGCUCUGUUUCAACUUUUGACAACAGAGUUGCACUUCUGUAUUUUGACUUUUUAACUGUGAAAAAGACUGAACUGGAUUUCGAUGCCUUCAUACCAAAUGUAGAUCUAUAUCUUAGUUUCAAAAUGAUUUAAGAAUUACCUCAAUACAAUACUUGUAGUUCAAGAUACAGCUGAAAUACCACAAGGUGUCAAAACUGUGAAACUUGCUUCCUUUUUUUCUUGAUUGCAUUUCUUCUCUUGCACUUCAUAUUCUCUUUUUUAUCGCUUUAAACCAUCAUCAAUCAUCCAAAUAGCUUCUCAAAUCACUCCAUUUGAUGAUUGAAUAAUUAAACUAUAAAAACAUGAAGUUUUUACCAUAAAAAUCCAUAGACAUGCAAUUUUUAUCACUUAAACCACAAAAUACAUAUUUUCACUAGAAACUUAGUUAAUUAGCUAUAAAACUAAUUAAAACACACCAACAACUAACUAAUAAAACACACUAAAAAAUACGUAAAAUAUACACUUAUCAACGCCUCUAGGAAAUUCGCCUCAUUGUGGAGAGUCAGAUACGUUGGUUUUUAGGUGAGGGGUUGGUUGAUGGUGUGGUGCUUGGUGCUUCGAUCAGCCUUUGAUUAAGUUUAUAGGGGGUGCGGAAACUCCCCAUAUGCUCGUGGGGGAGUUCUAUGGCUCUCAAGGUUGGAAUGAACAACGGCUUCGGCAUUGGCUAUCUCCGUCCCAGGUUGCUCAUGUUCUAAAAAUUCUUUUUCGAGGCAUUAGGAGGACCGAAUGGUGUGGGCUCUCUCCCUCCAGGGAAUUUUCUAUGUCAUCAACCUGGGAAGAGAUUCGCUAGAAGAGGAGCUUAUUAUUGGUUGACAAGUUUAUGUGGAAUCCGAUUACCCUGUUAAAGAUCUCCUUCUUUGCCUGGUGACUUGUGCACUGAUGGCUUCCUAUGGAUACAUUAAUUCAAGGGAGAGGUGUCAGGUUGGCAUAUAGAUGUUACUGCUGCUACAAGGAGGUCGAAUCGAUUGACCAUUUGUUUGUGGUGGGCCUCUUGGUGAUAACAGUGUGGUCUUUCUUUGCUUGAUAGUUUGGGUUAUUGAACUUGAAGAGUACGGGUGUUUCAUCGAUGUUAGUAGAGUGGUUCUCCUCACAUAAUUCUGUCUCUUCGAGUCAUGUUUGAGUAGUGGUUCCUCUACUCAUUCUCUAGUUUAUUUGGAAAGGCCGGAAUCAAUCUGGAUUUCAAGGUGUAUCAUUUUUGGAUUCCGAGGUGAUUGAGCAAGUAGAGUGGUUCAUUAAGCAAUUGGGAGCAUCUAGGCUGCUUCGAGAGAUGCACUUUAGAGGGGAUUGGGAUCAUCCAUGGAGCGUGUUGGCUCGGACGUGUGGUAGCAAGCGCCAUUUGAUGGUUGUCGCCUAGGCACCACCACCUUUCAAUGUUGUUAAGCUGAAUACAGAUACGAGUGUUUCUUCUUUUGGGGCGUUUGGCGGUGGAAUUCUGCAAGAUCAUAAGGGUAAAUUAGUCUUUGCCUUUUACAAGGAGUUUGGGGAAGCAAAUGUACUUAUGGUAGAGGCUCUAGCUCUUUGGUGGGGUUUACAUUUUGCCAACAUAAGGGUUGCACGCAAUUCAUCGUAGAAAUGGACUCGCUGUCUUUGGUUUCGCUAGUUUCUUCAGAUACAUCAUAUAUAUAUAUAAUAAAGUCGUAUUCUCAUUUUUUUCCCCUUCAUGUUUUCUCUUUCCUACGUGGUUUGCUCCUUUUUUGUUUAGAUAUAUAUCAAUUCUUAUUUCCUAUAAGAAUUUUUAAUAUUAUAUGAUUCUUAUUUCCUACCCAAAAAAGGAACUGGAAAGUAAUGCGAUAUAAAUAAAAGAGACAUAAAUAUCUCUAUCAGAUAUAUCUCCAAAUUCAUGCCAAUAAUUUGUGUACUGCAUAGGGAACCGAAGUAAAUAAGAAUUGUUAUCAUUAUAAGAAGUAGAAAAGUAACUAAUUGCAAAAGGAACCAUUAAUAACAGAAGUCAAUAUCUGAUGUUGGAAAUAGGAUUCUUAAUAAAUUUGAUUAUUAAGUGCGUUAUCAAGACAUAGUGCAUAGCACGAAAUUUAUGAAAAAGAAAAAGUUAAUUGAAUUCAAUUAACUACAUGUAUUUGACCCGUACGGUCAAAUAUAAAUUCCUAUUUGAGUACGGGUUUGUAAAUUUCUAUAAACCCAUUCGUUGUUAAUCAAAACAUAUAGGUUAUACUCAUUGCUAGGUUACAAGAUUCACAAUACAUCUUUGCUCAGACGGUAGGGAGUAUUUAGUGUAUGGACCCAUACCAUAGGAGUCCAUGCACUUAAAGGACUCGAUAUAGUUGACGUGGUUUUUCAAAAUAGGUAAAAUCUGUCUUGAGAACGCACUUUUAUUUCCUAUAAGAAUUCUUAAUAUUAUAGGAUUUUUAUUUCCUACCCAAGUUAUGUACUUUAAACAACUCAAAUCAAGAUAAACCUACUUUUAAUGUUCUUAUCAAUAUCUCUUUAUAUUUUUAUCAAUUCUUAUUUCUUAUGCCUACACUACAUAUAGCCUCUAAUAUAUUGAUUUCAAGCAUCAAAUUCAUGGUUAGGUAUUUUCAGUGCAAGCAGUUGGCACAUUAAAGCAUCGAUUUUGGGUUUCCACUCCUCUUGAUUAUCAGGUACAUCUUCUUUCAAUACAUAUUUUUUUUUUAAUAAGGCAUGUUGAUUUUCAAUUGUAAAAGUUUAGUAACAUAUCUUGAAUUUUGUUUUUUUUAUUUUCUGUUUGUUUUUUUAUGAACACAUAGGAUUAGUAAUAUAUCUUGAAUUAGUAAUAAAUUUCUCUUAUAUUUCACAUAUUAUAUCUCACAUAAUAUUUUUGCCUUUAAUUUUGCCUUUAAUUUUGAUAAAUUAUUAUCAGAUUGGUGGAACCGACAACCAAUACCAACCUGAAUCAUCUUCUUCCCAUAUCCCAAUUAGUAUAACAGAUGAUUCUAAUCAACAACAUUUCAAUACACUUCAUAUGAAUCAUUAAUCAGAGGGUUCAACAAAAAUUACAGAGAAAGGGAAUCCUUAUAAAAAGAUUUGCAUGAGAAGGUAGAUUUAAUAUACUAUUUUACUUUCUUAAAUUAUAAUCUUAACGUAUUGUUAUACACAACUUUGAAUGCGAUAAAUCGUUUAUUUUUUUUAUACAUAGUUAUCCUGCUUUGCUAUCAUGCAGUGAUAAUGGAAAAUCAAUAAAUGCUGAUUUGCACGGACAAAUCGAGGAGAAUGUUCAAACAGAAGAAAAAUAAAAAUAAGUUUCUGAAGAGUAGAAUAUUAUUUGAUACUAUUUACUGCACUUUUUAUUUAUUUUCAAGUUUUUUGAAUGUUAUGGUAUUGUCGAAUGUUAUUUUUCCAUUUUGAACUAUUAUUUACUGAAUUAGAUGUUCAAAUUUAUAUUGGCAGGUGCCGAACCUGUGCAAUAAUAAUUACUAAAAAGUCCUAAUUACCACUUCAAUUAAAUAAUUAUAGAACAAAUCCAAGUACUGGAGCAGGGACCCUAGGUGUGCAAUGGGUUACUUGAUUCACCCUGUUCCCGAAGAGUUUGUUUGAUCCGAUAUACCGGGUUUGUCUAUAAAAAUACUAAUUUUGCAUACAAUGGCAAGUAGGGUCGAUUCCACAGGGAGCAGGUAGGAAAUUAUUUCUUUCCAAAUCAGCAGAGCAAAAUUGGGGGAUUUUCAAUGGGAGAGGAAUAAAUAAAAUAAAAGUAAAAUAAAAACAAAGCGAACUAAAUUCAAAACCAACUCACAAAGCACAAGUCACUAAAAAUAGCAAUUAAUAAAAGUCUACCCAAAGGAUUAACUGCUCAGGCACGUUCCAAAUAAAUGCUCAUCGAUGCAAAGAUAUUUCACCCAUCCAUCACUAGGUUGGUUAUAGUUAUCAAUAAGCUCUGACAACCAGUUCUUCCUUACCUUUUCGACAGUCAAGGUACGGCCAUUGACUGCUUCCCUAACCCGAUAACAACCCUAGGUACGACCAUAGGAGUUUAAUUAUCCAAUUGCAUUAAAGCUAGAAGAACCCAACCCUAACCAAUAAACACGCUAAGAGGGUUUAUUUAAAUUAGAUCUUGCAUUUCCCCAUCAUAAAACCAAUUAUGGUGGUUGCCACGGGGUGUCAACUAAAUGAACAAUUACGGAUUCUAUUUAAUUAACGUGGCAGUAGGCUAUUAAAUUAAAUCAAAUACCCGGCCGUUGAUAUUCAAUUAAUAAUAUACCCAUGAACAAUUAAUUCAGGAAACACACGAAUAGCAAUAAAUUGGAAGAAAUAAUGAAGAUUCGAUUAGAUCUCACAGAUAUUAUGGACCGCGCCCUUGCGUCACCCUUUGGGUAGAGGAGGAAAUUACCGCUCCUCAUCGUGUCAAUCCCGCGUAAUUUAAUUGAAUACAUUCAAUUGAUUGCCGAAGAAUUGAAAAAUCACAAGAGGAAUCUCACGGAAUUUAGAAGAGUCAAAAGCGAAAAGUAAAAAGGGUCUCCGUUGUACAGAGCCCAGAUGCAAUCCGCAAAAUAUCCCAAUGUCUGGCCGCUUGCCGCCGCCGAAAACCAAAGCAAAGAAAAAGCCAGGACAAAGCGUCUGACAAAAAGUAGAAAAAGAAAAAUUAAAGCUAAGGCUAAAAAGUUGUUGUCCCAAUCUUGCUUUUCUUUUCUUUAUAUAGCCGCCGUCCAAGAAGAGUCAAAGAAGGAAACGUCUGGUGCAAUUGAUUCUACAAAAGCCAUUUCCCUUUUGGAGUUUUGAUCCCAUGCGCUUGGUCCACAUGGACCACGGUCCGUCUUUCGGUUUCGUCCACCUUCCAAGGCGUGGUCACGCCCUGGGACGACAAGUCUUCUGAAAUCUACCCCGCGAGAUCAUUUUUAAUGCCGAUCACCUAUAAUUCAUACGAAUGUGAGAUAUGAGUUAAACCUCAGUACUUAGCACCGUAAAUAGCCAAAAUUAGGCCAAAAUAACACUGCAAAAUAUGCCCAAUAACUGCUCUAUCAAAUCCCCCCACACCUAGACAAUACUUGCCCUCAAGCAUUUCAAAACUCAGAAGUACAACCAAGAGAGCGGAGGUCAUGCAGUAGUCUUUACUAACACAAGCAUCUAGUGUCCCUGACAAUAUCACCAAAAGUAGAGCACACCGGACCUGUUGUAAUUCAAAGAAUAUAUAUGAAUACUAGGAACGCUCAAAUCAACAUCACGGAAUGCCAUUACCAUAGGCUUGCACAUUCAUCACAUCUCCACCACUUAAAAGUGAACCAAACACAUAAAUCAAAGGGAUUUUAAUAAGGUUGUAAUGGGGCUCAGGUGAAAAGCGGGUUAAGAAGGUAUAGAUAGGGGGUAAAGUGUCAAGAGAAUGUCUGAAACCCACCAAUAACCACAGUGCUUCACCGGAGGAGUUUCACAAACAAGGCAGUUUUCAUUUGCUGUACCCUUUGUACAAGUGUCCCCAAUUUUUUCUCUUUCUCUCUUUUUUUUUUUUUUGAUUGAAUACUGCUCGCAAGGCGUGGGCACGCCUUGUAGCCCAUAGUCCUCUGGUCACGAGGUCUCUUCAGGAUUUUUUUUUUUUAAGGAGAAAGUCCUGUAAGGCGUGGGCACGCCCUGUAAGCCAAAGUCCUCUGGUCAGUGGCCUUUUUCCAAUUUUUCCUUCUUUAUACAAGGAUAGCAUCAUAUAGCUCCUAAUCUAACAGCACUUGCAACCCCAAUUUUGUUUGCUUUGCACAAAUGAUGGAAUUCAGGCAUCCCUUGACAACACAGGGGUAAACAAGAAAGUUUAAAGAGGGCUUGGGUUAACAAACACGGAUAACAACCAGAAACGAAGGACAAAAGCUCAAAUUGGUUCACUAUUGGGAGAUAAGAUGAGGGCUUGAUUUUUUUAGAUAGCUAAAGAGGGUUAAAUCCUAAAUGCCCUUAUCAUUUCAAAUGCAUCCAAUUCAACAAAAAUGUGGCCUUGACAUGUAUAAACUAGCAAGUUCUAGAAUGCCAAUACCAUGUGUGAUACCCACUCAAUCAAACAAAAAUAGAGCAAACAAGAAUAAUGUGCUCAUAUAAGGCUCAAAAGCUCCCCCAAAAGUUACAAGAAUGGGUCAAUUCCAGCAUUUUCAACAUUCAACGACACUGCCAAGGGAAACAAAAUGCACAGCUAGUAUAUUCGACCACAUACCCACUCACUUUGAUUGUAUCAUUCAUCACAGCAACAUGCCCUAAUACUAACAAGCAUAGAAAUAGCCAAAAAGCUGCCUAACUACAAUGUUUUAUUUUUUUUUCCAUUUUGUUUUUUUUUGUUUUUGUUUUUUUUUGUUUUUUUUUUUAGUAACAAAGAAAGAAAAUUAAUAAUAAUAAUAAUAAUGGAAGCCAUUAAUCCCCCCACACCUAAAACCUACAUUGUCCUCAAUGUAGAAAAGACAAAUGAAGUAUUAGGGAAAAAGAAAAGGAACUUCCCUGACCACCGGGGAGAGAAAGUGAGACACUAAGGCGGAGGAGGUGAGACGGCUGCGUGUACAAGGUGGUGUGGUGGCGGCGGACGUAACACCAACAGGAAGGAGAAGACUGAAGUUUCUUUUUCGGAAGGGUUGGAAGGCGUGAGCACGUCUUAGAAGUUAUAGUCGUCUGACCGUCAAUUCCAAAACUCCAUUCCUUAGGUGUGAUGACCUAGCGUGGGCAUGUCUAGCUGCCAACUUCCUGUCACAAAAUAACAACCCACUAAAUGACACUAACACUUAACAAAAACUUCAAAAAUAUAAGAAAACUAAAACAAAAGAAUCCUUGGGUUGCCUCCCAAGCAGCGCCUUUCUUUAAUGUCUUUGGCUAGACAUAGCACCACUCUUUAGUCUGGAUGUAAUUGAAUUUUCCUUGUAAUUGGUGGCCCUCCUCCAGGAUCCACAUGGCCAUUGAGUGCAACUUUUUUCCUAAAUUUUCUCUCCAUUUUUACCUCAUGAAUUGCUUUCAUCCAAUAGGACUUGUUCGCAACAACCUUGGGUUUACCCCUAUAAACAAACUUAGAAAAUUCUUGCACAGAUGGAUUAGUGGUGUACAUAGCAUUACCCCUAUAAGCAAACUUAGAAAAUUCUUGCACAGAUGGAUUAGUGGUGUACAUAGCAAACACAGAAUGAGAGUUAACAGGAUGUUUCAUUGUAUCAAAAAUAUUAAAGUGGACUAUUUCUCCAUCAAAUUCCAUCGUGAGAGUACUCUUACUAACAUCAAUUUUAGUCUGGGCAGUACUCAAAAAUGGUCUUCCUAAUAUAAUGGGUGAUGGAUUUGGGGCACUUCUAUCAUCCAUGUAAAGCACAUAAAAAUCAGCAGGAAAAAUUAAUCCAUCUACUUGCACUAAAACAUCCUCAACUAUCCCAUCCGGAUAAGCACAUGUACGAUCAGCCAAUUGAAUUAUUAUCCCCGUUUCUUUUAAAGGUCCUAAAUUUAGGGAAUCAUAGAUUGAUUUAGGCAUCACAUUAAUAGAAGCCCCUAAAUCUAUCAUGGCAUUUUUGAUACUAGAAUGGCCAAUCUUACAGGGGAUAGCAAACAUACCUGGAUCUCCGCAUUUGGGUGGGAGUUUCCUUUGAAGUACAGCUGAUACAUUCUCUCCUACCAUCACUCUUUCAUCACCCCUUAGUUUUCUUUUGUUAACGCACAAGUCUUUCAAGAACUUUGCGUACUUGGGUACCUGCUUGAUCGCGUCCAAUAGGGGGAUGUUUACUUGAACUUUGCGGAACACAUCCAGGAUUUCUUUUUCCUUUUCUGCCCUCUUUGUCUUUUCCAACCUGCAAGGAAAAGGAGCUAUAUUAGAUUUAAUAGGGAUCGAAGGAAUAGAUGUUACCUUAGGCUCUUCGCGAAUGCGCCCUUCCUCUUCAAUCUCCUUUUUUAUCUCCUCCUCACUUUUGCUUUUCGAAUUUACCACUUUAGGUCCAUCCACCUCUUUGCCACUCCUUAAUGUCAUGGCACUUACAUUCCUGGAAUUUGCCUCGGGUUGUGAUGGCAAUUUUCCAUAGACGUGGGACUCCAGGCGGUUAAUGGCAGUUGCCAUUUGAUUCAUUCAAAUCUCCAUGUCCUUCAUGCCUGCUUUGGUGUCCUGUUGGAACUGAGUGGUGGUCGUGACGAGUUGAGUGAUAGUGUUGGUCAAACUCUUGACAAUUUCUUCCAAAGAACUCCCUGAACUUGAGGACGAGGGUUGAGACUUAUGUUGCCAAGGUUACUGAAAUCCUGGAGGCCGAUUGGAGAAUGCAUUUUGUAGCCUACUACCAUAACUGAGAUUGGGGUGAUCUCUCCAACCCGGAUUGUACGUGUUGGAAUACGGAUCGUAUUGCCUACGAGGCGCGGGCACGCCUCCAGCCAUGUUCACUUGCUCAGCCCCAUCCUCUUGCAAUAUAGGGCAUGAGUCAGUAUGGUGGCCCAUAUUUGUGCAGAUUCCACAGGCCUUUGCUCGCGGCGUGUCUCUCAUGGCUAAUUGCCUAACAACUGACGUUAAUUCUGACAGUUGCUGCUGUAAGGAUGAAGUCUCUACCUCGUUGACUCUACGGGGAGGGUUGCUCUCACGUAAGCCAAAUUGCUGGGAGUUCUCUGCCAUGGCUUCGAUGAGCUCUCAUGCUUCCCUCGGUGUCUUGUUUGCAAGUGCUCCCCCACUCGCAGCAUCAAUGAUACUCCUAUCGGUUGAUUGGACCCCUUCAUAGAAGUAUUGGAUUAACAGUUGUUCACUAAUUUGAUGCUGCGGGCAUCUAGUGCACAACUUGUUAAACCUCUCCCAGUAUUCAUACAAGGACUCACCGGGAUAUUGUUUAAUGCCGCAGAUCUCCUUCCUCAAACUCGCAGCCCGGGAUGCAGGGAAGAAUUUUUCCAAGAAUUUCUUUUUCAGCUGCACCCAUGUGGUAAUACUACCUGCUGGUAGGUAGUACAGCCAAUCUUUAGCUGCAUCCUUGAGAGAGAACGGAAAGACUCUCAGUCUGAUUUGCUCUUCAGUGACCCCAGGAGGUUUCAUACUAGAGCAAACCACCUCGAACUCCUUGACGUGCUUGUGGGGUCUUCGCCCGAAAGACCAUGGAAAGCAGGUAGGAGCUGAAUCAACCCCGACUUCAGUUCGAAAGCAGUAUUCUCAGCCAGAGUGGGGAAUGUGAUGCACAAGGGCUGGUGAGCCAGCUCCGGGGCAGCCAGCUCCCUCAAUGUUUGGGUGUUGGCCAUGCUUACUUCCUCUUCCGCUGACUCGUUUGUAGCAAUUAAGUGCCCUUCUUUUUGCCUCUUGGUCUCUUGCCUCCGCUUACGCGCUGCCUUCUCAACCUCAAGAUCGUAUACCAAUCCACCUGUGCAAGAAGAACGGGGCAUAAACUAGCAAAAAUACCAAGAAGAAUAAAAUAAAAAUAAAAAUUGAAUUUGAAAAGAAACAAAUAAUCCAAACGCCUACUCCCCGGCAACGACGCCAAAAAUUGACAGGUGCCGAACCUGUGCAAUAAUAAUUACUAAAAAGUCCUAAUUACCACUUCAAUUAAAUAAUUAUAGAACAAAUCCAAGUACUGGAGCAGGGACCCUAGGUGUGCAAUGGGUUACUUGAUUCACCCUGUUCCCGAAGAGUUUGCUUGAUCCGAUAUACCGGAUUUGUCUAUAAAAAUACUAAUUUUGCGUACAAUGGCAAGUAGGGUCGAUUCCACAGGGAGCAGGUAGGAAAUUAUUUCUUUCCAAAUCAGCAGAGCAAAAUUGGGGGAUUUUCAAUGGGAGAGGAAUAAAUAAAAUAAAAGUAAAAUAAAAACAAAGCGAACUAAAUUCAAAACCAACUCACAAAGCACAAGUCACUAAAAAUAGCAAUUAAUAAAAGUCUACCCAAAGGAUUAACUGCUCAGGCACGUUCCAAAUAAAUGCUCAUCGAUGCAAAGAUAUUUCACCCAUCCAUCACUAGGUUGGUUAUAGUUAUCAAUAAGCUCUGACAACCAGUUCUUCCUUACCUUUUCGACAGUCAAGGUACGACCAUUGACUGCUUCCCUAACCCGAUAACAACCCUAGGUACGACCAUAGGAGUUUAAUUAUCCAAUUGCAUUAAAACUAGAAGAACCCAACCCUAACCAAUAAACACGCUAAGAGGGUUUAUUUAAAUUAGAUUUUGCAUUUCCCCAUCAUAAAACCAAUUAUGGUGGUUGCCACGGGGUGUCAACUAAAUGAACAAUUACGGAUUCUAUUUAAUUAACGUGGCAGUAGGUUAUUAAAUUAAAUCAAAUACCCGGCCGUUGAUAUUCAAUUAAUAAAAUACCCAUGAACAAUUAAUUCAGGAAACACACGAAUAGCAAUAAAUUGGAAGAAAUAAUGAAGAUUCGAUUAGAUCUCACAGAUAUUAUGGACCGCGCCCUUGCGUCACCCUUUGGGUAGAUGAGGAAAUUAGCCGCUCCUCAUCGUGUCAAUCCCGCGUAAUUUAAUUGAAUACAUUCAAUUGAUUGCCGAAGAAUUGAAAAAGCACAAGAGGAAUCUCACGGAAUUUAGAAGAGUCAAAAGCGAAAAGUAAAAAGGGUCUCCGUUGUACAGAGCCCAGAUGCAAUCCGCAAAAUAUCCCAAUGUCUGGCCGCUUGCCGCCGCCGAAAACCAAAGCAAAGAAAAAGCCAGGACAAAGCGUCUGACAAAAAGUAGAAAAAGAAAAAUUAAAGCUAAGGCUAAAAAGUUGUUGUCCCAAUCUUGCUUUUCUUUUCUUUAUAUAGCCGCCGUCCAAGAAGAGUCAAAGAAGGAAACGUCUGGUGCAAUUGAUUCUACAAAAGCCAUUUCCCUUUUGGAGUUUUGAUCCCAUGCGCCUGGUCGACAUGGACCACGGUCCGUCUUUCGGUUUCGUCCACCUUCCAAGGCGUGGUCACGCCCUGGGACGACAAGUCUUCUGGAAAUCUACCCCGCGAGAUCAUUUUUAAUGCCGAUCACCUAUAAUUCAUACGAAUGUGAGAUAUGAGUUAAACCUCAGUACUUAGCACCGUAAAUAGCCAAAAUUAGGCCAAAAUAACACUGCAAAAUAUGCCCAAUAACUACUCUAUCAUAUAUUAUAAGAAUACUUUAUAUUACAAUGCACAUAUAGUAAUAUACUUAAGAAAGGUUAUAAUAAAAUAUAUACAUUAAGUAUGUAUUUCAUAUCAAUAUUUUUAUAAAAUUGAUUAAAUAGUUUAUUAUUUUUCAAAAAUUCCCGUUCAACGAACGGGUACAAAACUAGUUACGUUAUAUUCUGUGAGCUGUUCGUAUUUUGAUACAAGAGUUGGGGAGAGCAUUGGUGCAUAUUUUUCGCGAAACUAACUCGGCUGAAAAUUCGCUAGCUACAGCUCAGUUAGGGUCUAACAAGUCCUUUGCUUCAUUUCCCUCUCUUCCACGUAGAACUAAGGUGGCAUUAGUUCUUAAUGCUCGUUUCUUCCCUUUUAUUAGGCGUCGUUAGUGUCCACAAUGUCAAGUGCUUUCCUUCAGCUCUCUGUAAUUGAACCUUUUUCUUUUUGAUAUGAAUUGAGGAGUGAUGUCCUCCACCUCUGGGGUUAGCCAAAAAACGAAAAAAAAAAAAAAGGUUGAUCAUGAUUAUAGUUAAUUAAUUGUAGGACAUUAAAAAUUAGAGUUUGGUGUGGGAGCUAAUCAGCCUAACCAACGAUUUUAGUUGGGCCAAUAGAUAAUGGAGAUGCAAUCAAACUUUGCUGAGUAGGUUGAAAUGCACCUAAUCAAAGAAUUUUCCAUGUGUCCAAACUCAUAGUACACGCCAGAAAUAUAAAAAUGUCAACUAGCUUGUCGGUUUUGUACGUAUAUUCGCAUCAUACUGAAGCAUGUGACUUAAUUUGUCAAGAUUCCUGACUCUUAGCAUUGUAAAUUUGUAGCUCGUAAAACUGCACCAUGGCCAAAACCAUGGUCAAGUCAACGAAGUUCCCUUUCUGCCCACAGUGGGCAGAAGCAAACGUAGGAGGCCAGCUGUGUUCUCUGGGGACGCGCAAAGAUGAACGAAAAACAAAAUGAUGUAUCGGCACCGGAGAAAGCCAGGCUGUGCGUGGAUGAAAUAAUGCAAUACAUUUUAAAAUCACAAUAAAAACUCUCUUAAAAAUUCGUUUGUCAUUUAAUGCCUAGUACUUGAAAAUAUUUUGUAAACAGUCCAGCCCAAUGAAAGGGGAAGACCUAAAAAGUGAAUGUCAAAAUAAGGUGAAAAAAGGCACGAAAAUGUAGGUGAGAUUAUUGUCAUGAAAAAUGGAUGAAAUUUUUAAUAUUAGUUAGGGAAUUUUGUACAUGUCAAAGCAAAUGUUGUGGUAGGUUUUCUUUUUUUAAUUGAGUUUGAUAUUUGAAAUAAUUUAUGCUUAAAUAUAAAAGGAAGAUUUGGAAACUUAGACAUAGAUUGAAAUAAAGGGAGAUGUGCAAUUUUGGUCCCCUAAUAUUUGGUCUAUGAAUUAAAUUAGUCUUUGAUAUUUUGACAAUAAAUAUGGUCCCAAAAUUUUUUAUUUUAAACAGAUUUAGAACAACUAAUAGAAAACUAAAAUAUCUAAUGGUCAAAAUCAAAUUAGAAUUAGUCAAAAGUUUGGACUUUGUAUAUUUUGGUCCCUAAUAUUUGAAAAUUUGAUCAAUAUGGCCCCAUAUGUUUUAAAUAAUUAUAUUUCAAAUGAAAUAAAAUGUGAAUUAGAUUAAAUGCACAAAAAAAUGUGUUCUAAAAUCUCAUAAAAAUCCUUAAAAUUACUCCACAUUGUCAAAACAUUAUCAUUUAGCCUAAAGAGCAUCCCUUCAUUAAAUUAGUUACAAACAAAUGACAACAAAUGAAUCAUAUAUAAAAAAAAUUAGUGAGAAAAAAGAGAAUUUUAAUUUGAAUAUGUAGUAACUUUAAUUCUAAACAAUAUAACACAAAUCAUUGCAUGACUUAUGGAUCUGAGUUUCAAUUAGUUAUUGUUAGGCAUUGGAUUGCAUUGACAAGUACAGGUGAUUAUCAAUAUGAAUGACUCAUGUGAAUUUUUAAAAUAUUUCUAGCUGUUUCUUCUUGUCUUCCCUUCAUAUUAAAUCAAAUAUUUCAAUAAUACAAUUUAAUGUAUUUAUAUUUACAUUCAUCUGGCGUUGAUAAUUUUAUUGAAUAAUUUAAACGAUUAUAAAAUCUUUAUUUCAAUUGAAACUUAAUUGACAAUUGGGUGAAAUGCCAAAAAAAAAAAAAAGAAAACGAAAAAUAUUAUUUAAUCAACUCAGUGACAUAUAGUUGUUGAUAUUAUAAUAGAAUAUUUAAUUAACUGUUUUCUUUUAUCGUACAUGAGUGUUGGGCAAUAGAUGAUGAACAAAUUAUUAAGAGGGCGUUUCUUGUGAUUUCCAAAUGUAAUGCAUUAUUUCAUCCACGCAUAACCAGCUUUCUCCUGCUCUUGGUGCAUUUUUUUCCCGUCCGUUUUUGUGCGUCCCCACAGAACACAGUUAGCCUAGCUCCUUGCAUUGCCUUUUGCUCAAAAAUCAUUAAAAAUGUUUCUGGCCAGGCAUUAUAAUAUUCUCUUCUACAUUUUUUCUUUAUAGUAUUAUCCUUUGAUUACCUAUCCAAUUCAGCGAAAAUUGCUAGCUCAGAAUCCAAGAAGGAACAGAACAGGGAACACAUGGAUGAAAUUGGAUGUAGAAUUCACGUUCUGGCCAUCCCUUACCCUCUACAAGGCCACCUCAAUCCGAUGCUGCAAUUAUGCAAGCGUUUAACCUCAAAGGGUGUUAGAAUCACGCUAGUCACUAUCACCUCAGCCCGUCUAUCAGUGCAAAAUCAGUUUGAAUCGAUCCAGAUCGAGUAUAUUCUAGACGAUGAUAACAUUGAAGCUGAGGGAUCAAACGAUUCGGAGAAAGGUGCUGCCCACUUCAAACGGAUUCAAAUCGCAGUUUCAGAUAAUUUGGCCAAGUUAGUUGAAGAAAAGGCGAGUUCUGGUCAUCCUGUGAAUAUAGUUCUGUAUGAUUCAAUGAUGCCUUGGAUUUUGGAGAUAGUGCAGGGACAACUAGGCCUCAAAGGGGCUGCGUUUUUCACUCAGGCUUGCGCUGUUUCUGCAAUAUACAACCAUAUUCAUCGAGGAACGUUGAAAGUUCCUCUAGAGACAUCUACCAUAUUGCUUCCUUCAAUGCCACAACUGGAGUCGAAUGAUCUGCCUUCUUUUGUUUAUAAUCCUGGUCCAUACCCAGGUGUUUUGGAUCUUGUCCUCGGUCAGAAUAUAAACCUGGAGAAAUCAGAUUGGCUCUUGUUCAACUCUUUUGACAAGCUAGAAAACGAGGUAGAGUUCUCAUUCUAUAAAAUAAUUGGAAUUUGGAAGUUCACCCAUUAGCAACAUAGAUGGUUGAACUGGUUUCCACUUUUUCUUUCUUUUCCACUUUAUAUAUUUUGAUGUUAUCCAAAUUACUUAGAAUUAAAAUAAUAAAAAAAAUAAUUAGAUCUUUAACCUUAGAUUGAACAGGGACCUCAUUCAGUUCACUCACAGAUCCGAGCUUAAAAGCAUAGCUCAUAUUAAAUAAGUCUACAUGUUAAUCUUUCAUACAUUUCAAUACAAUAGGCAUAGAUAAUCUUUUCAUAAAAUCAUGCUUCAAUUUUCUUAAUUGUCUUUUGGGGUGGGACCUGAUUAAAUUUUGCUGUUUGGGAAAUAUUACAAUGUUGUUGCUGAAUCUCAACCAGGUGGUGACCUGGUUGACAGAGCGGUAUCCAAUCAAGACCAUAGGCCCUUCUACUCCAUCCAUGUACACUGACAAGCGAUUGAAAGAUGACAAAGAUUACACCAUCAAUUUCUUCACACCAGAUUCAGGAGCUUGCCUAAAAUGGCUUGACACCAAGGAAACAGGCUCAGUUGUUUAUGUAUCCUUCGGUAGUAUGUCGGACCUUGGAGAAAAUCAAAUGCAGGAAAUUGCAUGCGGCCUGAUGAAUAGCAAUUGCAACUUCUUAUGGGUAGUAAGACCUUCUGAAGAGAGCAAAAUUCCUAGAGAUUUCAUGUCCGAGACAGAAGAAAGAGGUCUAAUCGUGAAUUGGUGCCCUCAGCCAAAGGUUUUGUCGCACAGGGCAGUGGGAUGCUUCAUGACUCACUGUGGUUGGAAUUCAACAAUUGAAGCAUUGAGCUUGGGUGUGCCAAUGGUGACCAUGCCCGUGUGGGCUGAUCAAACUACAAAUUCUAAGUACAUUGUGGAUGUAUGGAAGGUAGGAUUGCGAGUUAAGGCUAGUGAGGAGAGGGAAAUGGUAACAAGAGAAGAAGUAGAAAGGACUAUAAGAGAAGUUAUGCAUGGGGAGAAGGCAAGCGAGCUCAGAAGCAAUGCUUUGAGGUGGAAGGAGUUGGCUAAGGAGGCAAAUAGUGAAGGAGGAAGCUCAGACAAAAACAUUGAAGAAUUUGUUUCAAGUGUUGAAAGCACUCACUCACUCAGUUGAAUUAAGUGUAAUCAAUAUUCAAUUUUCUUCAAACAAGUUUGAGAUUUUAUACCUUUUUUUUUUUUAUCUUCAAACAAUAUGUUUUAAUCUAUCCAACAAGUAUUAGGAUAACUUUAAUUAAGAAACUAGAAUUCUUUUGAGACCAAAGACUUGGACUUGUAUCCAAUUUGGCAUCAGCCGGUAAUACCUUUCAAAGACUCUUCAACCCGAUUUUUCUUUUCUUUCCUCUGGUUUUUCUUAAGACAGACAGAAUAUUACAUAGGAUCUUGAAGGCCCAUUUAACUGGUUGGAACUUGAGCCAUAUAACUUUGAGCUUCCUCUCAGACUUUCAAACCAUUCUUUUUCUCCCUCCUCCUUAUGACGAGUUUCAUUCGACCGAAGAAUAUACAUACAUACAUACAUACCUACCCACAUACAUACAUACAUAUAUAUAUAUAUAUAUAUAUAUAUAUGGACAUGCACACACAUUCCAAAAUAUCGAGACUCGUGGUAUUUUUUAUAUAGUAAUGAUAAUGAUAAUACUAAUCUUAGUUUGUUACAUUAAGCAUUCUAAAGUUGAUCAUGAUCAUCGUUAUUUGUAGGGCAUUAAAAAUUAGAGUUUAGUGUGGUGCCUAAUCAGCCUAAUCAAUGAAAUGGUGAUGCAAUCUUACUUCACUGAGUAGGUUGGAAUGCACCUAAUCAAAGAAUUUUCCAUGCGUACAUACUCAUAGUACGUGCAAAAAAAUACAAAAGUUAACAAGCUUGUCGGUUUUGUACAUUUAUUCGUAACAUGCUGAAACGUGUGGCUUAAUUUGUCCAGAUUCAUGAUUCUUGGCGAAUUCCUUGGAAUAUGGCCCUUUCAAAAAAAAUCCGCCAAAUAUGGAUGUGUAGAACUUUGUUCUUGAUCUAUGCCUGUCGUGCCUACAUGACACAACGGGCCAAGGAAUUUUUUUAAAAAAAUAAACAAAGGAUCAUUGCAUCAUAUGAAAUCUAUGCUCGUAGUGAAUCAACUACUUAUAACUAAUUCAUACCUACUCCGUGGUUAGAUAUAAAUUCAUUAUUUCUAUGAAAUUGCAUGAAAUAAAUCACUAAAACCACAAAAGUGUACUUCUACUCUAGUGAAUGUACUCCCUAGGUUUAGUAUUUCUUUGUACCAGUGAUAAAUUUCGAUUUUCAUUACAAAUCUAACACCUUAAGAUUAUCAUAAUUAAUGACCCGUUAAUCAUGAUUAGAAGAACAAAAGUGCUAAAUAAUUUGCUCAAAAUAAUAGCAUCAAAUAGCCAAAAAAAUUAACACAAUACAAUUAUAGAAAAUUCAAUCGAAACCCAAAGCACAAACUUGAGAAAGACAUAAUAAACAUAAAAUUCAAAACUUAUUUAUUAACCAAACAUAAGAAUCCAAUACAAAUGAUAAAGAAUUGGAGAAGAGAAAACCUUUGUGGCAUAAGUUUCAUGCCCUCCUUCUUCAUCUCCAUCUUCAUCCUAAUCUAGCUAAUGUACAAGAGUUGAUGACGCACAAUACUACCUAAACUAUACCAUACUAACCUAAAAGUAAGAAAAUAUAAGAGCUACAUUUUUGUAGUGUGCUCUUGUACUCUCCAAACUCCCUCAAAAUGAAAGAUACAAGUUCUAUUUAUAGAGAAAUCUAUAAGUUCCUUCACUUGUAUCUUCAAUAUGAACAAAGCUUCCAAUAUGUCAAUAUUUUGCACUUCAAAGCUAAAACACAUCAUUAUAGAAGAAAUAAUAUCAAGAAUUAUUGCUAGAAUCUCCAUUUUAUAGCUAUAAAUCUUCUAUAAAAUGUCUCUCAAAAGGUGUGAAAUAAUGAAGUUGAAAUCAUGUUGCGCAAGUUGUAGCCGCAACAUUUGACUUGAAUCCCACUAGCAAUCCUUCCAAAAUUGUGGCCAAAUUCUUGGAGGGAUUGGUCUCUGUUUUGCCAAAACUAUCUACCUUGAAUCCCUCCGAAAAUCCCUGCAUGAAUUCUUGGAUGGAUUUGGUCCAAUUUUCUUUUUCGACAAGUUUCUUUAUACCCUUGAAACUUGUCAACUUCGUGAAUUUUAGAACUUUAAUCAACGCAAUGCAAGCAUUUUUUUAGUCCAAAUUGGAAUCAAUUACCAACUCUUACAAAAUCAACCAAAAACAUAUGAAUAAAAGGGAUAAAAAAAUCUCAUUUAAGCACUAAGUAGCAUUUAGAACUAAUUCAAGCCAAAAUAGAUCAUUUUCUUCUUAUUAUAAAAUAUUGAAAAAAAGUGACUAAAAGUAACAUAAAAUGUUAUUCAAAUAUAACACAAAAUAGUCACUUAUCAAAAGGGCAAAGGAAAAAGGACUAAGGAAACUAUAUGUGUUUAAUGUUAAAAUAAAUAUGUUACUUCAUUUCUUAUUUACAUGUGCUCAUUUAUAUGCAUCUUUUGCAGGCUCAUGAACCUGAAAAUACCACUGGAGAGUGAUUGCAAGGACUCUAAUGCAGCUUCCAUAGAUGUUGCUGAAGAAGUUGAAGUCUAAAGGAAAUUAUAAAUCUUUGACAUAUGUUUGUGACCUUAUAUAACUCACUACAUUUAUGUAAAUUUUUGGUGGCUUUUAACUAAAAUUGAAUGUAGACUUUGUUUUGGUGGCAUAUAGACUUGUAUUCUGAUAACCGGAAUUAUAUGCAUUGCUAAAUUAUAUGCUACUUUAGUGAUAAAUAAAUUAUAUACUAAAUUUGGUGGCUGAUGCAGUGAAUGUUGUUGAAUAUUUCAAUUUAGGGAUAUUGUGUGUUUGGUUGUUGUUUGGGAAUGCUCAUAUUGCAGGGUAAACAUUGCCAAAUUUCUUAAAAUAAAUGUUGUCACAUUAAAACUUUUUUUUAAUGAUUUUAAUGCAGGCUGGAAUAUAAGCUUCUUUUUUUUGCCUCCUCUGUCUACGAGAGAAUUUUGCAUUAUUCGUGAUUCAACUCAAAAAGGACUAAAUUGACUAAACAUGUAUAGUGAAGGGACUAAAUUAGCCCCAAUUAAAGUUUAGAGACUAUUGUAGCUUCUGAUAAAUAGUUUAGGGACUAUUUUGGCCGUUUGCUUAAAAUUUUCUGCUGUAGAAGACGUAUCUUGUAAGUGUUAUUUGACUGCUUUUAAAUUCAGAGUAGUUCUGAAAUCUACAACCGGAUGACAACCCAAGUGCCCAAGCGACAAGGCAAUUAGACCAACCAUUAAUUCAUGAAUAUUUGUUGAUAGAAGACUCCUAAAUGAUAUAGAUUAUGGCUUAAAUAUCUCUUCCAGCUCAGUUAGUCCAAUUUGGAUUAUGUAUUGUAUUGUGUAGUUAUUGCACAUGCCUCUUAUUCGCCAUACAUUACUGUUUUUAUCCUCUCUCUCUCUUCUCCGGCAAUGGCAUUCCUCAUGUUGUCCAGCACCAAUUGUCUAUCUAUAUCUCUCACCAAUAUGAACAUGAGGAUUAUCAUCAAAUCACAUUCACUACAAAAUAGAAGGAACCUUGAACUAUCAAUAGUGUUAUGAGUUUUUUCAACAGAUUGUGACAAUGUGGCCAAUGAUUAUUAUUCCUCCAACGAGUAGGUGGAUUUCAAAUCCAAAUCUCCUAAAUUAUCCAAACCACAAUAGGGGCUUUUGGUAGGGAUUUGAUAUCCGCCAUGUUUAAUAACUCAAUUCAAUAUUUAAAUUUAAUUAAUUCAUAUCUUAACAUAUUCAGACGUGUUUAAUAACCAAAAAUAGAACAUCUGAAUUAAUUAAGUGACACUGAAUUUUUCAAGCAAAACUCACUCCCAAAAAAAUAGUAACAAGUUAUUUACUUAUUAUUUAAUGUAAUAUACAUUCAAGUGUAUCAAAUUUAGUAUUUCAUAAUUCAAUAACUUAAUGAUUUCAAUUUUCAAAUUAGAUGCUUUCCAUAUUGAUAUUUCAUGUACAACCGUUAGAUUCGAUACUUUUCAUCCAAUUUUUAAUUUAGUCGAAACCAUAGAAAGCUGUAGUAUAAGUUUCCAAAUCAGAGAGAGGUUAAUUAUACAUUUGGCAAAUCACAGAAAGUUUCUUGAUAUUUUACCCUUAUUUCUUUGUGACAGUUCAUUGUCAUCAAUUGAAAUGCCAUUGCAAAGUAGUUGGGUUUUUUCAUUUUCAUUUAUCUUUAAUUUUUCUUAUAAUUUUGUUUGAAAACCGUGCAACAUAAAGCGCAGACAACAUGGACUCCAUUUUUCCUAUUAAUCUUAAAAAUUGCAUGUUUAACAUGGAGACAUUUAAUUAUUGGUGCUUUUUGUUUUGUGGUCUUAGAUGAAAUACUUAAAAUUAGAAUCAACUUGGUGUUUAUAGGUGAACUACAUGAAAAGUUUUUGUUGUAUGCUUCGAUUUUGAUGAGAUGAAAUGUUAUCUCAAUUAAAACUAAAUUGUUUAUUGUUUGUUGGUUGUAUAAACAUUUUAAGUGCUCUCUUUUAAGUCGUGCUGGUUGUUCAACUUUUCAGUUUUUUUUUUUUCUGAAUAAUGAAUUUGAAUUGGAUAAAGUGAGGUGCAAUGUUUUAUUGAAUUUGAACCAUUUGCAUUUUCAGUUGUUUAGUUGGAUUUUUUUCUUUUUUAUUUUAUUUUGUAUUAAAAAAGAAAAAGUACAUAGUGUACGCUCCAAUAAAUUUUAAAAAAUAUAUAAUUUUAUGCAGCUGUUUCAGAGUUAAAAUGCCCUCUAAAGGACAUAAUUACUGAUUGAUCGUAAUCAAAUCUACCUAGAGAACAAAGUUAUAGUACACCAAAUUGAUCUCACAAAACUGUCAAGCCUCCUUUAGGCCAAAACACAAAGGCAAUUGCCCUGCAACUACAAUACAGAUUCCAUCUUUGUUGACAAACUACUCUUCCCAAUAACAAGCUUAUACCUGCAGGUUCCAUACAGGCAAAGCUGUUGUGUAAGAACUGAAGAAAAGAAGCCUAUUUAAAAUCACAACAAAAACAAUUGUACAGUUUAAUCACUUUUUAUCUUCAUGACCCUUUGAGCACUUAGUGUCUGCCUUCACCUGAGAUUUUCCUAGCUUAAGAUACUAGCUGAACAAAUUUAUCAUGUACUAAGUCAGGACUUGUCAGCAUUAAGGGCCUCAAGUUGCUUUCUUAGUUCAUCCAAGUCGUCCAGCGGGUUGCUUCCAUCCCCAGAAACAGGCAGAUUUGAAAAUCCAUCUGCACUUGGCAACUCGUGCAUAAGGCCAUCCGGAAGAAUGCCUGAAAGAAAAGAGAUUUAGGAUCUUGUCAACCUCUGCUGGCCUUUGAAUAACAAUAAUAGCAGAAAAAAAAAAUAAACCAAAGAAAUCGGAUUAGUUAAUAUCAAGCCCUUCAUCUUCUUAGCACAAGCUCAAGAUACUGGGAGGACAUUUUUUAAGUGCAGAAACACUUCUAAGAUGACAAAACAUGACAAUAAAAAAAAAAUCAAUAGUUUACUACUACCUAAAGUUCAGUUGCAGAUUUGUUGUAGAGACUAAAGUGGGAACAACAGAACGAGGAAAGCACCAAUUCCAGGUUCGUAUUAUGCUUCUCUUCUCCAAGUGAGAGAACAGAAAAACAAUUUAUGAACAAAGGUAAGACAUAAGCUCCAAUUUUCUGGCAAGGUAUUAAACGGUUAAUCUGCCACACUAUGUUUUGUCCAAUCUCCAUCCUUACCUUUAACUUUUCAAGUGAAAAUGAAAAGUGAUUAUUGACACCUUAGCAGCUUCGAUUAACACCAUUCUUUCCUUUCAACUCCAAAAACUAGGUGGUCUAAAAGGGCAAGCACUGGUUAUGUAGUAUGAUAAAAAGGCUGAUUUUACCCAUGGUUCAAGAAUAUAGAUUCCUUGAUCUUAAGGAAAGAACAAAAAGAGACCCAAAAAAUUAAAAAGAAAAGGAGUAAUAUUUCCAGAAUCUUAUAAUCUGCCUUUGAGACUAUUAAAACAGUUCUCUAUGAAAACUGAAACCAUCUAACCAACACAUUCUUGGAUCUUAUAUGAGGGAACCUCUUAUAAGCAUGUGACUUCAAACCAACAUCACAAAACUUCUUGUUCCAUGAUUAACAUUCUUUGACCAGCUUCACAUUUUAACGGUAGAUCUUGAAAAAUCAACAGAAAGUUUUAACAUCAAGUGAUAGUUGCCACAGGCUAAUUAAAAUCAAAUUAAUGAUAGCAUGAUUAUUCUGGAAAAAAAGAAAAACCUGAACUUCUGACAUCUGGACCAGCCACUUCACUGUCAUCAACGACACUGAAAAGCACAAAAGGACAUGAUACAGCAUCAAUCACAAGGCCAACAAUAAAGAGAUUAGAGAAAACUAAUGUACUCCUCAAAUAGAUCAUCCACUAACAAAACAAGGAAAUCUUAAUGUCAAAUGUUUGGACUACAAGACUAUGAAAAUCAAAGAAAAACUUCUAUAGGCUUACCUUAUGUUCCAUUCAUUAUCUGCAUGAAUGGGACAUUCUGUUGCAGACUGUGCUUCGGCCUCCAUCUUUGCUCUAGCAGCAGCAUCCCUGGCAGGCUUUACAAGAAUGUAUUCUUUCUGCAGCACAUGUAGCACUUGCUCAACAUAGAAGCCAAUAUGUAAAAUAAAAAAGCAAACAACUUGUAAAUUCUCCAUUGUGCUUUAUUUACCUGUCGUUCCAAACAUGCUGAAUUUGAACAUUGAGGGUUUGGCUUCAUUUCCAUUGUUGGGAAAUAAUCUUUGAGGGCAUUGUAACCCUGAUAUCAAAAACAAGAAUCAGUGACAUUUGAUGCUUAAUUCCAAAUAUAUUUCUUACGGAGGAGAAUGAGGAUUUAAAUUGUACCAGAUAAGGGGUAACUUGCCCGAACUUUAACAAAUAUUUAAGAGCAUUUUGAACAAGAAGCCCAGCAACAACACCCUGUCAAGUCAAGCAAAAUAGCAAAAACAUAGAACACAAAAUUCAAAAACUAAUCAGCAAUGCUCAAGCCUUCACACUUAAUAUGCACAAGAAAUUUGGACUUAUAACCAUGUAAUAAAAAUUAAUGAAAUGCAGCAUUAUGUAAAAGUUUUAGCAAAAAGAGAGGAGUGAUCAAUAAUCAAAAAGUCAUUAUGUAAAGAAAACCCCAUCCGGUUAAAAAAGGGUUGCAAGACGGUCUCUCAGAUACAAGCAUGUAAAAUAACAUGAAUGUCAUGGAAAGAUUUCAAUCCAAGAUUGAGAUUUCCUAUCAUUUAUUAGUUAAUCAUUGGUAUACGAUAUUACUCUAUUUUCAGGAUUCUAAUGCUGAGGAUGAUGAAGGUUCACUAUUUGCCAAAGGAAGUUGUCAAACAACUUGAGUUAUGCUAUAUAUAGCAAAUAACUCCAUGACAAAAAGAUAGAAACAUCUCUACAUUUUCUGAAAACUGAAAAGUUAUUACCAUGGUAGUUGGUAGAGAUGCAGCACAAACCCCUUCACGCUUUAGUGUGCGUUCAUCAACACCAGAAGCAACAACCUGACAGAUAAUUUAGUUGUAGAUUACUUUCUUAACUUUGAAAGAUAAAUGAUCUCCCUUCCCCCCCCCACCCCCCCCCCCCUCUCCCAAAAAAAAAAAGAGCAUAGCAAGCAAAGAUGCAAAGGACCAACAUAAGGCCAAUUGAUUGCAAAUGCAAGAUAAGUUUCAGAAUAAAAAAUUUAUCAGUAAUACAUAAAUGCUACAAUAUAUGUCAACUAACUACAGUUUUCAUGAGAAAAUGGAAAUGAAUCAAACAAGAAUCCAACAAUGAAAGUUUUGGCACCAAAUAUUUCAAAUCCACCCAGAUCACUGAAGUUACCAAGGGAGGUGCACAUGCAAAGCACGCAGUUUCUCCGGGAACCAGCAAUUGUAUGUGACCUGAAACCGCAUUUUCAGAUACACCUGCCCAAACAAUCUCUCCUGUGAGUCCUUCGCAAAAUUUCCAGCUCAAAUAAAAAUUUUCAUUUGAAGCAUCCCAUCAACUAUGAGACAGAAUCAGAGAUGAGAAUACAACAACCCUGAGGCAGAAUCAAAAUAUUGACUUGUAUCUUGAUAUCCUAAGCUCAACAACUAGUUACAUAUAGAGGCAUAGCGUUCAAGUAUUGUGUGUCAUAUAGACGGCAAAUAAGAUGGAUUCGAAAAGGACAAUAUGCUAAAUACAAAUCUAAUGAGAUAUAGAGACAUAAUAACCAAGCCUAUUAAUGCUUUGUCUGUAGCCUAGCAUUUUAAAGAUGUUUUACACAUGGUUUUUAACCAGAUUAGGAGGACAGAAACAAAAAUAUUGCAAAGCAUUUCAGCAACAGAAAUUAAAUGUGCUACGAUGUAGCAUGUCCAUCAUUGGAGUUUGAUAUACCAAUGAACCUACAGAAAAUGAAUAACCAUACUCAAAGAUGCAACAAAACUUUGUAUGAUGCCAAACAAACUGACGUUUUCAUACAGAAGAUACAAAGGAAUCAUCUUCCUUACCAGAUUCCAUCCAUGUUUGGUUUAAUUCAUUGCAAGCCUGGAAAAAAGUGCAACUUUAGUUAAGACAAAAUUGUAACAUUGAGUCACAAAAAAAAAAAAAAAAAGAAAAAGGAAACAGAAGAGAUUCCAACAUUUUCUAUAGAACUAGUGGAAGUAAAACAAAUGCAUCAGAACCAAUCCGAAAAUGCAUCUAGUAUCAACUGUUACCUGAUUUACUACCAUCCUUGCUUCAUAAUUAUCCACACAGCUUAAUACAAGAUCCACUCCGCUACCUUCUUUAUGUGGGCCAAACGACUUAUUUUUGAGACUUGACAUAAAAGUUUCAAAACCUUGAACAGUUGUAAUAUUCAGUGUAUAGCUCUGCAACAUUCAAAACCUAAAUAGUAUCAUUACCUAAAUGAUAAUGUCCUAGCUAUAUAGUGUUUUUCUGCUAACAGGAAGCAAACUUCAUGCUCAAAUUAAGAAUAACAACAUACAGUGAAAGCAGACAAUAAAAGUGAUAAAAAUCAGAAUAUUCUAGAGCAAAACUACUGGCACAUUCACUUUUUGAUUUAUGUUUCUUUGUUUGGGAGCUGGGGUAUACAAGGUGCAAAGGUGCUAACACAAAUUUUAGUAAUGUGGAUAAAACCACUAAUGAAUGAAACAGGAUAACAAGAAUAGUCAAAUGGUAUAAACAAGAAGCAGAAUUUAUCAGUGGAGAUGUAACUGACUUCCAUGCAGCAAAUUUGGCAUAAACAAGGGCAAACAUUGAAGGGUUAGGAGUAUAAAAGGCAAAGGAAUCAGAAGCAGGAAUAUCACUUGAAAACAUCACCUCAAAGACAACAUCUGGAUUAAUGUCAGAAAGAGUUUCAACAGCAGCUUCUGUUUUCGUCAUGCCAACCUAAGACAAAGAAGAAGAAGGAAAAAAAAACUGACAGUUAGACAAGUAACUAUAGAUUAUAAUUUCAUAUUUAAAGAUAGCAGCAUUAUGAUUCCGUGAAUAUUGUUGAAAACUUGGGAGAAACAACCAUACAUGCCCAAAUUAAAACACCUCAGCUUGCUUUUCGAGGAAAAAAAGAAGAAAAUAAAUUUAAAAAAUCAAAUAAAAUGUACUGAUUUAGUAUCUACAUCAUACUAUCCAACAAGAGGAAACAGAAUCUGAAAAUGCUUCAAGAACAAACCUGCUCUGGACGGAAGAAAAGCCUAUUCAUGUUAGCUAACUCCACUUUGUCAUAAUCAUACAACAAUAGACGACCAAUGCCACACCUUGUCAACAUUUCAGCGGCAACACUGCCCACACCACCUAUACCCUGUACAUAAAAUCAGAGAAUGAAGAGAGGCAAAGCUUAUUUUUGGAUGCAGAAAUAUAGUGUGAUUGAAAGAUCCAACUCAUCUAUCCUCUCCAAAAUCAAAGCACAACAUUGAGCUCCCAGUGGAGUUUCAGAUAAACUUAUCAAGUGGAUAAAAACUAUUUACUAGAAAUUGGAUAUGAUAUGUAGUAGACUGAUAAACAAGUCCAUAUUUAAAACAAUAUCAGGUUCAGGAGUUGUUUUAAUAAUUUGAAAAAGCAAAUGAUAUGAAUAAAUCUUCACAUCAACAAGUAAAGAAUAAUAAAGAUGCCUUUCUAAUCUCGUGUAACUUCCAAACCUAAACAUAUGUAUUUAUGAACUAGAACAAUGUUCAUGCAGAAAUCUUGAGAAAGAGCAGCAUAUUAAGACAAUCAUGUGAAAUGAGAAACAGGCAUUGGAAACAUAACAAAUAAGGAUAACGGGAUAUGCUAAGAUACUUACAACAAUGGCAAUUGAAAAUUGCCUUAUUCUUUCAUAGUUUUGCACAAUGCCCAUUCUCUGAAGCGCCAUAAGCCUACUGUAGGGAUUGCUAUCAACAACUUCAGCACUCAUAUCCUAAAAUAGAAUAAGUAUAAGAUUAUGGGAUGCAAUAUAGUAAAGCAGCUGAAAUGGUAUGAUACAACCAUAGGAGCAGCUGAACACAGUUACCUUAACUUUCGAGCGGUGCAUGCCUCCUGACUUAGCAAGAUUGGAGAGCCUUUCAAUUCGACAUUGUAACUAAAAGCACAAACACUAAGCCAUUAAACCACAUUUCCUUAUAUGCACACAUUGCAGUGAAAAAGAUUGAAACUUUUUCAAAAAAAAAAAACAAAAAUCCAACACCAAGCAAAACCCAUUAUUUGUACUAGAAAAAUUCAACUUUUUAAUCAGAACUAAUAUGGAAUUUGAUCAAAACUCAAAACCCAUAAAAACAACGAAUUUAUAUGGCAUUAGCAGAAAACAUUAAACUUUAUAACUAGAACCGAUCAGCCAUUUGGACAAAACCCAAAAAGCAGCUGACUUUUAAGUCUUUGCAGGCCUGCUCUAGCAGCUGUUCUUUGCAUCAAGAUGUUUGCACAUAACGAUUCUUUGCAAUAGUAUAGUCAACGUACUUGGGGAUUAUUCCCCUUUAUUCAAGCUCCAGUUCUACAUUAAUCAAAACCUGUCCCCCCAUAAAAAGAAACAAAAUAACAAAAGAAAACCAGCAAAACCCACAGUUUAUAUGAGGUUAUAACCUCAAAUUGGCAUUUAAAGUUAACAUAACUUGAAAUUCAAGAAUUUCUAAAAUUCCCUUUUAAUUUCAUAUGUCAUGCAAGCUUUGAUCUUUCGGAGCUAACUACAAUAUAUACAGCAACUGUAUUAAAAUUAGAACAGAAGAAUGGAAUCAAAAUUAAAUAGCUGAAAAGCCCAAUAAUAGGGAGGCUUACUUGAUGGAUUUGGGAUUGAUGAGAGGGAUCUGGCAAUGAAUUUUGCAGAGAAUUAAGUUCGUUAAAAAUCUCUUUGAGCUCAGUCUCCAUUGAUGAUCCCAUUGCUUAUGCUUCCAAUGCCUUCAACCUUUUCCCUUUCCUUGAAAAUUCGGAAAAACGAUUUGGGCAAUAAAUGCGGAUACGAGGCAAGGAAUCUGAAUCCAAAAAGGCUUUCGAAAGCAGAAACGCAUAGGGGGCCUGGGUUGGCGCCUCUGUCCAAGUGCUCUGUCUAAAGGGACAAAGUAGUAAUUACAAAUAUUAUCAGUCUUACGUUAAUAGGGCGAACAAUUAAUAUUCAUUAAAAUGUGGUUUUAGUUAUAGCAUGAAAUGUAUGCAUAAUAUUCAAAUUACUUGAUCGCAAUUUGAUAAAAAAGUGUGGUAUGAAAUCAGUUCGGUAGAUCAACAGGUCAAGCUUGAACGCGAUUACAAGCUAACAAACAAACUUUAUAAUUAGAGUGUUCAAUUUGAUUAAAUUCGUUUACACGUUUAUCUAUCUAUUACAGCAGUUUGAUAUGUACAAUUAUUAUAAUUUUAUAUUUAUACAUUUACUUCUUUUGAUUCAUAUUUAUAGUUGGUUUUGGGCAACAUGAUUUCAUCAAGAAUUGUAAUUAUUAUUAUGUGUGGAUGAGGUGCUUAUAUACACUAAUGUCUAAUUUAAAAAUAUUAACGGAUUAAGAAUAAAAUAAAUGGUAUAAGUGGUCCUUGAACUAAUUAAGAUUUCUUAUUUCUGGUCAUUAAACCUUUUCUUUAAUCAAAUUAAUCUCUCAACUAAUGUAAAAAUAAAUAUUUGGACCUAUAUAUUUUUGUUUCUGACAAAAAAUUAACGUUCUUUUCAUUAUUUGAUUGACGAACUUGGCUAAAACAAAUUUUAGGGGCCGCUUGGUUUGAGGGGUUUGGCAUGUGGAAUGACAAUAAUUCCAAUAUUUAGUGCUUGGUACACUGUAAUGGCAAUUGAAAUAUUGGAAUCAUACCCAAUUCAUGAUUCCCGACUAAAUUGGAAGGAAUCACUCAAAACCCUCAUCUCAUUUCCAACAGUGAAUAAAUUCGGAGACCACAUGCACUGCAACCUCCUCCUCUUCCUCCUCCGCCCACCACGUUUUCCCUCUUCCCCCCACAGCCCACCAAAAGCCUUACUCCUCCACUCCCUCCGGUGAUCCCUGCUGGGAUGCCAUCCGUCGCGCCUGCUCCGCUUCCCCUUCCUCCACCCUCUCCCUCUCCGACCUCCGCUUCCUCCACUGCCUCGGCUCCGGCAACAUCGGGUCCAUCUACCUCGCUGAGAUCAAAGCUCCCGAGCCUCCUCCUCCUCCUCCUCCGCUAAAUUCCUCUUUCACUAUCAAAUCGUUCCUCUCAGCAGGCAACCCAAUCUCCCUCUUCUCCUUGUGAAAAGCAAAACUGAUGUUUAAUGGCAAGAAGGCUGGUGGCCAUAGGUGGAUUGCAGUCGUGCUUGCAAACAGAUUUCAAAGGAUUGGGAUGGAAUUCACCAUUUCAUUUUGGGAUUUGUUUUUGAAUUGUUUAAUUAAAGUUCUAUUUGCCAAUUUCAGAACAACGAAAAAUAAAUAGACACCAUGUGCCAAAUCUUCUAUUUUAGACAUGGAUUUUUGAUUGAUAAUUGCAAAACGAAGCACAAAAGAAGAAGUUUUGAUUGGUGCUGGUUUGGUAAAGUUAGCGGUGGGGAGGCAUCGAGCCAAGAAGACAAAAAGUCCAAAGGAGAAAAAAAAGAAGCAAAAAUAAAUUUUAAUACCCAGCCCACACCAAGCAUCGCCCGUGGGAAUGAUAGCACCAAUGAUACCAGGAGCUUAUACCCAUACUGAUUUUUUAUAAUUCAUUCCGUAUCCAAUUCCAAUUCCGGAGCAUGAACCAAGCACCCCCUUAGUAAUCAAAACAAAAAAAAAAUCUUUGAUACUUUAGUGAACGCGUUUGCCAUUUUGCCCCUAAGGAGUGAUUGCAAAGAGUACGGAUCCAAACAUUUCAAGGGUUAUGUAAUUAGGAGAAGAAUUGAAGUGAAUUUAGAAAACUAAACGUGGAAUGUGUCCAACUAAACAUUUCAAUGAAGCCUCUCAUUGAUAAAUUAAGUAUAGUCAACUCUUUAUCAACCUAAUAUUGUUAGAAUGGUGUUGUUAAUUGGAACCAACUUUUUACUUUGGAGAACUAAUUAAGACGUCCUUGAAGUUUUCAAAUUCAUUCAAGCCUCUCAUUGAUAAAUUAGAGGAUAAUAUAAGUGAACUGAAAUUCAUGGAACCUCCUUAUCUUUCAACGAUAUCCAUGAAACUCCCUGUGAUUUAAACUGAUAUGGAACAAAGAAGUUUGAAAUUCCCAAACUAUCCCAAUUUUCUAAACAACAGGGAUCAAUUGAGGGGCUUAAUUAUAAUUUUAAAAAGUUUGUUUUCCUUUUUUAUUUCUUGAAGAAAAACACUAGUUUAGGGGCAGAAUUGAAAUUCUAAAAAUUUCUUUCUUUCCUUCACUGAACGAGACAGUUUUCGUGCCCAAAUAACCCACAUUUGCGAUGUUACCACUAAAACUUUCAUCUUCACUCUCCAAUUUCAUAUCAUCGUGAUCAUUGUCGUGGUUAUCAUCGUAUAAAAAAAAAAAAAAAAGAAGGGAGAAUCACACCAAUCGUCCCUCACAUAUUGCAAAUGUGAAAAUUUAGUUUUUCAGAACGAAAAUGAUCAAUUUUAGUACCUAACAAAUAAAAAAGAAUCAAUUUUAGUCCCUUUGCACUUUUCCAAACAAUUUUUUGCAGGAAUAUGUCAUGCGCACAUCACGUGCGCAAUUUUUAAAGGGUAAAAAUGGUAGACUACUUUAAUGUUGAUUUAAAAAAAUGUGAGGGACCAUUACUCCUCAACCUCCUUCAACUCUUCCAAACCCUAAAUCUAAGCUUUAUCACUAAUGACAGAAGUAUGAAAAAUUUGCUCGGUUAGUAGUUUGAAAGGAAAGAAAAAAUGCUUGUAUAGUUUUGAUCCUCCCACGUCUUCUGGUGUUAAUUAAUUAGAGUUAAAUAGAGGGCUUUCCUCUUCAUACGUGAAAAGGAAGAAUUUUGAGGAAAAUAAUGGCAACAUCUGAGAUAUAAACAAGAACCCAGAAAACCAAGAUGCAGAACAUCAAGCAAGAAUCUUAAACCCCAACCUUUUUUCUUCCAAAAAAAAGGGAUAAAACAAAGAAAGGAGACUCCAAUUAACUCUUGCCGCUAGCAUCCUCCUAUAGCUUAUCCAAUAUCCAACAAUAGCUUCUAAAGAUCUCCCAAAGGCCACCAAAUAUUCAAUAUCAUUAAAAAAAAAAAAAAAAAAACUUUCUCAAUGUCUCCAUAGUUUCGUAUGCUUUUAACUCUUUCCCCACCUUUGGCAGAACAUCCACCAUUUCUAUUAUUAUACAUUAUUGGACAAGGUGAAAAUCUAUCCAUGAAGAGCAACUAAAUUUUGAAAUAGAAAAUAACCAUUAAAAAGUAGUACUUCUCACUUGAAGUCUUCAGCAAAAAUUGUACCAAUGAAAGUGUCUGAAUGCCCCCAAUUUCACAUCUAAAGAUAAGAAUCAUCCUUGAUGUAAGACAAAAUAGCAGGAAAAAUUUAAUUAAAAGAGUUAAAAGGAAAAUCAAGAUUUGGAGAGGGAUGUUUCUUGGAUUCACUUCAUCUCACUUCAAUCUCCUAUCCUUUUUAUUCUCCUUGGGUUCAAACUCAUUUUUUCUUCCCUCGACCUUCUCUUCAUCCCUUCCUGGAUCCGAAUGGUCUAGCGACAAAUACAAUUAUUGCUUGAAAGUUUUUUGAUUGUGCAUUUGAUUUCUUUAGUCAAACUCCUUUUAUUUUCAUUUAAUUAAGAGUCCAAGUUGAUCUGAACUUUUGAAGACUUUUUGAAUAUUAUUAUAUGCAAAGUGUGAUGUGGCUAUUUUCUGUUUAAGGGAUCUACAAUCUAGGUGGUGGACCAAGUUCAUGCAAGUAUUUGCCCACAUUUUUGGUCAAUAUUAAAGUGGUUUGCCUUUUUUACCGUUUAAAGUUGGGCACGUGAUGUGCGCGUGACACAUUCCGGCCAAAAAUCGCUCGGAAAAGUGCAAAAGGACUAAAAUGGAUCCUUUUUUAUUUGUUAGGGACCAAAAUUGAUCAUUUUCGUUCUGGGGGACUAAAUUUUCACAUUUGCAAUAUGUGAGGGACGACUAAUCCAAUUCUCCCAAAAAAGAAAGUUAAAAAGCUCUAGUGAAAAAAAAAAAGAAUUUGAAAUCGGAUGUGGACUUUUGUUUAUUAUUUUGCUAAUUAAACAUUAAUCUCGUCCAUGCACACCUUAAGAUGAAUUUUUUUUUCCUUGUUUGCUUUAGAACUUGAGGGGUUUGAGGUUCAAAAGAAGCAAAUCUUGGUUUUGAGGUUUGAGGUUCAAAAGAACUGAAUCUUGGUUUUGCCUCAAACUUGUGCUUAUCCUUGUUUUAUCAUGUUAAAUGGUUACUGUAUAAUUGUGCUGUGGCUUCUAAGGAUUGUCCGGAUGUGAAUUUUAUAAGGAUUAAAAAUGAUUUAGAUAGACCAAGAGGCUGGCCAAUUUCAAUGUUGGGUCUUUUUUACCAUUUUCCGCCUACUUUUGGCCAAAAUCGACAGUAUUAUAACAAUCUAUACAAAAAAGUGCAAUUUAGGUUGAAAAUUUGUUGAAAUUCUGCCACCAAAAUGAUGGUAGCCGGAGUGGCUAUUGGGAUAGCACGGCGGUGCGCCACCAUUCCUAUUGUCUGGUGUGCUUCAAUAGAAAUUAGAUGGAGAAGAAUGCUAGAAAAAUGGAAAAGAAAAUAAAGGAAAAAGAAAUUGAAAAGUGAAAUAUCCAAAUUACCUUAUACACUGCCAUCUGAACUCGCAUGUUUUUUUUUUUUUUCCUCUUUUGCCUAUAUCUACACUAGCAUGUUUGGUAAGCGUAGUUCACCUGUCGUUAAUUUGGAUGAUUUCUUUAUAAUUGCCAAAUGACUUCAAAUCACAAUAGGUCAUUUGAACAUGUAUAUACCACAAUUCUUCAUAUUCCUUCAACUCUAGAGCGCCCUUCUCUUUGGCUGGAUGGCAAUUAUUUUUGCAAGAGGAGGAGGGUUUCCUAACUUUCAGCUAAACUAUUAGGGAUUUUGUAUUUUACCCUAAAGUAGAUAUAGUCUAUCAACCUAAAUGUUGUUAGAAUGAAUCAUUUUGACUUCAAGAACCUAAUUAAGACUAUCUGGGAUUUAAUAGAAGCGUUUGUCUCCUUUGAUGAACUAAAAUGGCAUCACCCUUUUGGCAUUUUCCAAAAUUUUUUUCAAGAAAUCGCUUGAUCCUUAUGAAGAGGAGAUGUCAUUGUCUCCAUGCUGUAUAGUGCCUUUUGUCCCAUCAAUGAUUUUUUCUAAUGGCUUAAUUUCAUGUGAUCCUCCAAAGCGAUCUAAAAUUUGAGUUUGGUCCUUUCAACGGUGAAGAUCUUAAUUUAAUCUUACAAAGUAGCAAAAUAUUUCAAUUUCAUGUAAUCAAAUCGAAGAAGUUUCAUUCUAAUUCUCUAUAGUGGUGUAAAAUCUUAAUUUAGUCUCUCAAACUAUAAAAGCGCAAUUUAGUCACUCAAACUAUGAAAAUCUCAAUUUGCUCCUCUAAAUUGAGAAAAUGUUUCAACUUGUCCCAAACCUAUGUAGUUGAUGAUUAAAUAACUAUAGAAGAAUCAAAGAGAAAGAGAGAAAAACUCAUGCAUCAUUCGACUAAAAACUUUUCCAACUUUAGUGAUUUCAAUAAAAUAUGCCCUUUUUGAUGCAUUAAAUUAGCACAUUUUUUAAAUGAAAUUUCUAAAUUGGUGUAUAUCAAAAUCACACUAUUGUUAUCAAAAUCACACUAUUAGUUGCCUUAUUGUUAUCAUGAACUAAAAGUAAACAUAUUCCUCGCACAGAUGCUCCUUCACGCUAUUUGAUCAUCCUGUUCUCCAAUUUUCUUCAAUAAAGGUCUAAAUUCAAUUUGGUGGAUACAAAUUUAAAUUCGAUUUUUUGAUAGAGGUCAAAACGAAAAAAACAUAAUUCGUUUAAUUAAUGGACCGACUAUCGUUCCUAUUGAAUUUCCCACUUAUAAUUAUGCACAAACAUUGUAGGCUGUGCUUGAGUUCCUAUGCUAAGGCCCUAUAAUGAUAUCUUCUUCGUAAAAUGCAUAGGACAUCACUAAACUAAUCAAAAUUAUUAUUCAGAAGUCACAACACUAUUAUUUUUUUUCAACUAACCAACUUUUUUUUUAAUAAAAAGUUUUAGGUAGGUUCAGUUUCGAUCAGAUAUUGUUCUCGAGAUCACAGAUCGCUUGUAAAAAUUUUUACAAAUCAUCCAUUAAUACAAUUCUUGCAUCAAUAGUGGCAUUCAAACAAACAACCUUACGUGAGAAAAUGAUUUGUCCUUAUCAAUUAAAUCAACUUGUAUUGGCGUCAAUUCAAACAUAUCACGUGAGGUGCACGCCUAAAUUUUAAGAGAUAUUUUUGUCAAUUUUCACAAAACCCAGUCCCCAAAUUAAUUUAGUUCUUCCUCCCCAAGUCACAGCACUCUCUCACACAGUUUCAUAAAUUCAGCUUAUCCCUCAAAAUCCCUAAUCCAUACAAGCAAGAAAUCUGAAAGCUGAAGCCGAAGAACAAGCCCGUCGUUCUUUCCAUCACAAGUUGGAAAAUUUGCGAAAGAUGUCGUUCAUGUCCGAUGCCGUAGAAAGGUGCCAUUUGACAAAUGCACACUAUUAGACAAAUUCUUUACUUAAAACUGGUUAAUAUUAGACAAAUAGUUGUGAGUGUUUAUUUUCUUGUUGAUACAUCACUAUCAUUACACUGAACUGUAUUUAUCUAUCAACUUUUAAAUUAGUUGCUACAUACUAGGGGUCGGAUUUCAUAAUCGAUCUUGACGGUUGUGUCAACUCCUAACUGAAAGUGAAGUGAAAAAAAAAAGAUCAUGAUAACUGUUCAAUUUCUUGAUAGCAGCGUAGUCCUAUUAUUCUUUUAUGCCUAUUUAUCCAGGAACUGUUCUUUUAUGCCUAUUUAUUCAAUUCAAGUUAUCUAUAAAGGAUGCAUGAGUGGAAUGCUAGAAGCUAAAAAGUGGAAUAUGGUCUUUUAAAAAGAAAAACAGUUCAAAUUUUGAAACAAGAAAAAUAAGAAAACUUACAUAGAUUUAGUCUUAUAGAUCAUGCGGUCUAGAUUUUACCACAUCUUCAAUUUUUGGGUUAGUAAGAUGGUGUGUUAAAAUUUGGAUCACAUGGUCUAUACAGGCGAGUCUAUCCAAGUGUUUACCGUGAAACAUAACGAACUAUUUAGUCAAAAGUAGAUGUUGAAUAUUUCCAAACUUUUUUAGGUAAAAUCUAGACUUAAUUAAUUAAAGGUGUUAUGACAGUAAAUCAAAGCACAUUAGUGAAGAGUAUUGGCAUGUAUCUUUAUCUUAUAUUUGUUUAAAAAAUGUGAUGGAUCACCAAUGAUACCAUUAUCUUUGCUACGAUCCCUUUGUAUGAUUGCAAUAUUAAGUAGAUUAAUUAUCCGAUCGUUUUUUUUUUGUUGCAACCAAUCAUUGUAUCUAUUAUUGUUUUAGCCGUCCAAAUAUUUUAAAUUUUCAUGCAGACCGCUUUUCCAAUUUGAAAUACAUGUUUUUCUUCUUCUUCUUCAUGAUUCGAUUUUGGCAUGGCUAAGUGGAUUUUUUUUUUCUUUUGGAAUUGGAAAACUCGUAAUUCACUCUGAAAAGUAAGCAAUAAUGCAUAAUUUUACUGCAAAGGCAGAAACAAAGAGUAUGAACUUUAAAGAACCAUUCAGAUCCCCUUCAUUUUUACACUGACAAGUUAUACCCCUUAAUUUUUAAAAAAAUGUUUUAUAAGAUAUUCUAGUAUUCUAAGAGCUUAAGGGAGAAAAUAGGCCAAGAGGAUUGUUUGUUUUUUUGGGUGGUGUAGGGGGGGGGAGAGUGCUGGCUUUCACUCUUUCUUGUGCAGCCAAUCUUGAUUGCUUUUGGGGAUUUUAGGGAAAGGCCAUCGAGUAAAGUCAAAAAAUACGACAAAUAAACUUCAGAAAUUUUUUUUUUUGACCAUCUGGACCCCUGAUGUGUUAAAAAAUACAGAAUUAGUUGUGACUGUUGUUGUGAAUUUUUUAUCUACAUUUUAUCUUGUUUUAUUUGCUAUUUCAAUGCGUGAAAUGAUGAUUGAUUAUGGCAUUCUGCUGCCUAAACCUUAUUCAACUUAAUACAUCAUUCGUGAUUAUUGUUCAUAUUUAGGAUUACGAAUAAAGUUAGUUCCAAUUUCCACUUUCAGUUAAAAAUUCCUACCAUGUUCAAAUGAAAAAGAAGAGGGUUUAAGAAUCUAAUCAAAGAUUUUCAGUUACCUGAUCAAUGUCCCUGCCAGGUAAAAACAGGCUUACAUUCAUUUUGUUUGCCCCUCUGGAAGUUGCAUUUCAAAUUAUCUAUAAAAGCGGGCUCUUAGUGGAAGCUAAUAAAUGUAGCAGGGAACUCAAACGAAGCAAAAGCAAACCAAUUCACAUUUCUGAACGGAAAAGCAAAGAUGUAUAUACUUCCAAUUGAGCAAACAAUUGCCUUCUUCUUCAAACAUUCUAUCUCAUUACUUCUUUUUUUCCUCUUCACUAUCCUUGUUGUCAAAUGGCGAAAUUCCACUUCAAACCCCUCACAGAAACUUCCACCUUCCCCUCCAAAGCUUCCCAUAAUCGGAAACCUUCAUCAACUCGGUUCAAUCCCUCAACGCUCUCUGAAAUCAUAAGCUCAAAAAUACGGCUCCCCAAUGCUGCUUCAUCUGGGCAGCAAGCCGGUGCUAAUUAUCUCAUCCCCUGAUGCAGCUGAAGAAGUGAUGAAAACACAUGAUUUAAUCUUUGCCAAUAGGCCAAAAGCAGCCUUUGCUGGGAGACUACUCUACAAAUUCAAUAGCAUAGCAUUUUCUCCUUACGGCGAAUAUUGGAGGCAAGUAAGAAGCAUUUGUGUACUUCAGCUUCUAAGUAACAAGAGGGUUCAGUCGUUCCGAAGCAUAAGAGAAGAAGAGGCUGAAUCAAUGUUGAAAAAAAUUAAAGAAUCUUGUGCUCCGUCUUCGAUAAUUCGUAUAGACGAAAUUUUGGCAACACUUACGAACAAUAUAGUUUCGAGGGUUGUCAUAGGAAAAAGGUACUCAGAAAAGGAAAGUGGCAGCAGGUUUAAGGAACUUUUUGAGGAAUUUAUCAUGUUAUUGGGUGUUUUUAACGUUGGAGAUUACAUAUCAUGGCUUUCAUGGAUCAAUAAUGUUAAUGGGUUGGAAGCAAAGGUUAAAAAAGUGGCCAAAGAUUUUGAUGAAUAUUUGGAAAAAAUUCUUCAAGAGGCAGUUAAAAAGCAGGAAAAAAGUGGAAACAAGAAUGGUGGUGAUGAGAAGCAGCAGAAUCUUGUGGAUGUUUUACUCGAAAUCCAGAGAACAAAUGCUACCGGUUUUGCUUUUGAGCGAGAUUCCCGUAAAGCCAUCAUCCUGGUAAAGAAAAUCUAUUAUCAGCUCUUUAUAUUUCCUUUCUUUCUUUUGAUUAUCUGCCUAUUUCAAUUUUAACGUUUCGAUUUACACUUAUCAGCUGAAUUGCAUGCAUAUUUUCGUAUAAAAUGAAAAAACUGAUGGCAUUUGGGCUUUGGUUGAAUAAAAAAUUAAAAGUUGAUUUUCAGAUACUCACACAAAUUACCUAGGAAUAACGAGUAAUCUUCAGAUAAUAAAAGACGUUACUGCUUAUAGGGUUGCACCAUAUUUGCAAACAGUUCCAAACCACCAUAGUCAUUUACUAUUAUUUUGGCAUACCAAGUGAAUAACUUGCGAUAUUCUUCUAUUUUGAUUGUGUUUUUCUUGUCCAAAGCCAAUGAUCCAAUGGCAAGUUACGAAUUUUAGAAUGGAAUAUAUGUGUAUUUAUAAAAUAAUGUGUGUAUACAUUAUAUAGACAAGUAGAGCAGGAAUAUAUUCCUUUGAGGUAUAACUGAAAACAGCGAGCUACUAAGCAGACACCAAAAUUUUCUUCAAGGCAUUCAAAUAUUAGUUUGGGUAAAUUACACAUAACCGCAUGUAGAUUCAUAGAUUGUCAUAUCAUCCUUCUAACAUUUCAAAUAUUCACAUUAUCCCAUGUAAUUUCAUGUAAAGUGGAAAUUUGACAAAAAUAUAGCCUAUGUAAUGCCAUUUAUUAAAUACCAUUAUUGUCCUUACUUAAGCAUUAAACCGAAUAAUAACCUGACAACCUUGAAUAAAAGUAUAGGAUGUUGAUCUUGAUCCCUAUCUUUUGAUGUUUACAAAACAAAUGGAUGUUACUAAUGUCUCUUAAAAGAUCUAUUCAGUUAUGAAGCAAAUUAGUUCCAAAGAUCAAGUACAAUUGAAAGAUGACAAAGUAUGCUGAAGCUGUCGGACGCUCAAGAAGUCAGGAUCGGACGUCCGAUAAUCAUUGCAUAACUUCGGACGCAUGCUUCGGACGUCCGAUAGGAUCCUUCGAAGUCGACGAAACUAUCGGACGCUGAAUAUGUCUCUACCGGACGUCCGAUAGAAACAAGAUAAUUUCUCAAAUCUGUUUGUUUGCUGUCGGACGCACAAAGAGCUUGCAUCGGACGUCCGAAAGAAUUGAAGAAAAUCUCUGAAACUCACUGCCUGCUGUCGGACGCAUAAAACAGGGCUAUCGGACGUCCGACACUCCAACGGCUAGUUGACUUUUUAGCUACUUUCUAUCCGUUGGAAGCUUUAAUGAGGCUCUUUCUUGGUCCUAUAUAAAUAGUGAUUGGUCAGAUAUUUCAAACAACUUUGGCACACUGAAGAUACAAAAGAUCUAGAGAGAUUUUAGUGAGAAAAUACUCCAAAAAGAAUAUUUGUAGUCUUAGUGGUGUGAGGUUCAUUGUAAGCUUUUCAUUUGUGAGUGAAUCUUUCAUGAGUGUAGCUCUGUGAGGGUUGUCCUGAGGGAUAGUAAAACGUCCUGGCUUGACCGAGUGCUGCUUAGGGCAAGGAGGAGGUGAACCUUCCUUUGUACACAAGAGUGAUUGUAAUUCAUCAACUUGAAGUAGCUUGUUUCAAUUAAUCUACAAGCUCAAGAAGAGUUGGGUAGUUAAUUGGUUUGCAAUCCUUUCCUUUUUAUUUACUUAUUGUUUCGUUUAUGAUCUUUGCAUUGGUUGUUUUGGGCCUUAUAAUUGGUAUCAGAGCUUGGUCUCCUAGAGAUUAAGCUCAAUCGGCUUUGGAGUAAAGAUGACAACCAAUAAUGCUAUGUUUUUUGAAGGACAUUCUGUUAUUAGAUCACCUGUGUUUAAUGGGUCAAAUUAUAUGAGUUGGAAAGAAAGAAUGAUUAUCUUUUUGCAAUCUAUUGAUAUCGAAUUGUGGUUUAUUAUUAGUGAAGGUCCAUAUGAUGCCUCUCUUAUAGAUGAAAAUACUCAUGCAUCUAGACCGAAAACAAGAAGUGAACUGACUGCUGUGGAUAGAGCUCAUCUCACCUUAAAUGCAAAAGCUAUGAAUGUGUUAUAUUGUGCAUUAGACUCAAAUGAAUCUAUUAGAGUCAAGGGUUGCAAGUCAGCUAAAGAAAUUUGGGACAAAAUGAAAGAAAUUCAUGAAGGUAGUGAGAAUGUUAGAGAACAAAAGAAGUCCAUUCUAGUUACAAAGUAUGAAUCUUUCAAGAUGGAACCUCAUGAAAAUGUUGAUCAAAUGUAUUGUAGAUUCAAUGAUCUCAUUAAAGAUUUAGAGGUGCUGGAAAAAGAAUAUUCUCUUGGUGAGAAAAAUAGAAAAAUCCUGAAUGCCUUGUCCAAUGAUUGGGAAAAUAAAGUGACUGCUAUUGAGGAGGCUAGAGAUUUGAAUACUAUGCCUAUUGAAUCUCUUAUUAAUUCUCUUACCUCUUAUGAGCUGAAACUUAAGAUUAAGGUGCAAGAGGAAGAGGAUGCAAAAGUGCGAAAGAAUAUUGCUCUAAAAGCCUCACAAGAUGAAGAUGAUUCUGCCUCCCUAGAUGAAAAAGAUGUGGAAGGUGAUGAUAAUGAUAUCGCUCUCAUCACAAGAAAUUUCAAACGAAUACUCAACAAGAGGAGAUUCAGAAAAGGUGGACCUGGCAAUUCAUUCCCAAAUCAGUUCAACAAAAAGCAAACUGAUCAGUGCUUUGAAUGCGGCCAACCUGGACACUAUGCAAGUGACUGUCCAGUGAUGAAGAAGAAAGAAGGAAGAAAACCAAGAAUAAACAAAUUUCAAUUCACAUGGAAUGAAUGCAAUUCCGAUGGUGAAAUUGAAGAGGAAGAAGAGUCUGCUCAAUUGGCUUUUAUGGCCAUUGGAGAUGAUGAGGUAACAUCUUCUAGCUCUCAAUUUGAAAGUGAUGAUGAAGAUGAUGAUGAUCUUGAAUCUUUCAUUAUAAAAUUGCAUGAUAGUUUGAAAGAAUCUUAUGUUAGAAACAAGGAGUUAAAACAGAAAAUUAGUUUUUUGCUUCGAAAUAAUGCGAAUCUUUUUCAACAAAACAAAAAGUUGAAAACUGAAAAUGAUUACUUCAAAAAAAGUGAGACUGCUUUACACUUGGAUCUUGAUAGAAAAAUAAGUUUUUGUGAAAUGUUCAAAAGGGAACAAAAUGAUUUGAAAAGAAGAAUGGAUGAUUUAAAUGAGUUGCUUCAACAUAAAAAACAGGACUGUUUUCAAAGUAAUAAAUCAAAACCUCAUUUUAAGAUAAAUUCUGCUGCAAAUGAGUUUGUUAUCCAUAGGAGAAGACAAGUAAGAUUUAUUAAACCUGUUCAUGUAAAUAACUCUUUGGUUAUGUGUAAUUUUUGUUGUCAAAAAGGUCACAUGAAUAGUGAUUGUUAUGUGAGAAAGAAUAUGAGAAGAUGCAUGAAAUGCAUGUGGAUAGUUAGACAUGAUACUAAUUUUAACAAGUAGGAGGUUUUGUCUAAUCAUUGCAGUGAUUCUUGUUCAUAAUAUUUUUUCUUUUGAUACUUUGAUCUGAGUUUUCGCUGAUGUCUUUGAAUACUACUGAAUCUAUAUGAUGUCAAAAAGAGAGAUAAAAGAAUAAUGCUGAUCUCAUGAUGAUUUGUUGUAAUUGCUGUCAUUUCUCUAUUUUUUCUUGGAAUAUUGAAUUCUCUGUUAUUGUUGCUGGAUUAUAGUAGUUGAUUUUUACUCUUAUGAUGACAAAAAGGGGGAGAAAUGGAUGCAAUGUGUAAGGGGGAGUUAUUCUGAGAUUAUGAGUUUGGCUCUUAAAAGUUUUGGUUGCAAUGAUUGAGGGGGAGCUUAUACUUAUUUUUGUUUCUUUCCAUCCAUUGUUUUGUCAUCAUCAAAAAGGGGGAGAUUGUUGAUCUUGAUCCCUAUCUUUUGAUGUUUACAAAACAAAUGGAUGUUACUAAUGUCUCUUAAAAGAUCUAUUCAGUUAUGAAGCAAAUUAGUUCCAAAGAUCAAGUACAAUUGAAAGAUGACAAAGUAUGCUGAAACUGUCGGACGCUCAAGAAGUCAGGAUCGGACGUCCGAUAAUCAUUGCACAACUUCGGACGCAUGCUUCGGACGUCCGAUAGGAUCCUUCGAAGUCGACGAAACUAUCGGACGCUGAAUAUGUCUCUACCGGACGUCCGAUAGAAACAAGAUAAUUUCUCAAAUCUGUUUGUUUGCUGUCGGACGCACAAAGAGCUUGCACCGGACGUCCGAAAGAAUUGAAGAAAAUCUCUGAAACUCACUGCCUGCUGUCGGACGCAUAAAACAGGGCUAUCGGACGUCCGACACUCUAACGGCUAGUUGACUUUUCAGCUACUUUCUAUCCGUUGGAAGCUUUAAUGAGGCUCUUUCUUGGUCCUAUAUAAAUAGUGAUUGGUCAGAUACUUCAAACAAUUUUGGCACACUGAAGAUACAAAAGAUCUAGAGAGAUUUUAGUGAGAAAAUACUCCAAAAAGAAUAUUUGUAGUCUUAGUGGUGUGAGGUUCAUUGUAAGCUUUUCAUUUGUGAGUGAAUCUUUCAUGAGUGUAGCUCUGUGAGGGUUGUCCUGAGGGAUAGUAAAACGUCCUGGCUUGACCGAGUGCUGCUUGGGGCAAGGAGGAGGUGAACCUUCCUUUGUACACAAGAGUGAUUGUAAUUCAUCAACUUGAAGUAGAUUGUUUCAAUUAAUCUACAAGCUCAAGAGGAGUUGGGUAGUUAAUUGGUUUGCAAUCCUUUCCUUUUUAUUUACUUAUUGUUUCGUUUAUGAUCUUUGCAUUGGUUGUUUUGGGCCUUACAUAGGAAGAUUAUAUACAUAAAUGCAAUAAUCAUAGGGGGUAAAGUGGACAUUCGUGCAAAGUAUAAGGGUGUUUACUGAAUAUUAUGAUUUCAUAACCCCCUUAUGAUUUGGAUUAAAGUGUCAAAAUGAUAGAAUUUGCAACCUAUAACGGAGUCAAUUAAAAUAUUAAAAAUACUCCUAUGUAAAGUUGAAAAUUAUUUAUUAACCACAAGGGAGUUAUGUAUAUAUAAUGAAAAUCAUAUGGGGCGUUAUAUGAUAAAAUAUUAAACUAUAAGGGGUCAUAUAGUAAAAUAUAAAACCAUACCAGGGUUAGAGUGUCAUAUAUGUUAUGUUUAUAUAUUUUGAUCAUUUCAGUCAUUUGAGUUUUUAAACAAGGGUAAUUUCGAUAUUUUUAUAGGUUCCGUUAGGAAUGACUAUUUCCGUCACUUUGAUAAUUUAAUCCAAACUAUGAGGGAGUUAUAUAUAGUUUUUAAAACUAUGGGGGGUUAUGUACAAAAAUACUAAACCAUGGGAGUAAAGUGUAAUUUGCCCUUAAUUUUAUUAUAACUUGACAGAAGUUUCUAAUUCCUUUUUUUUUUUUUUUGGUUUCGCAAAAAACAACGGAAGAACGAAUCGAUAAUACAUAUUUCAUUUUCUUGUGCUUCCGGCAGGACAUGAUUGUAGGUGGAACUCAUGCUACAUCUACGCUGCUUGAGUGGCAAUUUCAGAGCUAUUAAGAAACACAAAUGCCAUGCACAAAUUACAAAACGAAGUGAGACAAUUCUUAGGAUGCAAAACAUACAUCACUGAGGAUGAUUUAGAGAACCUCCAUUACCUGAAAGCAGUAAUAAAAGAGGCUCUUCGCUUGCAUCCACCAGUUCCAUUACUUGUUCCUCGUGAAUCAAGCAAGGCAGUCAAAAUAAUGGGAUACGAUAUAGCUGCCGGCACUCAAGUGAUUAUCAAUGCUUGGGGAAUUGGAAGGGACCCAAAACUGUGGAAAGAUGCUGAGGAGUUUCAGCCGGAGAGGUUCUUGAAUAGCUCUUUGGACAUUAAAGGGCAAAAUUUUGAGUUCAUCCCAUUUGGUUCCGGAAGGAGGAGCUGCCCUGGUUCUGCAUUUGCCUUGGUUACAGCUGAACUUGCACUCGCAAAUUUGAUCUGCAGCUUUGAUUUUGAAUGGGCUGGUGGAGCAGGACCAGAGGAUUUGGAUAUGACUGAAGCACCUGGGAUCGUUACGCCAAGGAAAGUCCCUCUUCUACUAGUUGCAAGUCUACCUAAUUAGGCACUUCAAGAUUCAAGAUACCUGUUGGUGGUAGUUCUAUGAGUACCAUUGUAUCUUGCCACCUUUAAAUUUGAGAUAGAAUUGAUGGGGAAAACUUUUAAAAUGGUGAAAUAUUGCGUUAUGAUGAGUGCAGAGGCCCCAUUCUGGGCCCGGACACGCGGCAGCCCAGGAAGAACCGAGUUGGGCCUUGGCCCUCAGACCCCUGAGAUCAGCCCUGGGCCGCACCGACUAGGGCUCCCAGGAAAGGCGAAGGUCCGUCCCGAAGAGGUCGGGAGUAGUCCCCCUGAGUGCGGGAUACUAUCUAUACUGGGCAAGUCCCGCGUCGUGCGGAGGUCGGACUCCCUUGCAGGUAUAAAUAAUAACACACAUCCACUGUACAAAGGAGGCUCACUAUUGACAAUUUACUCUGGACAGCUACUACUUCCCGUGAACUUUACUCACCGGAAAACUAACUUGGCCGUCGGAGUGCCCUCGGGGACAACCCUCGGGCCCCCUUUGUUAGCUCAUCUUCUCUGUUUUGCAGGUCUUGGAUCAGCUCUCCCAUCGACACCCCGAGCUGAUCAGGUCAGCUCUCCUCGGGGAAGCUCAGCGCUUCUUCAGUUGGCGCCGUCUGUGGGAACCGUAAGGUAAGUAAGAUUGUGUUGAUGGUCAGGACGCGAUCCAAGCGUACGGCAGAGAGCACCGGCCCUGGGGGCGGUGAGGGGUCCCAGCGGAAAGAGGGUGGGGCGUCCCAGGGCGCCGGUGGCUCAGCCCUUUCAGGGGAGCGGAGGCAGCAGAUCUUCCAGUUUGUGACGGAGAAUCUCCCCAUGCUGGAGGAUAUAAUCCGGCAGGCGAAGGAGGGAGAGGGGGCUGGGGGUGCACAGACCUCCAAGGCCAAGGGGAAGGAGAAGGAGUUACCCCCUGAUCCUUCGGAGGAUGAGUCGCGAGACCAGCCCCCUAGGAGGAAGCGACCCCGGACUCCUCCCCGUCCCCGAGCCUCGGUGGUCGAGGACAGCGAGAGGUAUUCCCGCGACAGGUCCGCGAGGAGCCAUCCCAGAGACCCCUCUCCGAGGAAGCCCACACGGAAUGGGUUCGAGCGUUCCCCUGCUCGGUCUGCCAAGAGCCGGCCCCGCGACCCCCUUUAUCUGGACCCUGCUCGGGAUGAGCUCGAGCAGAUCUUGAGGCCCCGGCCAUACGAGGACAAUUAUGCAACCUCGCCCUUUACCUGAGAGAUAGAGGACUACCCCCUACCCCGGAGGUUUAAGAUUCCGAGCAUCGAGAUGUACGAUGCCUCUACAGACCCGGAAGACCACCUCUCGGUAUUCCUGACGCAUAUGCGCCUGCAAACCGCCGCUGAUGAGGUUCGCUGCAAGACCUUCCCUAUGUUCCUAAAGGGGAAGGCGCGGCUCUGGUUCCAGGGACUGAAACCGGGGUCCAUACGGAGCUUUCCCGAGCUGGCCCGGCAGUUUGCAGCCCAGUUCGUCUCUUCGAAGGUUUACGCGAGGAACGCAACCCACCUGAUGUCCAUCAGGCAAAGGCCCGACGAGUCACUGAGGAAUUUCAUGACCCGCUUCAAUGCGGAGGGCCUGCAGGUCAGGGAUAAGGACGAAAAAGUGGUGAUUGCCGCCUUCACAAACGGGCUCAGGGUGGAGGAGCUUUUCUACGACCUGGCCAAGAAGCCUCCCGUAAGCCUGGAAGAGCUCCUACGCAGGGCGCACGAGACUGCUAAUGCGGAGGAGGUAGGUCGCCUAAAGAAAGAAUCAGAUCGGGAGAUCGGAGAUCGCAAAGGCCGGACCAACCCCCCAGAGGGCAAGGAGGCCCCGGCCAAGAAAAACGUCUUUGAUCGGCUCUCGAAGGAGAAGGCCCCUGUUCUGCCACCACUCUCAGAGAAGACCUACACCCCUCUAACACGGCCUAGAGCCCGUUAUGGAGGCGGAAGGGCUGGGAGAUCGGCCGCCCAAGAUGGGGACGCCCCGGAACAAAAGGAACCAAGACCGAUAUUGCGCCUUCCACCGUGACGUCGGACACGACACGGAGGGGUGCUGGGCCCUGCGUAAGGAGAUCGAGGACCUGAUCCAACGUGGCUUUCUAGGUCGGUUCGUACGCCGACCAGGUCAGGAGUUCGGACGCAACCAUUACGGAGACAGGCGCGAGGGACAGCGUCGCGACCGCCCAGAGCGGCGUGAGGCUCCUCGGAACCACUCUCCCGACCAGGACAUCCAGAACCUGGCGGGAGUGAUAAACACCAUCGCGGGAGGUCCCACGGGGGGGGACAGUCAUGCAGCUCGGAAGAAUAAGCGGCCACCCCCCGAAGGGGACGACUCCUUGAAGCGUCUGCGCAUGGACGAGGAGAUUACCUUCGGACCAAGGGAUACGGUUCCCUUGGCUUCCGGGAACCACGAAGCCAUUGUGAUAGACAUUGUUACCAACAACUACCGGGUGAAGAAGGUAUAUGUCGACCAGGGUAGCGCGGUUGAUAUCAUGUUCUAUCGGAUGUUCAAGGAGCUCGGGCUAAGGGAUGACCAGCUGACCCCGGUCCGGACACCUCUAGUGGGCUUCACCGGACCACCCAUCAGUUCGGAAGGGAUGAUCACCCUGAUGGUCACAGUAGGGCAGGCUCCCAAGUGUCGGACCGUUCCCGUUAAUUUCGUGGUGGUCAAGCAGUCGUCCCCGUACAAUGUGUUCUUGGGGAGACCUGCUUUGAACGCCCUCCGGGCUAUUCCCUCUACCUUCCACCUCAGCGUCAAGUUCCCCACUCCCGGAGGGAUAGCCGAGGUGCACGGCGACCCAGAGGUAGCCAGGGCUUGCUACCUGGCCACUCUCCGGGGGCAGGAGAAGGUGGUCGCCCAGACAACCUGUUUGGAGCCCUACAUCCCAGGCUACCCACUCCCGGAGGGAUAGCCGAGAUGCACGGCGACCCAGAGGUAGUCAGGGCUUGCUACCUGGCCACUCUCCGGGGGCAGGAGAAGGUGGUCGCCCAGACAACCUGUUUGGAGCCCUACAUCCCAGGGGAUGAGGCCCAAUACCUGGGCACCCAGGAUGAGAUUGAGGAGUUCCCCUUGAGGGAGGAACGGCCCGACCAGGUCAUCCGCAUCGGGGCAUUGCUGCCAGCGGACGAGAAGGAAGGCUUGAAGGCCUUAUUGAGGGAAUACUCCCAGGUCUUCGCAUGGACGGUGGAUGACAUGCCCGGGAUCCCUACGGACCUGGCAGUCCAUCACCUCGACGUGGACCCUCGCUUCAAGCCGGUAAAGCAGAAGAAAAGGAGUUUCGCCCCUGAGAGAAAUGAGGUGAUCAAGGCGGAGGUCGGUAAGUUGCUGGAGUCCAAGAUCAUCCUGGAGGUCUACUACCCGACCUGGCUGGCCAAUCCCGUCCUGGUCAAGAAGGAGGACCUGACCUGGAGGAUGUGCGUAGACUUCACGGACCUCAACAAAGCCUGCCCGAAGGACUGCUUUCCCCUGCCUCGAAUUGACAGGUUAGUAGAUUCUACUGUGGGCUUUGACGUUUUAUGCUUUCUGGACGUCUUUAAGGGAUAUCACCAGAUAGAGAUGGCCGAGGAGGACCGGGACAAGACCUCCUUCAUCACCGAGGAGGGAACCUACUGCUACAGGACCAUGCCCUUCGGAUUGAAGAACGCGGGAGCAACUUACCAGCGCCUGGUGAACAAGUUAUUCCAAAACCAGGUCGGCAGAAGCAUGGAGGUUUAUGUUGACGACAUGAUCGUCAAAAGUCGAACUGACCAGCGCCUCAUACCCGACCUGCGGGAGGUCCUGGACAUUCUACUGAAGAGCCGGAUGCGCCUAAAUCCGAAGAAGUGCACUUUUGGGGUCAGAUCGGGAAGGUUCCUCGGUUUUCUGGUGUCCCGAGACGGAAUCCGGGCCAACCCGGAUAAACUCCAGGCAAUCAUGGACAUGACUCCUCCAAGGAACGUGAAGGAAGUUCAGCGGCUCACUGGGAGAAUGGCCGCCCUGAGUAGAUUCCUUUCGCGCUCCACGGUCCCAGGGCUACCCUUCUUUCGUGUCUUGAAAGCGCCUAAGGAUUUCCAUUGGACGGAGGAGUGCCAAAAAGCCUUCACCGACCUGAAAAAAUACUUGGCCGAGCUGCCAACCCUGACCGCCCCGGAGCCGGAGGAGACCCUAUUCCUAUACCUGUCCGCUUGCAGCGAGGCCGUUAGUGCGGUCUUGGUGCGGGAGGAUGGGGGGGCUCAGAGGCCGGUGUACUACGUCAGCCGAGCUCUCCAGGGGCCAGAGACGCGAUACUCGCCGGCCGAGAAACUGGUCCUGGCCCUGGUACACGCUGCUCGCAAACUCCGCCCCUAUUUCCAAACUCACAGCAUUGUAGUCCUGAUUGACCAGCCCUUGCGUCAGAUACUCACCAAACCAGAGGUCUCGGGCAGAAUGACCAAAUGGGCUGUCGAGCUAGCCGAACACGACAUCGGCUAUCAGCCCCGCAAAUCCAUCAAGGCCCAGGCCUUGGCGGAUUUCCUUUCUGAGGGGGCUAGUUUGAGCUUAACCGAGCUAAGCCCCCUGCACGAGGAGCUGCUGCAGAAGGAGCCCUGGGUGUUGUUCGUAGACGGAACCUCCAGCAAGGAAGGAAGCGGGGCAGGUCUGCUACUUAUUUCACCUACCGGGGAAGAGCUGACCUACGCCCUCCGAUUGGACUUCCCCGCGUCCAACAACGAGGCCGAGUACGAGGCCCUGCUCACAGGAUUGCGGAUAGCCCACCAGAUGGGAAUAACCGCGAUCCAGGUCAGGAGCGACUCACAGCUCGUCGUCCUUCAAGUCCUUGGGGAGUACGAAGCCAAGGACGAGGUUAUGAAGAAGUACCUGACCAAGGUACGAGAGGCGGUGGCCUUGUUCGAAACGUUCGAAAUCGAGCGGGUGCCAAGGUCCCAGAACAAGCGGGCAGACGCCCUUUCAAAGCUGGCAUCCUCCUCAUUUGCCCACCUGAGCAAAGAGGUAUUGGUGGAAGUGCUAAAGCAGAAAAGUAUCGAUCAGGUCCAGGUCCUGGCUAUAGACAGCUCGGCCACCUGGAUGACGCCCCUCGUCGACUUCCUCAGCUCGGGUGACCUCCCCGAAAACAAAGCUGAGGCCCGACGAAUCCAGCUCAGAGCUGCCAAAUACGCCUACGUCGGGGGAACCCUCUACAGGAGGUCGUACCUGUCCCCCUGGCUAAAGUGCGUGACGCCCGAGGAAGGUGAUUACGUCCUGCGCGAGGUCCAUGAAGGAAUAUGUGCGGCCCAUGUGGGGUCCCGAGUGCUGGCUAAAAAGUGCCUCCUUUUGGGCUACUAUUGGCCCUCAGUCUUUCGAGACGCAGCAGAUCUGGUCCAGAAAUGCCGAGCCUGCCAAGUGCACGCUUCGCUGCGCCAUCAGCCAGCUCGGGAGAUGGUCCCUAUCCACAGUCCUUGGCCCUUCGCUCAAUGGGGGAUAGACCUCCUGGGUCCCUUCCCCCGAGCCCCGGGAAGAUAUGAGCACCUCGUGGUAGCAAUAGACUACUUCACAAAGUGGGUGGAAGCGGAGCCCCUGGUCUCUAUCUCGGGGAAGGUAAUUCUGAAAUUCUUUUGGAAGAGCAUAGUUUGCCGGUUUGGGAUUCCGCAUGUCCUAAUAUCCGACAACGGCCGCCAGUUGGCCGAGAACCCUUUCCGCAGCUGGUGCGCCGAGCUCGGAAUCAACCAACACUUCACGUCGGUUGGUCACCCCCAGGCCAAUGGCCAGGUGGAGAACGCUAACCGAACUGUCCUGCAAGGGUUGAAGACUAGACUGGAAUCCGCCCAAUCGAGCUGGCUGGAUGAGCUCCCCAGUGUCCUCUGGGCUUACCGCACUACGCCCCGGACGGCCACCCAAGAGACCCCGUUCUCCCUAACUUAUGGAGUAGAGGCGGUGGUGCCCGCGGAGGUCGGUCUUCCUUCACCUAGAACACAGAACUUCGUGGCAACCUCCAACGAGGAGGAGCUCAGGUUCAACUUGGAUAUGCUCGAAGCCAGGCGGGACGAAACGGCUGUUCGGAUGGCUAAGUAUAAAAGCCAGCUCGCCCGCUAUCACAACGCCAAAGUGAGGACUAUGCAGUACCUGCCCGGAGACCUCGUCCUGAGGAAGAACUCGAUAAGCCGAGUACACGGCUCCAACAAGCUCGACCCAAACUGGGAGGGCCCCUACAAGAUCCUUGAGGCGAGCCGAGCUGGUUAUUGCAAGCUCGCUAAGAUGGAUGGAUCUGAAGUACCUCGGACUUGGCACUUCUCCAAUUUGCGGUUGUUUGUAGCGUAGGUUAAACCAGGGUGUUCAGUGGCCUGUUCUCUGAAAUCCGAAUUUUUGUUUUCUCAUUCAAUCACAGCUCGUUUUCAUUUUCACUUGUACUUGUUUCAUUUUACAAUUUUCAAGCCUGCACCUUACACUAGCACAUUCAGCAUUCCCUCGCUCAAUGUCCUAGUGGGGGGCUAGGGGUAGUUGGGGGUGAAGUGUGAAGUGUUCGACCCAGGAGGUCGGCACGAACGCGCUUAAUGAAGUGUGAAGUGUUCGACCCAGGAGGUCGGCACGAACGCGCUUAAUGAAGUGUGAAGUGUUCGACCCAGGAGGUCGGCAAGAACGCGCUUAAUGAAGUGUGAAGUGUUCGACCCAGGAGGUCGGCACGAACGCGCUUAAUGAAGUGUGAAGUGUUCGACCCAAGAGGUCGGCAAGAACGCACUUAACGCUUAAAGUACUCGGUCGGAAGUGUGAAGUGUUCGACCCAGGAGGUCGGCAAGGACGCGCUUAAUAUUUAAAGCACUCAGCCCCAAGGGGUGAGGUGUGAGGUGUUCGACCCCGGAGGUCGGCACAUAGCAUUGCGAGUGGGCAAGGAAAGAAGAAAAUAACUCUUCGAAAUCUUGUCUAUACAUUGCAAGCCUAUCUAUUACAAAGCUUCCGAGCUGCCUAUCUAUUACAAAGCUUCCGAGCUGUCUAUCUAUUACAAAGCGCCCUGCCUAUCUACCGCAAAAUUUUCGAGUUGGUAAUCUCCUUCGAUGUCUGUUCUACCUGCUGGUGGCCCGACCGGGGUGGAAGCUGAAAGUACACCUUAAGCAUGUUGAGAGGCGUAUGGUGAAGGCUAUUCAGGAGCCCGGAAGCAGGAAACCCCUUCCGUUCUGGAUGGACCUCCAAGAGCAUUUUCAACUGGAGCAUGGUCACAUCCUUACAAAAAGACAGAAAGGGUUUCUGGAGUGGCCACCGCCCUAGGCCACCGGCUCUUUCCCGGCAGCUCUGCCUGGAGACCCGUCCUCCUCCAGGGAACCUCCUCUAGGUCUGCUCCUACGUCGGUUCGGCGGACCAAGCUCUUCAGGGCAUGCCCCUUCCGGUACCCAUCAAAGAGCCAGUCCAGCCUAUCCUCGGCCGCAGGAUCGUAGUCCUUGAAGUCCGCCACGUUGAAGCCGGGUAGGUUGAGGUCCUGCACCUGGGUCAGGGCCCGCGUAGAGCCAACCUGCAGGAUGGGUUGGUUGAGGAGGGCGAUGUCCACCUCGAACUGAUCGGAGGAGAUGAACUCCCGAACAGCCUUCUUCCGCUCUCGGCUGACGGUGCCGGAGAGCUCUACGGCAUGCUCCUCCUUCAGUCUGGCCACACCAGCCCUCUCCUGGUCGAGCUCCGACCUGGUGGAGGCGAGCUAGACCUGGGCGGCGUCCAGCUCCUUCUCGGCCUUGUCUAGUUUGGCCUUAAGGGAGCUGGCCUCCUGGAGGGCCUGGGAAAGUUUCCUCUCCGCCUCCAGGUUCUUCUUCCGCAGUUUUUCCAAGUCGGGAGACAGCUCGGAGAAGCGGGUCACCAGGGCAGCACCGGCGGCGUUGGCCUGCGGAAGAGGAAAAACAGGUCAGCACGACGCGAUACUCAGCCAAAACAUAGGUGUGAAACCGGCUCAUGGGCUCAAGGACUUACUUGGGCCUGGGCGGUGAAAUACAUGUCCUGGAGCUCUGCUGGGGUGGCGAGCUCCAUCCACCUCUUGUCCUGCGGGAGGACCGAGCCCACCAUCAGCUCCCGAGCUACCUCCGGGAACUGGGCCCGGUCAUUGAUGGACAGCCCCCAAGGCGGGCAAUAGUGGCGGGGGUCGUGCAUGGUAGGGGCCUGCCCCGGCUUCUUGGGAAGGAUGUGGCGGAAGUGCCACAAGCUCGGGGGAGGCGAUUCUUGGGCGUGCUCCUCAGCGGAGCCGACGCCCACGUGGAUUGGGCCCCCGGAGGUCGCCAGGGGGAGCGGCUGCGGCGCGGCCAGGGCAAGCUUCUUCUGCCCGGCCUGGGAGGGCUCGUCCCCUCUGCCCCUCUUCUGCCCGGCCGCUUUCUUCUUGUUGGCGGCCUGCUUGGAGGGGGAGGUUUGUGACGUCUCUUUCUUGGGGGCCGAGCCGCCCCCCGGGGUGGAAGCCCCACCUGGGGCCCCCCGAGCAGCCUCAAGCUGGGGGUCGGGAGUGGCCUCCUCGAGGGGUGCGCCCAGUAGCUGGGAGAGCUUCCUCACUGCAAUGAACGCCACCAGGUCAGCCAAACGCAAGACAGUUAAAGGUAAAAAAGGAAGACUAUACACUAUGAAAUGUGACAGGGGCAGAGCCAGCGUUACAGGUGUCAAGUUUGGGUUGGGGGGCCGCUACUCCCCCAGAGGAUCUGGACAACGUCCCCAUCAGCCCGGCUGCGGAGACCUGCUCAGUGGAGAUCUUAGUGACAUCGAGCUUCACCUUGGAACCCAACAGCUGGCCGAGGGUCUCGUAGUCCAGGUCCUCCGGAUAGGAGUCGGCCUUGACUCCCCCAACCUUCCACACAUUGGGGGGAAAAUGUGUGGAUCUGACAAAGAAAAAGUUCUCCUUCCAAUCCUUCACGGAGGAGGGGAGGCCGAAGAACAGCGCCUGGGCCCCUUUCCCUCCCUUGGUCUGGGGGCCACGACGGGAGAAGUAGUACCACCCUGGGAGGGAGGCUUUGAGAAUGAAGGCGGCCCGGAAGAGGGAGAGGGAGUAAGGGAUGUCGCAGAGGAGGCAGUAGAUCAGGAAUCCGGUGAUGAUCCUGAUAGAAGUGGGGUGAAACUGGGUGAUCAUGAGCCCCCAGUAGUUCAGGAUCUCAGUAAGAGCUGAGGGGAUGGGGAGCCGAAGCCCUGCGAUGAGCUGCUCCCUAUAGAUGGCCACGAAGCUGGGAGGAGGUCGGCAGGCUCGGUCGUCGGGCCCGGCCGCCCUCGGCUCAUAGGCCGGAGGAAUAGAAUAAGCCCUGGCCAGCUCGGCCACAGCUUGGGGAGAGAGGGUGGCCUCCUGCAGGUCGGGAUAGCCAUAGGAGAAUUCAGGAUCAUUCCCCUGCUCGGGAGCAGGGGACCCCCCAGAUGAGUCCCUAUCCUCCCCGGCUCCCUCCUGGGCUCCGCCAGGGGAAUCAUGGGGGGAUUUUGGGGAGGGAGUGGAGGUAGCCUGCCGGGCGAUGAGCGCGUCGAGCUCGGCUGCCUCCUCAAGGGCUUGGGCCGAAGGAGAGUGGGCGGACGGAGAGCUCAUGGUAUCGGUAGGCUCAAGUAGGUCUGAGGUGUGGAAGCUGGGGCUAGAGAAAGAAGAGGAGGAAGGGGGAGGAGGAGAAGAUGGUGAUGAAGAUGAGGGUGAGGGCGAGGAGAGAACGAUGAUUCGGGGGGCUCUGCGGCGGACUGAAAUUACAGCAACAGAGGAGGAGGAAUGAUCCGACAUAAAAGGUGAGAGGUGGCAGAAGGCAGAAGAAACACUGCAAAGAGGGAAGAUGAAUCGCAAAAAGGACUUACUGAUGAUGGCAGAAGAAGGACUGAAGGCUCGCCGGAAUCUGGGCGCGGGACGCCGGAAGUUGCUGGAAAAUGGAAAUGUGGGUGCACAGGGAGAGUGAUAACUUGAAAUGCACAGGAAGAAGCGGAAAUGGCAAAUGGGACAGAUGAGAAUUUGGCAUCCCCUAUUUAUAGGGGGAAGAGUGGAGGGAAAACGGUUGCGUGAAUUUGAACCGACCCCCAUGUGAACGCAUUUAAUGCUGGCACGAAAACCGAAGAGGCGGGACAGCUGAAAGGACGUGGGCGCAGCGCCCCUGUGACAGCACUGUACCAGAGGUGACCUCGGCAGGGUAGUGCGCGGUUCUGGCCUCCCACGUGGCGGAGAUAGAUUAGGUCUGCCUGACGGUCCUACCUAAUCUAGGGGGCUAGUGCAGAGGCCCCAUUCUGAACCCGGACACGCGGCAGCCCAGGAAAAACCGAGUUGGGCCUUGGCCCUCAGACCCCUGGGAUCAGCCCUGGGCCGCACCGACUAGGGCUCCCAGGGAAGGCGAAGGUCCGUCCCGAAGAGGUCGGGAGUAGUCCCCCUGAGUGCGGGAUACUAUCUAUACUGGGCAAGUCCCGCGUCGUGCGGAGGUCGGACUCCCUUGCAGGUAUAAAUAAUAACACACAUCCACUGUACAAAGGAGGCUCACUAUUGACAAUUUACUCUGGACAGCUACUACUUCCCGUGAACCUUACUCACCGGAAAACUAACUUGGCCGUCGGAGUGCCCUCGGGGACAACCCUCGGGCCCCCUUUGUUAGCUCAUCUUCUCUGUUUUGCAGGUCUUGGAUCAGCUCUCCCAUCGACACCCCGAGCUGAUCAGGUCAGCUCUCCUCGGGGAAGCUCAGCGCUUCUUCAAUGAGUAUCGUGUCCUUGUGUAUUAAAUGUGGGAUUUUGACAUAGUUAUAUAAGGUGUAAGGUCACCAGUUCAUUCUGGGGAUUUCGGAUUGCUUGGGAUCAUAGUGGUCUAUAAUUUAUGUUUCCAUUGGUACCUCCUUCUCUCCUCCUCCCUUUCUCCCAAAAUUAUGCAGUGUUACGCCACUAGGGGGUUCUUUAACUCUUCCCCUUUCUGCAACCCAUGAGAUCACCCACAUAAUGUUGUUAUGUUUUUCUUGAAAUUUAGUAUUUGAUAAUGUGAAUACAAACUGGUCUGGUCAAUGGAUGCGAGGUCACUGAUUAAUGCAUUUCCUUCUUAAAAGAACAAAUAAAUAUCCUUGUGUAACUUGAUAUUUGCAUAUGCAAACUCAACGAGAGCUCUAAUUUACUAGAUGCAAAGAUUUCCAUUUCAAAAUCCAACAUUGGAACUACAACUCCUUUUGUAGAACAUUUUUAGAAUUUUCUUCAUAUUUCCAAAAAAAAAAAAGAAAUAUUUAGAGUACAGGUUCUUUCAUUUACAAGAAACACCAUAAAAAGCAACAAAUGCCUUGGUUCCAACAGAAAAUGUAUAAGACAUAACCUAAUUAAUGGUUGCUGACGAAGGAGGAAAGAAAGAACGCAGUCAGGAUGGAUAAAAAUUUCCAAAAAGAAAAACUGAAAAAGAAGGAACCAAACUUUAUAAUAGGGAAAAUUUUUGAAACCUCCCCUGAGAUUUUUGACAAUUACUGAGUCCCCUCAAGUUUUGUAAAUUACAUCUACCUCCUUGGCUUUUACUGUUCAUGUAACAAUAUAGACCUAAUAGUCUAAAUUUUUCCUCAAAAGUCAUAAACUACCAUUUUUGUACAAUAACAAAACAAAAAGUACUUUGUCAAUCACCUUAUUUACAUACUCAAGUAAUUCCAUCGACAUAAUCAUAAAAAUUGUUUCUCACAACCCAUAUGUUAAAUUCCACACAACACUGAAAAAUGUUCACCUCUUCAGCAAAAUUCUAUGGAUCCCAUGAAAUGGUCAAGCUUACAAUCAAUUGCCCAUGUUUGCAUAAUCUUCAGUAUAGGAUGCCAAGAUUUGGUUCCACACAAAUCCUUGUACACGAGCCACAUUGUAGCCAUCAAGGAAAUCCUCAGGAGAGUUUUCUAGGUUUGGAUAGAAUGAAUUAGGCUUAAAAGAAUAAAGUCAUCCUUAUGACUACUAAGAUCUUUAAGAAAUUCAUCUUGCCAAAACCAAAAUUCCAUUCGCAACCAAUUAUACCCCAAACUUCAAAUCCAAUGUUCGAGACCAUAUCAAAAUAAAUUAAUCUAGCCUGACUACUAAGCGUUGUUGAACACAUGUAACUGUUAAGAGCCAAUAAAUGUUUAAUGAAUGUUUAUAUAUUAUACCAAUGUACAAAGAUUGGCUUCUCUUAGUGUACUUUGUGUGCUUAUUUGUAUAACAAUUUGCAAAUAUAUGAAUAAUAUAUAUGUAACGUACAUGGUCCAACAAGGGUGGUAUGUUUUACUCACUGAACAUGGUGAUGCUUACCCCACCACUUUAACAUUUUUAUGUAGUGAGCGAGUAUGUUUUACGAGUUUAUUGCGGAUAGUGAUUGGAAUUGGUAGAGCUAGAUUGCUAUUGGAAAGGUCGAAUAAUGAUUGAAUAGAUAUUGCUUUUGAAUUAUUCAUGUAAUAAUGAGCAUGUAUGGCUCAAUAGACAAGUUAAUUUGUCAUUUUAUUAUCUUUUGUUGUAGUGUUAGACAUAAGUUCCGCACUAACUAUUUAUUGCUUCCGCAAAUAUGAUGUAAUAGUUAAUGAUACCCUAUAUCCUCGAGAGCUAUUUCUUGAAGAUACGGCGGCUGUUGCAUUCUGGGUAGGCCUGCAAACGAAUCGAGCCGCUCGCGAACGGCUCGAGUCAAGCUCGAGUCGAGCUCGAACCGACUCGAGUCAAACUCAAGCUCGAACUCGAGCUAAGAAUAUUAAGCUCGUUAGCGAGCCGAUAUUUUUUUAUUUUUAUUUUUAUUUAAUAAUAAAAUUACGUAUAUUAUAUAUAUAUUUAUUUAUUUAUUAUUUUUAUAGUAAAAUUACGUAUAUAUCCUUAAUAUUUUAUUAUUUAUUCAGAAAAAAAAUUAUUUUAUUUAUUUUUUUAAAAAUAAAAUAUAUAUUUUUUAUUUUUUUCGAGCUCGAGCUCGACCUCGAAAAUUGCCGGCUUGUCGAGCUCGAGUUUGAUAAAAUUUAGUCGAGACUCGGCUCGAUUAGCUCAAAACUCGACUCGACUCGGUUCGUUUGCAACCCUAAUUCUGAGUAAGAUGCAGGCUUGGGUGUGACAAUUUUAAUGGUGUCAAAUGUGAGUCCCGGACUACGAUUCCUACUCCUACAUCGAGUUUGUGAAAGGAAAGGAAAUGGCUUAAGAACUUGGGCCUCUUGGCUACUAAGUAAUUUAUAUUAAUCAUUUUGGACUAGUGAAUUUUGACUUAAAAGUUAUUUGGGCCAACUCUUUGACCUGAUUCGCGAUAAUCAGUAUUUGAGUGAAUCUCGCAUGAUUUCUGUGUGAGGUGAGUCUAAGUCAUUGAAUUAUGAUUUUGGCUACAUAAGGGAGCAUAAGAAACUACGUGUCACAUACGAGGGCCCCUUCCAGAAUUUGAGUAUGAAUAUGAGUAUAAUUAAAUGGACAGUUUGGAUUGUAAAGGGUUUUGUAAGGACGCAAGGUCCUUAAGUAUGGGUGAAUGUGAGGCUCGACCUACUAUUCAUAAGGAGUAGUAGUCCCACGUUGAGUUUGUGAAAGGAAAGAAAAUGGUUUAAGGUCUUGGGCCCUUGGCUUCUGAGUAAUUCAGUAAUCAUAUUGGACUAGUGAAUUUUGACCCAAAAGUGAUAUGGGCCAGCCGCCAGCUCUUGGAUCCAAGCCUUGACCAUAUCCAUACAUAACCGAGCAUGUGGUGACGUAGUAUCCCAAGCAUGUGAUUUAACUGCAAACAAAACAGAACUUUGGUUGCAGUAUAUGUAGAUUUAGAUACUUGUAUACAUAUGAUAUUUCUAAUGCUUAGAUAAGACCAAACUUUCAUUAUUUCUUGCCUCUAGACAUUUUGUAAUUGGUUGCACUAUGAGAUUUAGACUAGCUCUGUUUCUAUCCUUUUUCGGCAAAUCCAGGGAGCUUAAAAUACAGAGGGAGUUUGCUGUUGCAAGUAAAGAAGAACAGAGAAUAGGAGAAUAUGAGAGAGGAAGCUAAGGUGUCGACUAUUGAAUAAAUACGUGCCAAGCUUGAAGCCAGAAAGGGAGAAGGAUGGAUUAAGUAGUUUGGGAGAGGGAGUGUAAGUUAAAGAUCUUGAAUUUGAAACCUCUCACUUAAGCUAAAAAAGAAAAAAAAAAAAGAAAAGAAAGAAAGCUUGAGGCCAAAAAGGUCAAGACGAUGGAAAUGAGAAAGUAUAAUAUAUUUUUCUUCAUAAAUAUUUCACCAAUAAUUUAAGUGGACAAAUAGACCUACCUUGCAUUACAUUUUGGGUAAGGGUGUCAAUUGAGUUAAAUGAACCCGGCUUUGGCAAGGUCAAACCAUUUGGUUGGAUUAAUGUUAAUGAUUUUUUUUAUGAAUGAAGGCUAAAUGCUUACAAUACAUUGCAGUGUAGAUUGUCCUGCACACCAGCCAUGCGUAGCAUGACUCACGAGACAAGUCACCUAUACAAAAGUCAGAGUGCAACAGACACUGAAUAAUAUUUUCCAAACGUUAUUAAGGAAAACCUAGACUUAGUUAAUUAAGGUGUUAUCACAUUAAAUCAAAGCACAUUAGCGAAGAGUUUUGGCAUGUAUCUUUAUUUUAUAUUUGUUUGAAAAAUGUGAUGUAUAUUUUACUCUAGAAAGAUGUGAUGGAUCACCAAUUAAUGAUACCAUUAUCUUUGCUAUUAUCCCUUUGUAUGAUUGCAACAUUAAGUACAUUAAUUAUCUGAUCCUUUUGUUUGUCCCAACCAAUCAUGCAUAGAUCUCUCCUAAUUAAUUUCCUAUUAUUGAUUUAGCCGUCCAAAAAAAUUAUAUUUUCUUGCGGACCCCUUUUCCAACUUGAAAUACACGCUUUUCUUCUUCUUCAUGACUCCAUUUUGAUAUGGCGAAAUGGAUUAUUUCUUUCUUUUGGAAGUGCAAAACAUAAGCAAAAAAUGCACAAUUUACAGCAAAAAGCAGAAAACAAAGGGUAUGAACCUUAAAGAACCAUUCAGAACCCGUUCAUUCUUACACUGAAAAUGUUUCACAAAAUAUUCCAAGAGCUUAAGGGAGAAAAUAAUCCAAGAGAGUAGGGAAAAAAAUACUAAAGUUCUGGCUUUCACUUUCCUGUGCAAGCAAUCUUGCUUACGUUCGGAAAUUUUAGGAAAGGGACAUCCAGUAAAAUAAAAAAAUAAGACAAAUAAACUUCAGAAUUUUAAAUUUAGCGGACACAUACAUGAGGUUCCCUUUUCUCAUUCUCAUUUUUUAAAUGUGAGAGGCUGUAAAUUACAAAGCGGGUGACUUUUUGGUUCUAUUACAUUGUUAAGGUUUUCAUAAUUGUCAAACCUAAGAAAAGGGCUCAAAGGAUCAUGUUUUGAAUCAUUCUCUUCAAUUUUACCCUCCGGUCCCUGAGUGUUAAAAAAUACAUAAUUAUUUAUAACUGUUUUUGUUGUGAAUUUUUUAUGUUCUUUUUUUUUUUUCUUUUAUUUGCUAUCCAAUGCGUGAAAUGAUGAUUGAUUAUGACAUUCUGUCGCCUAAACCUUAUUUAUUCAAUUUAAUACAUUAAUUGUUGAUGAUUAUUGUUCCUAUUCAGAGUCACAAAUAAAUUAGUAUCAACUUUCACUUUCAAUUAAAAACUCCUACCACUUUCAAUGGAAAAGAAGAGGGCCUAAGAGUUAAAAUCACUAGUUACCUGAUUAAUGUCCCUAUCAGGUAAAGAGAGGCUUACAUUCAUUCCCCCCCCCCCUUUGUGGAAGUUGCAUUUCAAUUUAUCUAUAAAAGGUGGCACUUAGUGGAAGCUAAUAAGUGUAGUAGGGAACUCAAACGAAGCAAUAGCAAACCAAUUCACAUUUCUGAACCGAAAGGCAAAGAUGUAUACACUUCCAAUUGAGCAAAUAAUUGCCUUCUUCUUCAAACAUUCUAUCUCAUUAGUUUUUUGUUUCCUCUUCACUAUCUUUGUUGUCAAAUGGCGAAAUUCCAUUUCAAACCCCUCACAAAACCUUCCACCUGCCCCUCCAAAGCUACCCAUAAUCGGAAACCUUCAUCAACUCGGUUCAAUCCCUCAACGCUCUCUGAAAUCAUUAGCUCAAAAAUACGGUUCCCCAAUGCUGCUUCAUCUAGGCAGCAAGCCGGUGUUAAUUAUCUCCUCCCCUG